AUAAAAGUAUAUUAUAUGCGCACCCAAAGUAUAUUUAAAUGUGAGCGCAGAGUGAGCUAAUGCACUGUUUUUGCCCAAGCCCAAAUACUUCAAUAUAUUCUACAUGCCACUCCAUGUUAGUAAGAACUAAGAACACCACAUGAUGCUCGUAAAAUCAUUGUGAAGCAGUACAAGGACUCACUACUUCAGAGAGAGAUUGUAAGAGCAAGCAGUUGCACGUACAUUUAACUUGUGACUUCAAGUACUUUUUUUCCCGGUAAAUGAAGAAGAGGGAAUACUUACAUGGUGAGCAACUAAAAUGGCAAGCAUGUACAAUUGCAGUCACUUUUGGACAUAAAUACUCUAUUUAUAAGAAAUCCAAGAGAUCAGUGUGUCGUGUCAUAUUAGCCUCAAUCUAUUAUACUGGUGAAUGCACUCGAUCCCAUAAAAGCACCCCUACACAAAUCUAGUCAAGCCCAUAAUCUUAUUCACCUUUCAGAGCACCCUAUAAUUAAAAGAACCUGAAGUUGAAGAUGUCAGGACUGGUUUCACAGGCUUUUGCUUAGGGUUAAAGUACCACUAAAAAAUCAACUUGAAAAUCUUUUGCAGGUUUUGUUUGAUUCAGAAGAGAGAUUAGUUAUGCUUUAAGUUUCGAUUCAAUGAACCCUGAUUUGAAAUGCUUCUUGAUUAUGGCGGUAGAUAGGUAACACAUUAUUUGAUUUCCUGACUAAUAUAAUACAUUUCAUAUGAAAUUUCUAGUUUUUUUUUUUUUGGUCACCCAGGAUAUGCCGGGUUCGACUUUCCCUUACAAUAAGCCAACUCAUGGCCCGUACAGUUCGCAAUGCACCUCGGACCAGGCAUCAAUACCUGAGGGGAAGCUAGCACAGCACCCCACCACCAUGGCUCUCCACUUAAGAUGUGUUAGAAGCUGCAAAAUUUCGACCUUGGGACCUCUACGAUAAAGUGUCCAAAGCCGAACCAACAUUGCUGCCCACCAGUGGGUUGAAAUUUAUAGUUUUUGCCUUGUGUUAUGGUCAUAAACUUGAAGCAUGGAUCUUUAUGAUUUGUAAGAUAGCUAUUAUCACAUAGGAUACAUAAAAUAGUCUUAAUUCACGUCUAAGUGGUAUAAUUACAACGAACUGAAUCAAACAAGGUAUGGUUUGAAAGGCUUCACCCUUUUCAACUUAAGUUUGGUUUUCUUCAACACUUUUCCAAGCAUACAAAUUUGUUUGGGAAAGAUCUAGUUCGAGUAGAAUAAUACCUAACUGCAUAUACGCUUAAUCAUCAUGCCCCAAGAAUUAGUUAUGGAGAUCAAUCCCUAGAAGCAGCCUUAACACCUAUAACACUUCAAAAAAAAAAAAAACACUACACGGCGUGUUCAUUUCAUAUCAAUGUGGAAUUGGGGGGAAGGCUGAACUGUUACUUGUCAAAACCAGAAGGACCAAACAAUAUCAGUCCCUAGUUUCACUAACAUCAAAUUAUGUUUUCAUCCCCCAAGACAAAGUACUAACUUUCCUAACAUGUGAAGUAGCUGGGGGUGAUCAGUACUUGCAAGAUAUUCAACAAUUCGUUUCCUCAGAAGAACCAUUAAGACAGAGGGAGUCCAACUCCAAUGCCACAGCGUACACAAUGAAUGCCUUUGAUCAGCUAAUCCCCCACACCUAGCCAUUUGAUUAGGUACACCCCAGUGCAUUGACUAUUCAAACAAAUGCGAAAGAGAAGAUUUUAUAGUUUCAUACUUCCUUUCCUCAGCUAAUUUCAACUAGGAUAUUUGAAUAAAAGUCAAUGUUUUUAAAAAUUGUCCGAAAAUGAGAACUAGAUUGGUCAUCAUCGUGGGUUAGGCCAUGAUCGAAGGGGAAUAGCACUGAACACUUGACCAAAACCAAAAAUGGUAGGAAAAAGAAGCAGAAUAAGAAAAGAAAAAAAAAAACCCGUGCCAUGAUGCUGUCUCUUAUUUGCACUUCACAAACACACAGCGUAUAUAUGUGCAUGUGCCCUCAUUUUGGACAUAAGAAUGUCAACAUGGCUCAAUCACGUUGCCCAUCUAAAAUCAACUCGAGAAAUUAUAAAAUCGGUACUUGAACGUACUCGGAAGUGCUUGAGAACUCGUAAAGCCUUCCUUUCUGUGAAAAGAUGAUCACGGCCACUUCGGCAUCGCAGAGGACUGAGAGCUCAUAAGCUUUCUUCAGUAGCCCAGUCCGGCGCUUUGAAAAGGUGACUUGCCGGCUUGUCGCGUUCUCAAUUCGCCUCAUCUGAACUUUGCCUCUCGCCAUGAUUAAAUUCUUCCUACAUACAUGGUGGUUAUCAACCCUAGAAUGGCAAGUACUUAAACGUAGCGAUGAACAUGACAAAUAUACCUCAACGAUAAAAAAUAAUAACUCACCAGGGACUUUGGCAGCGUCAACCAGCUGAAGAUUUAUCUUUUUAUCCACCUCCUAUUGUCUAAACUUUAGACUGAAGUUCUUCAGAAGCUAAAAACACUGCAAGACAAAUCACACUUUUUUUUUUUCCAAACAGAGAUGAACUAUAUCAUCAUUCGAACACAAGCAAAAACCACAGGAUAAAGAUUUCACAAUCAAAGGUCGGAGGAUUAUAGAUUUGCCAGGGUAUUAAAGGGGGAAGCUUCUCCUACUCUACGUCAGAAAAAUGAACCACAAUAAAUUCAGAAACCCUAAAGAGGGAUGAGAGCGCAAAGGCAAAAACAAAAAACCUGGAAGGAAAGCAAAGGAUAUUUGGCAGCUGACGGAUCUCUCUUUAUUUUGUGGCCACAAACAUAAAAUGAACAAAAAAAAAAAAGACCUUACCAUUCGAAAUUCAACGAUCUUCUACUUAGGGCAAAUAUGGUGUGAGCUACCCAUGAAAAGGAAAUGCAAACAAAAAAGGAAAGAAAUAAGGAGGAAAGCAAAGCAUUCAGGUUCAACCGAAACGGCAUGGUCAAUUUGGUAAUGAAGAUUCAAAGAGGCAGAAGGAUUAUCUUUUUUUGAUAAAAUUAAGAAAAAGAAAGUAGAGAGAGAGAAGAUAUUUUGCUUUUUUUUUUUUGGGUGAUCUCGUAGUUCCUACGGGGUGGAGACGAUGGGGUCAAAACGUAUAUUAUGCCAAUGGGUUUCAGCUUCGGCUGUUGUGGCCUGCGUGACAUUCGAAAGAGAGAGCUGUAAGAAACAAAACAGGUGAAAACAAAGAGAAAAAGGUCGUGCGCUAACUAUAAAUUGUCGACAUCAUCAGACCAUGCCGUGUGCUGUUACCGAAUGGGCCGUUGACAAGUGGGAAAACAUUAUCUCUCACUUAAACUCAGUGGGCCUCCACUCGACCAAUGGAAAGAGACUGUCCUUUUCUUGGGCCUAAUAGGAGCAGCCUCUGGGCUCUUCUUCAAUCGGUUCCCCUCUUGAUGGGUUUACGAGCACUAAAUUCAUGGACAAGAUAAAUACAGAUCUAUCCUUUAGCUUAUCCUUUCUUUAUGUUCUUCUUAUAAUUCCUCAUUAUUUAGAAGUGUAAAAAAUACCUAAAACUUUUCGAUUUGGGUAAAAGUAAAGGAACUUGGAAAGUUUGACGCUAUAAUUUGGGUUUCGAUCUUCUUCUUUUUUUUUAAUUAUGUAUUAGGAGAUCAAAGGCCACUAGUGCACUAAUCCUAGAUCUUUUGAUUUUUUUUAUUAGCAGAAUUGUGAUCUUUGACCACCCAACCACCCAAAGGAAAUGUGAUCUUUGAGAAGAUUACUAUGUUUCGAUAGAAGACAAGUAAAAUAAAUAUAUCACGGUGUCAAUAGUGAAGUAGAGCUUGAAAAUUCAGGAAACCUUAAAGAUAAGAAAGGUUGAGGUUGUAGAUGAGAUUGUGAUUCCUGAAAUCAAUGAUAUUAAUCAGCUAGCAAAAUUGUAGCACUCUAUAGUCAUGAGUAGAUAAAGAAGGUAAAUUGGGCCACAGAUACAUUGUGAUUGUGCAUAUAUUACUCUCGCACAUUGAUUGUAACUUAUUUUGAGGUGAUAGUGCUAAAUCGUUAUAGUGGCUAAAGGUUAUUAGUGAAUAGAUGAAAUCACUCCAUUGAAACUAGAUGUGACAGCUUGUUAAAGUACCCAAGAGCCAAAACAUCAUUGUAAACAAGUGAAUCUAUAGACGGAAAGAGGCCAUUAAGGUAUAAGGUGAGAUUUGUUGUAGAGGGGUGUACACUACGAGAGAGCAUUAUUGGUUAAAAUGAGGUGUUUUAUUCUAUUGUAAGGAAUCCUUAUAUUUGAAUAUUACUUGCCUUAAUUGCUACACAAGAUCUCGAGCUGGAAUAGCUGGAUGUCAAGAUGACAAUUUUUUAGGAGAAGUUGAAGGAGUAGAUUUACAUGAGGCAGCCAAAAGGAUUUGUUAUUCUAAGUUAGGAAACCAUGUUUGUUUAUUAAAGAAAUCAUUUUAUGGGUGGAAACAAUCUCCUAAGUAGUGGUAUAAUCAUUUGAAUGCUUUUAUGAUUAGUCAAGAUUAUUUGAAAGUCGGUUGGACAGCUUACUUUAGGAUUAUGAAGGAUGAAUCUUUGAUUUAUCUAUUAUUAUUUUUUGAUGACGUAUUGAUAAUAGUUAAGAUUUUGUAUGAAAUUGGUGUGUUGAAAAGGUAGUUGAAUGUUGAGUUUUAGAUGAAAGAUUUGGGUAAUACAUAAAUGAGAAAAAUGUCAAAAAUGCUUAUUGGAUCAACUGUAUGAAGAGCUUUUGUUUCGAAUUGUGCUGUGAGUUUUACUUGCAAUUGAGUUGUUUAUUUGUAAAGACCAUAGGUUUUGGUGUACUUUAAGUAUGGGAAACAAUCGAGCAUGUAAGUAAUUAUUAACGCUAAAAUUCUCCAAUUGUUAGUAAAUAAUUUGCUACUAGCUCUUCUCGUUAAGGAGUUACCAACACAUAGACCAAACCAUGCAAAUUCCUAAUGUUUUUUCUUCUUGACUUAUUGCUGUGGUGAUUUUGCAUUGAUUUAAUUUGCAGGUUCCAAUAUUUUCCACAUUAAUUUUACAAAAAUUUAGAUGGACAAGUCACCAUAUCAAUUAUAAAAUACAAAAGAUGAGGACAACAUAGCUAAUGCGAUGUGGAUUCAUGAGGACACCAAAAUAACACAGGCCUUUGAUUAAAUCACAUAUCGAUAACGUAGGCUUUUAAUUAAAUCGCAUAUCUUUACUAAUAUAUUCAGCCAAAGUACGCACCUUACGCAUAUGACCAAAUGCCCCAUUUAUCAUGUUUCUAUGUCAUAACAAUCUUGACCCUUUUGACUAUUCCACAUUUUUUUCAAUGACUAAGUACAUUUUAUAGCGUUAACAUCAACAUAGUUGGAGAGCAUCUUCUCUCUACAAACUCAAUAUUAAGGCAAGUCUUCAAAACAAAGAUGCAAUACUAAUUGAGUUUCUUGGACAAAAGGCAGCCAUAACAUUCCCAAUGACCCUUUUACAAAACUAAAAGGCUUUUAAGCCAAAUUCAGAAAUCUAAAUACCUUACGAAUCACAAACAUUUAUCAGUUGAGAUGGUAGACAUUGUCUCCUUUAGCAAGCCAACAACCUUAAGUCAGGUUGACAAAUAAAGUGUGUUUACAAACUCUAUCAUAUAUUUGCAAUUGUCUCCCCGCCACUCACAAUAUCUACACAUAAUGGUCGAUACUGAGAGAAAUAUGUAUGCAUUUGUCUAAAUUUAGUAAUGGUUAAGUAUUUGAGAAGUAAUGCUAAAUCAUGUAUUGGGAUAAUAUACUCAUCGUUGAUUGAUUAAACGUUGAUUGAUUAAACAUUUUAACCCGUGGAUCAUUAUUUCAACAUGUAUAAAAGGGUAUUUUGGAUUUGAUUUAUUGGUAGUUUGGUUAAAAUGAUUGAAAUAGAACUACCCGUUACAAAUAACAUUUUUCAUAAACAAAUAAUCCAAUUUUACUUUAAAAAAAUCAAAAAGGAAUUCUUAUAAUUUUGGUCAAUGGGUAAAGAAAAUUUUACAUUUGAAAGUACUCUCACUUAAUAUUGAUUUGCUUCCCCACAUCACUUUCACAGGUUUAUUUGAUGCAUAAAAUCCGACACCCGAACUCCUAUAGUGUCAAAAGUUGGCAUAAAGGGACAUUUAAGUGUUAAAAGUUACAAAAGUGACACUUAAGUGUUAAAAUCGAAGAGAAAUUGAUCACUUAAGUGCUACUCCGACAAAAAUAUGGCCAAAACGCUGAUAUGUUAAUUUUCCGACAAAGCGAGUGCAAAACGGCGUCAUUUUUUAUACUGACGUGGUAAAAAAUUUAAUAUAAAAAUUAAUUAAAUUAAAUUUAAAACUAAAUUAUUUAAAAAUAUAUUUAAAAAUAUAUAAUUAAAAAAAAAGGGAGGCGGCUAAGGGCCUCCCUGCCACCGCCGGGAAGGGCUAAGAUGGAGAGGGGAGGGUCGGCCGAGGUCGUCGAACCCUAGCUAGGGGCCGGCGACCUUGGCCGACCGGCAACGAGGGUCGGUGACCCUCACCCAACCAGGCCAAGGGCCGCUGCCCGCCGAGGGGCUGCAACUCUCGCCCAAAUCUAGGGCAAAGGCUCGCGGGCCCUCACCACUAGUCGCCAACUGUGACAUCGUGAUUUUUCUAAUUCUGUCUUUAAUAAAAUGAGACGAGCAUUUCAUCUUCACACAUAUAGUUCUUUUCCAUAAGAGUCGGCCACUCAUCUGAAAAAUAGUCUAUCAAAUGAAGUCAUUAAAAGAUUAUAAUGCAUCAAACACGAGAAUUUUACCAAGAAGCAACCUUUCGACCGAGCCAAUCUGCAAAAGUCAUUACCGAAUAGUUAAAAAUCGAUUAGAAACCAAAGAUAGAUCGACUCGACCAAGGCAUGUGAUCAAGUAUGGGUGAUUCCACCAGAUUGCAUGAUUCUUGUAGAUCAACACUAGACUAGCUUUUUUGUCGUUUUGUUACCUUGUGUCCAUAUUGAAACAUUGAGAUUACCACGACAACCAAGAGUCGCCAAUGUAUCAAAGAUGUACGUUAUGGCUUGAAUUAAUCAACCACAGGUCAAAUGCAUGAAAAAUUCUUAAAGCCAUACGGUAGAUCAGGACACGCUAGUAUUGUACCGGAAUAAAAUUAACCGUGAAAUUGAGAUUGAAUUCAGAAAUUGGAAGUCCUAGUGUGUCACAAAUCAUUUUAAGAACAUUGACUCAUCUUCGAAGGAUUUUUCAUGCAAACCGAGUUUUUCAGAAAAUUAAUCAAAGUAUGGUUAAUUUGGCUCGAGAAUUUAGUAGACCCACUUUUGGUUGUGCUUUUGGGACUUAAUAUGGUUCUAUGGUCUAGUAAAUUUGUGAGUUGAAGUGUGGUGACAUUGGAUUGAUUUUAUGAACUUCAAUUUGAUUCAAUUAGAAGAGAAUUGAAUGAAAUUGAAAGAAUGUGUUGUACAAGAUUUUGAAUUUUAUGCCACGGCGGAAAAAAAAAUUGCACCCAUUAAAAGAUGUUAUGGAGGAUUUGAGUUAGUGGAGUGUGACAUCAUGUGAUGUCAUGGUGGGGCCAAAGUGGAGAAGAAAUUGACAAGUAGCAAGUGCUAAUUGGCUCUCAAAAAGUGGGGAUUUCACUCCAAUCUCCAUCUUCUUCCUUGGGAGUUGGAGAGGAGAGAGGGAGGCUGAGCAGAAGACCAGGGACGACAGUUCCUUUGACUGCUCAUCCAUUCACUCGUCUGGUCGCUCGCACGUCGCUGGAGUCCGUUGCCAUCGCUGUUACGGCUCGUUCACGCUUGCUACUCCGUUCGUCCGCACACAUGUUGCUGCGCUCGCCAAGCUGCCGGUUUCGUGUGGUCUCGACGUUCUCCGAAGCUCCCUUGACGCCGUUGAAGCCGUGCCACCACCGUUCGGUCCCCGAAGUAGCCGAGGCCGCCGUCGCUCGCCGAAGUGUGCUAUCUCACGCGAGCUGCUCUAGCUGUGAGUCCCUGUUGCUCCGCCUUCGUCCAUCGUCCAAUGUCAUCAUCCAUUCGUCCAGGCCGCGUCUCAGCCUCUCCGCCAUCACUUGAGCCAGCAUGGUGGUUGUCCAAUUUGCUAGAGAGUAACCACGAGCCAGCCAAGGUCAGCUCAUCACCGGUGUCGCUUCUCCUUUGCUCGCGUGCUCAGCCAGCUCGCACUUUGCUCGGCCAGCUCGCACUUUGCUCGGCCGUUGCUCGUGCGACCCUGACCUUCCAGCACCGCCAUCCGUCGCUACCCUUGAUUGCCCGCCACCGUUAAAGCCAGCAAAGACUGCCGUGAGCCACCGCCAGUCGCUGCCUGAGCUGCCGCCGUCCAUCCCUGCUGUGUCCGCGCCCAACCAACCGCCGAACAGCUCUCCUCCAGCCAAGAUCAUAAGCUAAGUUCCAACUAGGUCAUGGAACUUCAAGGCCUGUUUUGGGUGCCUUCCGAUCCUCUUUUGGUGUCGCCCCGUGGAGGUUUGUCGACUGCCUUGUCAUUGUCUUCGCCGAAGACUCAUCGGAAAGCGAUUCUAGUAAGUUUAGCUUCCUAAACCUUGAUUAGUGAGUUAAUUAUGCUUAGAGAUGUAUAGUUUAUAUUAAAUGUUGUUAUGUGGUUAGUUUAAUUUAUUUAAGUGUAAAUUAGAUUAAGAGUAUGAUUAAUUUAAAAUAGGUUUAAUUAAGGCUAAAUAAGUUUAUAUUAGAAUAAGCCUUGAUUUUAUUUUAAUGAAGUAUUUUUGGAUUAAAUAAAUAUUUCUAAAUUAUUUAAUAUUUUAAUAAUAUAUUAUUAUUCUAAAUUAUCAAAAUAUUAUUAUUUAAUUAAUUUUUGAAAUAAAUUUAAUUAUUUAAUAAAUUCCGAAAAUUAUUUUUGGACCUUCAAUUGUCAGAAUUUCAUGCUGAUUGCAAAUGUGCUUUUUGUUAUUUAUUUGAGUGCCAAUUUAUGAGAAUCGAGUAAAAGUGAUUAUGAGAGAAUUAUCCCAAAAUUUGAGAAUAUCGAUAUUUUAUGGGGAAAUGACCAUGGAAGGUUGUGAGUGGACUUAGAAAACUGUAGAAGUAUGGCCGUGCCAAUAGGGCUGAGAUUUACCACCGAAUUUGGAAUUGAUUGUGCCCAUCGGGCCGUAAUCUACCAUCUAUUAAAGGUCAUGUCGAGUGGGGCCGUGAUGCUACUAAAUCUAAACUUGCCGAGUCAGGCCGUGAUCUACCAGCUAUUAAAGGUCGUGUCAAGUGGGGUCGUGAUGCCACUAAAUCUAAACUUGCCAAAUGGGGCUAUGAUAACCACUAAAUUUAGAUUCGUCUGUAGGGCCGUGCUUGAGGGUCAAGAAUGAAUAGUUAGAAUGACCGUGUAAUGACCUUGAUGACAUGUAAUCGACCGAGUUGAUUGAUCGCUGAGUCGAUCCGAGUAAUUGAAUUGUUUGAAUUCUAUUAUUAUAUAUGCUUGAGUAAUAUAAACUGUGCUAAUCUGUAGGAAGAAAAUGAGGCAAAGGUAAGUCUCAUUGUUUGUGAUGGUGUGGCUAGGCCAUCCUUGAGUGUAUUUUCUUUCUAAUAGGGGUUUAAGGGGUGAACUUGCCCAGACAAUGUCUCACCCUGUCGUGGACUCAACAUUUUCAAGUCCUUAGAUGGCGGUCAUGGAAGUCAUGGACAUUUGUGGAGAUGGAAAUUGAAGAAUCGGCGAAUGUGUCUGACUAGAUCGUAGGACAAUUCCCUUUUUGUUAAGCCGGUCUAUUUUGUAGACAACCCUGUGUUGUAUAUAAACAUGUGUUUAUAAGAAAGCUUGUUUGGUUGUGAUUAAUUGCCUGCUUUUCUAUCCCAAGUUAAAUGUUGUUAGGAGAUUUGUUUCGCUUCCGGAAGCGUAAAAUACAUGAAUGGGUCAGUGACACGUCCUGGAAAGUCGCAUUUUUUUUUUAUUGAGUUGAGUAGGAUAUUCGCGUGCUCGAGGUUCAGGGUGUGACACCGAGCCUUGGCCAGGGCCCAGCGACCCCGGUCGACCCUCCCCUCUUCGUUGCCGGCCCUUUCUGGUGGCAGUGGGGAGGUAGCCGUCCCCCCUUUUUAAAAAUAUUUUUAAUAUUUUUAUUUUCUUUUUAAAAAUUUUAAAUAAAUUUAGUUUUAAAUUUAAUUUAAUUAAUUUUUAUAUUAAAUUUUUUUACCACGUUAGCACCAAAACGAUGUUGUUUUUGCAUUGUUUUGCCACAUCAGUGUGUAAAACGAUGCCGUUUUGCACUCGUUUCGCCGGAAAAUUGACACGUUAGUGUUUUUGCCGGAUUUUGGCCGGAAUGGCAUGUAAGUAAUUCAUUUAUCUCCGAUUUUAGCAUUUAAGUGUCAUUUUCGUAACUUUUGGCACUUGAAACGAUCUUUUAUCCUUAAAAUCCCUUUUUCUUAUUUACGAGGACAUUUAGGUACUUUUCUUGGCUUGGGAUUGACUCAUCCAAGAUGAUGUUCUUGUUUUAAGAAAAUGAAUUAUUGUAGAAUGAUUUUUUUAUAAAAAAAAUCACAUUAGUUUUGGUUUAUAGAUGAGAAGCUGGCCAUGGAUCUUGAUGUAGACCAACCUAAAUUCAUUCCUAACAAGUGACCAAGGAGGGGCCGUCAUCUUUUGAAUCCAACCUUGUCCAUAGAUUUUUCUAUCACGAAAAAGGAAAACAAAGGGAAAAAUAGAAAGCUCAUACAUAAAUGUUACUUCGCUUUUCUUAUUUAUUUGUAUAUCUUCUUACGAUGCACUGUACAUCUUAGUCAUCUCAUGUGUCACGGGAAGAUAAUAAAAAAAGUUCUAAACUCAUUACAAUUGUGUCAUCUUGAUGUAGACCAACCUAAAUUCAUUGCUAACAAGUGACCAAGGAGGGGCCGUCAUCUUUUGAAUCCAACCUUGUCCAUAGAUUUUUCUAUCACGAAAAAGGAAAACAAAGGGAAAAAUAGAAAGCUCAUACAUAAAUGUUACUUCGCUUUUCUUAUUUAUUUGUAUAUCUUCUUACGAUGCACUGUACAUCUUAGUCAUCUCAUGUGUCACGGGAAGAUAAUAAAAAAAGUUCUAAACUCAUUACAAUUGUGUCAAUCUUAUCAACAACUUCUUUUUAUCAAUUUAAUUUUAAACAUUUUGCAAUUAUGUUCAUUCAGUUCAUUCAGCCACACUAACAUGAAUGCUGGCUGGCGUCGGCCAUCUAGUGUCAACCAUCCUACAAAUGCUGACGUGAUAAUUUUUAAUAAUUUUUUUUUCUUUUUUUCCCCAUCUUCCACCUUCCUCUAGCCGAUUAGAGGCAUGGGCCAGCCAGGUCAACCUCGCUAGCCAAUGAUGAGGCUCACCUUCACUAGCCACUAGCAUGGGUGAGCCUUGCCCAACCAUGGUGAGGCCUUGCUAGAUUUGGCAAGACUUGACCUCACCCAGCCAUGGUGAGGGCGAGCUCCACUGGCCACUAGAAAGGUCGACUCUCACCAAAUCUAACCAUGGCUAGGUUGAGCCUCGCCAAAUUUGGCGAGGCCUUGACAUCAGCCUUGCUAGUGGCCAAUGAAGGCGAGCCUUGCCAUUGGCCAAAGAGGCUAACCUAUGGCCGCUAGCAAUCAACCAAAGGAAGUACGAAGAAGAAGAAAAAAAAAUAUUUAAAAAUUGUUAUGUCAAUAUUCACAAGAUAGCUAGCGCCAACUAGAUGCUAGUAUCCACAUCAACAUCGACUAACUAUAUUUGGUCAGAUGGAUAAAAUUAACACAAUUGCAAAAGUUUUAUAACUGAAUUAAUUAAAAAUAAAUAAAAGAUUUAAAAUUGAAUUGAAUUGACACAAUUACAAUUAGUUUAAAACUUUUUAUGAUAAUUUUCCCCACGCAUCACUAAUUAUCCUUAAGGCUACGUUUGGUCGUCGAGAUAAUAAUUAGGAUAGGAUAGGAUAAAGUAGGAUAUUAAAUCCUCUGGAUAAUAAAGGCGUACAUAUCUAAUCCUAUCAAGUGUUUGGCGCACUUCAGGAUAAGAUUAAAAAAUAUAUAUAAUAUUCAAUUAAAUUAUAAACUUAAAAAAUAGAAAAUUCAAUUAAUUAAAGGCCAUGGAAAAGCCCUAGAUCUAGGAAUUGUGGCCACCUUUGCAAUGGCCACCAUUGAAAAUGGCGAGAUGCGAAGAUGGGAGAAGAAGUGGAAGAAGAGGGCUAACAAUGAAUCGGAGAGGCGGAGGCAUCCAUUUGACAUAGAUGCUUAUGAUAUCUUCUCUUUUUGUUAAGUUCUUUCUUUCCUUAAAAAAAAAUUCUUAUCCAAUCCGGGCUUAUCCCACCCCCUCCCCCGGAUUUUUUAUCCGGCGUUUUAUCCGGAUGUAUCCAGGUUUGUCCAAUCCAAUGGACAUUCCCAAACAUUGGAUAGGAUAACAAAUUAUCCUAUCCAGACUCAAAUCCGGACUACCAAACGCAGAUAACACAAAAUGGAAGCUAACUUCUUAGAUGAAAAAUGUUGGACCUCGUCUUUUGGGAUGAGUUACAAAUCUAUUGAGUAGCCUCAUGUUGCAACAUGUCAAUUUUGAUUCCAAAAUAUUUCAGAUGCCCAUGACCCUUACGUCCGCAUAUGUCAACACUGAGGAAAAUUAUAGAGGUGAUGGAUGAAAUUUUUUUGGCUUAGCCAACCUUUAAGGGGUGUCCGACCAAACACAAAACCUUAAAGAGGUGAUGUUGUAAAAAUGCACGCAAGCAACUCGAAAAUAUGCUCAACAGAGACGUUUCUUUCUUGGAAUUAAUCGAUGUGUGAUUCAAAUGUGAAAACCAAGGUGCAGGCAAGUUAUUUCCUUUGUAUCGCUGAAUCUUCCUUGUAUAUGUCUGUCAUUGUUCAUUUCUAAUAUGUUCAUUGCCUUUGCUACUCUUACUCGUGGAUUUUCCAAAUAACUACCAUGAAUCCCAUGCACAUGUUGUCGUGGCAAUGCUAAGGGGAAUCUAGCUGAGUAAAGAUAUCACUGAGUGAUAUUGUCGUAAUUCUUAUUUUAUUCUAUUGAACAUGUAUUAUUAGGGUGAUGAUGAACCAGUUUAACUUUUUGGCAAUCCGACGAACAACUCGGCCUCACCAUUUGUACUCCGACUGCUCUGACUGUGACAUUCCGAUUUUCCAAUUCUAUUUCAUUAAAUUGAGACGGGUAUUUCGUUGGCAUGCAUAUAAUUCAUUUCCUUGAGUCGGCUACUCAUGUGAAAACUAGUCUAUCAGGUGAAAGUGUUAAGAAAUUCUAAUGCAUCAGACUCGAGAAUUUGAUCGAGAAGCGACCUUUCGACCGAGAUAAUCUACAAGGGUUAUUGCGGCACAAAUAAAAAUCGAUUAGAGAUCGGAGAUAGGUCGGCUCGACAAAGACAUGUGAUAAGGUGUGGGUGAUUCCACCGGAUCGCACAAUUCUUGUCGAUUGAUACUGAACCGACUUUUCUAUCGAUCGGGUACCCUAUGCCCGUGUUUGAAACCUUGAGAUUACUCCCGACAACCAAAAGUUGCCAAUGUGUCAAAGAUGUACAUUGUGGCUCGAGUUGAUCAACCACAGGUCAAACGCACAAAAAUUUCUAAAGGCUACCCGAUAGGUUGGGCCGCGCUUGUGUCGUGCCAAAGCGAGAUUAACCGUGAAAUUAAGAUCGAAUUCCGAAAUUGGAAGUCCUGGUGUGUCACAAACUUUAUUAGGAACAUUGGAUUAAAUUAUGAACUUUAAUUUGGACUCAAUUGGAAGAGAAUUGAUGGGAAUUGAAGAAAUUAGGUGAACAAAAAUUGGACCUCGGCGGAAAAUGAAAUUGAACCUAUUUGACUAAAGUUGUGGAAGGUUGGAGUUAGUGGAUGAUGACAUCACAAGUGAUGUUAUGGGGUAGGCAAGAUUGGCUAGGGUGGUGAUAAAUGGAAGGUGGGGAUGAGCUCUUGGAAAGGUGGGAUGUCACUUCCCCCUUGUCCCCAUCAUCUUCUUCAUUUGAACUUGGAAGAGAGAUAGAGAGAAAGAAAAAGCUGAAGUAAAAACCAGCAACCACCCCCUUCGUCCGACCCCUCUUCGCCCAACGGUUGCUCGCUCGGCCGGCCACCUUUCGCCCGCAUUCCUCGUCGCUCGCCGUUCGCCGGAGCUCACACCGUCGCCGUCUCGCUCGCAUUUUGCUGCUCCACCCCCACCGCGCCUUCAUCGUCGUCGUCCUUCCUCACCAGUAGCUGCUCGUCGUUCGCCAGCCACCGUCGGAGCUAGCAAGACUGCCAGAGCCACCGCCAGUCAUUGCUCGAGCUAGCAUCAGUCCUCCUCCGCCGUUCCUCCGCCUGUUCAGCCGCCAUGCCGCCUCCCUCCAAGCUCGGUCGGUGGAUGGAAAUUCCAGCAAGCUCCGGCCCUUCUAAGCUCGAUUUGGCCGCCUUUUAGUUCUCAUUUGGUGUUGAUCCGUGUAGGUUUGUCGUUGGUGUCGUCAUGCUCUUCGCUGAAGACUCGUCGGAAAACGAUUCCGGUGAGUUUAGCUCACUAAACCUUGAUUAGUGGGUUAAUGAUGCCUUAAGUGUGUUUAGCUUAGGUUGAUUGAGAUGAGGUUGUUACAUUAAUUUAGUUAGAUGUAGAUUAGAUUAAAGUGAUUAAUUAAGGUAAAGUAUGUUUAGUUUAAAGAUUAUGUAGGUUUAUUUUAAUAUAAGCAUUGAUGUGACUUAAAGGAAUUUGUUUAUGAUUUAAAUAAAUGUUUCGAAAUUAUUGGAUUAUUUAAUAAUAUAUUAUAUUCCGAAAUUAUUAAAAUAUUAUUAUUUAAAAAAAAUUCAAAAAAUUAUUUUUGAUCCUAAUUGCUCAGAAUUUCGUGCCGAUCGCUACUGUAUAUUUAGAAUUUGAAAUUGAUGAGUUGUUAAUGCAAAUUGAGUAUUGAUUGUGGAAAAUAUGGAUUUUAUUUAGAAAAUCUCAAAUGUCGAGUUUGGCACCGGAAUUGAAUUUUUAAAGAUUAAUAUUGUAAUUGAAAUAUGUGAAUGAUGUGCAAAGUGCCUUUAAUUGAUUAUGAGAUUGUCGUGUGAUAAUUAAGUGGAGUUUUCUUGAGCUAUUGAGUUGGAAUUGCCCUUAUAUGGGAUGCCCCAUACAAUGGAUGUGAGUCGCAAUUGAUUUUAGGCCCAUGCUCCUUCGGGAACGCCGUCGAUGUACUAACAAAGCCGCACUCCAAGGUGGGGAGGCGAUGCCUGGCUUUAUGUCAGUAGAUAGCCGAAUUGUGAGUAGGCUAUGCCCUUGUGUGAUGGUGAAUAAUAAAUUGGAACGCUUGCUGUGAUUGAGAAAUUGAGUGAAAUUGAUUGUGUUCCGACGGUUUACGUUCUUAUUAUUAUUUGUGUUGAAGUGAUAUGAAUUGUACUAACCUGCAGGAAGGUAAGAAGGCGAGGUAAGUCUUCUGUGUUGUGUGGCUAGACCACUCUGAGGCGUAUUUUCUUUCUAAUAAGGGUUUAGGAGGGGUGAACUUGCUGAGACAAAGUCUCAUCCCAGUUUGGGGAAAAUAUUACAGGGCCGUAGAUGGUGGUACCCCCGAAGAAGAGUGGUCUAUCGACGGAGAUUGACCAGAUGACGCAGAGUGCUCCUGACCCUAGAAGUCCUUGGGUCUAUCAGUUGGUUAAGUCCAUUGUCUGGGUCCAGGUGAUCGUGGAUGUCAGAGUACCUCAUAUGUUUAGGGCUUGGUUUCGUUUUGGAGUUGAUGGCGUUAGAGUUGGCCCACUGGAUAGCAUGGACAUUCCGUUGACUGUGAUGAAUGCCAUUUUGGGUAAAGGCGUGGCGGAUCUUCCCAACGGUAGAGUGAUCAACGCAUCGCCCCCAGCCUCUUGGGUGACGAAUCCUGAGGAUAUAGGAUCGUCGAACGGGGCUGACUAGUAGUCUUAGGACUGUCCCUCUUUUUGGCGGACCGAUCCAUGUUAUGUAGACUGAUCCCUUUUUGAUGCACAUAAGCUCUGACCCAUUUUUUGUGCAUAUAGUAUCUGGAUCCUAUUGGUGUAUGUAAACCCUGGAAUGAUGAUGAUAAUGAUAUAUGAAAGUAUGUUUGUUUGAUUUUGAAUUGAUCUUCCUGUUGUACUGUUGACACCUAAUUUAAAUUUAGUUUUUUUUUUAGAAAUUAAAAAUAGAGCAUUUGGUUUUAGAGGGAAAUUUUGAAUUUUCUUUUGAAUAAUAAAACAUUUGAUUGUGGAACAAAUCUCCUCAUUUUGAAUUAAAAAAACUCAACCGUGUGAUUUUGAAGCCACUAUUUUGUUGAACGGUUGAGCGAAUAUGUGCAAAUCUUCACCUGCAAAAACAAAUUCGAGUGUUUCCUCUAUAAAGAGAGGAUACAAAGCUUCAGUAAAAAGGGGGGGCUUCUAUUUGUCAAAAAAUUGAAAAGUGAAAAGAGAGGAAAGGGAAUAAAGGUUUCGUUUUUUUUAAAAGGAAAAGUUAGCCGAAGCUUUUUUGGGUUUUUCUGCUGAAGUACGACAGCAACAGGGGGGUAGAGAAGAAACAUCAGAAAAGCGAUGUGAGGGAGACGUGAGAGAGAGAGAGAGAGAGAGAGAGAGGAAAAAGAAAAAAGAAAAAGCAAAACACAGCAACUAUUCAUCUUCUCCUCUGCGACUGCCGUUCGUCGAACACCUCGCUCUCUACUUGCCCGUCGCUGCACUCGGUGCCUCAGCCUCGACGACCACGCCUCCACAACUCGCAGCCCAGCUGAUUCCGAGCCGGCCCGCCGUGCCCCCGCUGUUGUCGCGUCUCUGACCACCCGAGCCGGAUCUGCAGCCCUCCACCUGAUGACCCGAAGCCCUACAUCAACGAAUCACAGCAAACCACCUCCCUACCGGACACCGCACCGCGCCACCCUCUGCUCAGUCCCCGCACCUGCUCGAAGCUCGAUCUGCCGCACCAGAACGCUGACUCGCCCCCAACUUGUCUGCGACCCGCGACCCAGCAGAUCCCGAGCCGGUUCACCGCACCUCCGCUGCUGCUGCGCCCUUGAUCACCCGAGUACCAGCAGCCCCCUGUCGCUCGAGUCGAGCCGCUCCACCCACAGCUCGAAGCCCACCGUACCCGACGCCUGCGCCUUGCCUCCGGCAACCCGCGAGCCCAAACGCCUGCAGUGCUCAUGUCCAGCUCCACUCGUCGAACUCCCCUCCGACGAAGUCACUGCCUUGCUGCACCGCGACACCAUUGCUCUGCGCCUCUACUCAAGCCCGAACCAGUCACUGAUUUUUUUUUUCCUAUAGCUCCGAAUUGCCGGACCUCGCCGGAGCUCCGCACCUCCACAACCUCCAAUCGACGGUGACGCCACCGUUACAGUUGCCGCCCUUCACUAGAGCCGGUGACCAGCCACACGAGCACAAGCCGUGCUUGGGAAGAAAAAGAACAAAGGAAAAAACAAAAGAAAAAGGAAAGGAAAUUAGGUAGUAUAUUUUUAUUUUUUUAUUUUUUACUUAUUUCAUGUUAUGUUAGCUUACUUUUAAUUUUAAUUAUUUGAAUUGUAGUAUUGUAUGUCAAUAUUUGUAGACCUUGUAGACAUUAGGAGUUUUAUCCCAAAUUAAGGUAACUAUUAAUUUGACCCGUAAGAAGUCGGGUUAUUUCUUUUUAAUUACUUUAAUUUCCAGGAAUUUUGAUAACAUUUCAAUCAUUAAAUCAUUAUAGAGUUAAAAUAAUUGUUAAUUUAAUCCGUGAGACAACGGAUUAUUUUUUCGGUUAUUUUAAUUCUUAUCUUCAUUAUUUUUAAAAUAAUUACUUGCUUGGAAAGAUCAAAAAAUCUAAAAUAAAAAAAAAUCUAAAAGUACAUAAAAAUCUAAAUAUUGCAUUAGAGCAUUUAGGUUUACUAAAUUAGAAUUGCAUUUAUAGGAUUAUAAUUUUUAGAUUAUACUUUUAGAUGGGUGAUUUUUGUUAGGGCUAAUUUUAAAUAAUGUUGGCAUGUCUUGAUUUUUUUUUUAUAUAGCUUUUAAGAUAAGAUAUAGUUUAAGUUAAAUUGAUUUCUAAAAUAAAUUAGAAUAUUAUUCACUUUAAUUAGUUUAAUUAUUCUUUAUUAAUUCUGAAUUUCAAUAAAAAAAAAUCCAAAAACUAUUAGGUACAUAUUAAUUAAUUUGCAUAAUAGGUUUAAUUAGAAUUUGAUUAGUAAAAUGGUCAUAUCUAGAACUUAGGUACUUAGUGUAACAUCCCGAUUUUCCGAUUCUAUUUUCAAUAAAAUGAGACGGGCAUUUCGUUGGCACGCAUAUAGUUCUUUUCCUUGAGUUGGCUACUCAUGUGGAAACUAGUUUAUCGGGUGAAGCUGUUAAGAGUUUAUAAUGCAUCAGACUCGAGAAUUUGACCAGAAAGCGACCUUUCGACCGAGCUAGUCUGCAAGGGUCAUUACGGCACGAUUAAAAUCGAUUAAAGAUCGGAGAUAGGUCGACUCGACAGAGGCAUGUGAUCAGGUGUAGGUGAUUCCACUAGAUCGCACAAUUCGUGUCGAUCGACACUAGAUUGACUUUUUUAUCGAUUGGGUACCCUGUGUUCGUAUUUGAAACCUUGAGAUUACAACCGAAAGUUGUCAAUGUUUCAAAGAUGUACAUUGUGGCUUGAGAUUAUCAAUCAUAAGUCAAAUGCAUGAAAAUUUCUAAAGGCUACCCGGUAGGUUGGGCCGCGCUAGUAUUGUGCCAAAGUGAAAUUAAUCGUGGAAUUGAGAUCGAAUUUAGAAAUUGAAAGUCUGGGUGUGUCACAAAUCAUUUUCGGACCAUUGGCUUAUCUUUAGAAGAUUUUUCAUGUAAUCAGAGUUUUUCAGCAAUUAAAUCAGAAAAUGGUUAAUUUGGCUCGAGAAAUUAGUAGGCCCGCAUUUGGUCGCGCUUUUGGGACUUAAGUUGAUUAUAUAGACAAGUGAAAAUGUGAUGUGUGGUGACAUUGGAUUAAUUUUAUGUAUUUCAAUUUGAUUCAAUUGGAAGAGAAUUAAGUGGAAUUAAAGAAUUUGAUGUACAAGAAUUGGACCCCGGCGGAAAAUGAAAGUGCAACCAUUGGAGAAGUUGUGGAGGAUUUGAGUGAGUGGAAGAUGACAUGGGAUAAUGUCAUGGUGGUUGAGGCCAAGGGUUUGACAUGUGGACUUGACACGUGGAUGGUGGGGGACUGGCUCUUGGAAAGAAGACCCAUCAACAUCAUCUUCUUCCUUUGGACUUGAGAGGAGAGAGGGGGGGGAGCUCCGAUCGGAAGCCAGCCGAGCUCGUCCGCCCGUUUGGCCACUCGUCGCCGUCACCGCCGCAUGCCGUCGCUGCUCCUCGGCCGCGCGCGCUCGCCCUCAACCUUUCCUCACCCUCCUCAGCUACCGUCGGAGCCUUCUCUCCAGCUUCGUUUACUGCCCGAGAUCCUAGAUCUGGGAUGGACGCCGAAGCAGCCCGUGCCAUGCGUGACGCCACUGCCCUCCGCCGUGCUUCACGCCAUCGCUCCACCGCUGCUCCACUCAUCUCGGUCUCCUUCUCGCCUAGCUCACUAUUCCAGAGCUGCUGUCCAGCUCUGUUCGAUCAGAGUAGGCCACAGCUUAGCCGCCUCCAGCCACCGUGAGUCCCGCCGGAGCCGCCGCCUCGCCCGCCAAGCUGCAGCUGCCGCUUCUCCACUGUUCCUCGCGCCCGAACCGCCACUGAGCAGCCUCCGUCGGCCUCAACCAGCAGCUGCAGAAAAUGGGUAUUGCAGCUCGCUCGUGGCCUAUUUUGACCGCCUUCCCGAGCCCGGAUGCUCGGCCCGGCUUGAGGAAAGUCGCUCCUCGCGUCGUCCUCGUCAUUUUGGUCCGCUCGGCUCACUAAUCCGGUGAGUUUAGCUCACUAAAUCUUGAUUAGACGGUUAAUGAUGCCCUAAGUGUGCUUAGCCUAAGUUAACUAAACUUAGGUGAUUAAAUUAGUUUAUUUUGUUGAUGAUUAGAUUAUGAUGUUUAAUUAAAUUAAAGUGUGUUUAGUUUAAAGUUAAGUAUGUUUAUUUUUAAUAUAAAGCCUUGAUGUGACAUAAUAGGUUUUAAUUUUGAAUCAUUUAAUUGCUUCGAAAUUCUGGAAAUCUAUAAUAUUAUAUUAAUUCCGAAAUUAUUAAAAUAUUAUUAUUUUAAAAAAAACGGAAAAAAUAUUUUUGACCCCGGUUGCUCAGAAUUUCGUGUUGAUCGCUGCUGUAUAGUCGGAUUUUGAAAUUGAUGAUUGGAUAUUAUAAAUUGAGAGUGGAUCGUGAAAAAUAUAAAUAUUAUUAUUUAAUUAUUUUCGGAAUAAAUUUAAUUAUUUAAUAAAUUCCGAAAAUUUUGUCAAGACCCUAAACUCUCAGAAUUUCGUGCCGAUUAUUGCUGUGCAUUUAGAAUUUGAAUUUGAUGAUUGAUUGUGGCAAAUGAAGUGUGAUUGUGAUAAAUAGGGAUUUUUUAUAAAAUCCUAAGUGUGGAAAUUGAUGAGAGAUUGGCCGUGAUGAACCACCUAUUAGAGGUCGUGCCUAAUAGGGCCGUGAUCGACCACCUAUUAGAGGUUGUGCCUAGUGGGGCUAUGAUGGACCACCUAUGAGAGGUCGUGCCCAGUGAGGCCGUGAUGGACCACCUAUGAGAGGUCGUGUCCAGUGAGGCCGUGAUUGACCAUCUAUUAGAGGUCGUGUCCAGUGAGACCGUGAUGAACCACCUAAUUAAAGGUCAUGCCGAGUGGGGCCGUGAUUGCCACUGAUUGUUAAACCUUCCUAUAAGGCUGUGAUUGAGAGCAAUGAUUGAUUUGCUAGAAUGACAUGUAAUCGGCCGAGUCUAUUGAUCGCUGAGACGAUCCAAGUGGUUGAAUUGUUUUGAUAAUGUGGUUGUGCCACAGUUGUUUUGUUAUCAUAAUUGUACGUGGUUGAAUUAUAUAAAUUGUGCUAACCUGCAGAUGAAGACUGAGGCGAGGUAAGUCUUCUGUGUGAUGUGGCUAGGCCACCCGGAGCGUAUUUUCUUUCUAAUAGGGGUUUAGGGGGUUGAACUUGCUGAGACAUCGUCUCAUCCCGGUUGUGGGAUUAGAAUUUCAGGUCCCUGGUGGACGGAGCGGCCAGAUAGCUUUGGCUGGCCUUGAGGAGUUGCAGAAGUGAAGUCAUAAGGAUUGGAGAAUGUCCGAUUUGUAGGUCGUAGGACAGUUCAUUUUUAAGAGCAGGUCUUUUGUAGACUUUUGGCUAUAGGCCUUCGUCUGUAACUCCGUUAGUUUAUGUAAGUGAUUGGUUGUGAAAUUAUUUCCUGCUUUUCUAUCUCAUAUUUUAUUGUCAGGUGUUUUAUAAUACGUUUCGCUUGCGCAAUAAUAAAUGAAUGGGGUUGGCGACAUUAACCUGGAAACGUCACAUUUGAAUGACCGCAGUGGGAUGUGCGCACGCUCAGGGUUCCGGGCGUAACACUUAGGUCCAUACACAUUUCAUAUUAAAGCAACACACCUAGAUAUUUUUAGAUUAAGUCAAUUUUCAUUUAGUAAAACAAAAGAGGAACAAAAAAUGUUAUGCAUGCCAUACGAGUUAUAGUUUAAUUAUUAUUUUUAAUAAAAAGGAAAAUGCUAAAAGAUGAUCAUUGCACCAUUAAGUUACUUUCUUUUCAAUAAAAAACAUUAUGUCAUUAAAAAAGAAAAAAAAAAAAGAGAAGAUCAUUUCCUUGAUUAGUUAAUAGGUUAAUUCAUAAUUAAUCUCAUUUCAUAUUAUCAUUAUUUAGCAUAGGUUGUAUAUAUGCAUUAAAAAAAGUCAUUAAAAAAAUCAUAAAAAGAGCAUGUAUAUAGAUUUAUCAUGUCAUUCAUCCCAUAUCAUGUAGCACAUGCAUAUUUAGGAUUAUAUAAAUUAGAUUGCAUACAUAUAGUGAUAAGUUUAAAUCAUACCAUAUGAAUUGCAUCUCGCAUGUCUUUAAAAUAAAUCCACGUAUAUUAAAUUUAGAUUAAGAUUGUAUAUAAUUGACAUUUAAAAAAAAAAUUAGGUGUCUUGUCAUUUAGAAAUCAUGUUUAAGGCAUGCAUUUUUAUUAGCAUUUUUCAUUGAAUGUUAUUUUAUUGAUUGUACACCCGCAUGACCACCAUUUGCAUGUUAGUAGUUUAGGUUAAAAUUAAUUAAUAUUGUCUGCUAAAUAUUUUUGAAAUUAAAAUAAAUGGUACUGAAAGGGCGUUAGAUUAAUUUAGCGUAAUCAUGUCCCCGGACUUAUUGAAUCUAUGGUUCGUAAAAAUAAAGUAUUCUCCCAUAUUUUAUUUGGGUUUCUAAUCGACCUUAAUUGAUUAGUGGCGGCUCCAAAUUGAAUAGAAUUGCAUGUUUAAAUAGAUUAAUUCCAAGUCGUGAUUGGUAGGACUUGGGAGGGUUCACGCCAAGUCUUCAGACUUAGUAAUCCAUUAACCUAAACUUUAGGAUUGCCCUGAAAAUUUAGGUCGCGACAUGUCCUAUCUCGUAUGUUUAUGUCAAGGGUUUAUUAGUACGUUCCGCAUGCGCAUAAUAAUUGAAAUGGAUUUGGUGACACUACCUAGGAAUGUCGCAUUUAUAUGACCAUGACUGGUUGUUCACGUGUCUCGGGCUUCGGGGUGUGACACCGACUAUGUAUUGUUGUUGCUCUCGGAUGAGCUGUUGAUUGCCCGGGAUUUGCGAGACAAUGAAAUUGGAAGAAAGAAAAAAAGGACCCAAAAUGCUUUUAUAUUUAAUUAAAUAACAAAGGCAAUUGAAUGGUGGAUGGAGAACCUGGAAACCUUCACUCAAUUAAAAUGAAAAAAAAAUGCUUCAACACAAUUUGAGAUUUACACGCAAUGAACAAGCCUUUCAAUUAGGUGACGAAGCAUCUGUCUAUGCACUUAGAUCUAUUAAUAGUCAUUGGGAAAUUUCAAACUUUUCCCAACAUCUGACUCUAGAAGAGGCUCUCUCCUACAUGGUCGGGGAAAAAAAAACUCUAAAAGUGGCUAGCUACGCUAAACAUGACUACAAGCUUUGGUUCCACCUAUAGUCAAUGUCUAAAGUAUAGACUAGCAUCUCAUGAAAGUAAUAUACUCUAUGUUGUUGUAAUUUUUUCAACAGUGGUCAUAUUAAAAAGUUAUCAGUUUUUGUUAUCGAGUUAGUAAUUUCUAAACAGAUCGACUAAUGGUUACAAAAUCAUAGAAAUACACAGAAACUUUCAGUCCUUCAACAAUCCCAUGUUAGAAGCAUAGAAUUGUACAUGAUGAUGGUAAGUUGGGUAGUAGUUUUCUCCAAAUUAAUUACUCAGAAACAUUGUACUACUAAUUUUUAUUGCCAUAUUGGCAAUUACUAACUUUGUGAUAUUUUCACCAGGAAAGUUGAAUUUAUCCCAACAACUCUAAAAGUGAUUCUCUUCCAUUCUCAAAAAAGACGAAUAAAAAACAUAAAAGCUCGAAAAGUGAUUAGGUAUGCCAAAUGUGAUCACUAAGAACUUUGGCUGCAUCUAUAUCCCCAGUUGGAAUUCCCAACAUAUUCUUCCGUGAAAUAUUCUCAAAAUUGUGAUAUUCACAACACGGGUCGCUAACUUAGUGCUAGUAACAUUUUUCUUUUCCAGUCAGUAACUUUCCAAGCAUAUCAAGUAAUGGUCAUGAGAGCAAAAAUAGACAGAGUUGGGUCCGUCUACAGUCCUACAGUCCUAUAGUCCAAUACACAGUUGUAUCUAAAAUUUGUUUUCCCAACAUGAGUUCGUAACUCUGUACUAGUAACUUCCAUUACGGAGUCAAUCACUUUCUUAACAGAUCAAGUGCGGGACCAUAGAAGGACACGAAGAUUUGAGUUUGUAUACAAUUCCAUGUAAAAAGAAAAGUAGAAUUGAAUAUUAUGACUGUAAAUUUAUCGGUGAGGUGAUAAUUUUCCCAACUUGGAUUAGUAGCUUUGAGCUAGUAACAAGUUUCAAGCAGAUCAUACAGUCUCAAGAUCAUAGAAUUCUUCGGUGAUGUUCAACCUAUCUGCUCAUUGUAAAUUACCCUAUCAAAAACGAAACUUCUCACGGAUAGAGAAAGGUUCAUGUAAAUACCGGUACAUAACCCUGAAAUUAAGUAUCUCUCGCUAUGUAUUGUCCUUUUCCUCAAAACUGAUAAUGUUGCAGUACUCUUUAAAUGUUUUAACACCAGGACUAAUAGAGAGCAGGACAAAUUGAUGACCAGCACAAUAAACUGUACAGCACACAAUCUCCUAAUAUUGGUUUGAUGGACAAAAGCAAAAGCUUCUUCACUACACAAGCCUAUUAGAAAAUUAGAGCAAAAAACAUUAUUAAUCAUUAAAGACCCCUCUCUCUCUCUCUGGUCUUAGCAGAUCAUAAAACUGCAUUGUUAGAUCAUACAUGAAAAUUAUUGAGAGAUUCUAUUGCAGGUUUCACAAAUUUGUGGUUAGUAGUUAAUAUAUGCACAGAAGAGUGAUGAUGCUUGGCAAGUGAUAGGAAGGAAAUAAAAGCACCGAUGGGAAAGAGGGCGACACCUUUGCAAGAAGCUUUGCAUUCUCUUCUUUCAGAGACCUCUCCUGAGGUAAACCAAAUAAAGUUGCUAGAUUAAUAUAACCAGGAAAUUAACAAUGCCUGAUGAGAUGGGAUAUGCAUUCAUCAUAUUUGUCCACUUACCUUUGCUUGUAGCUGCCGCCGUAUCUGAUCGUUGAAUAAUUAAGCCUGUAAAAGAGCUCCGUAGAAAUAUUUUAACUUUCGUGUGUGUGCAUGUUGUCCCGAAACCUUUCUUAGUACAAGGUAAAAAAUAAUAAAAGAGAGAAAAUAAGUUGAAAUGACGGACGAUAGAAAUGAAAGGACGAUGCUUUGCAACUUGUCCAGAAACAUAGUUCAAGUGAAAAGUUGUUCAUGGAAAUCGGCAAGGUUAACAUAAUAAAAAACUCAUAGUAUUCUAUCAUUUCAUGCCAAAGAGUGCGCACUAUUUUUUUGUUUCAUGUAAAUAAGUAUCCACUCAUGUCAAUAAGUGUAGAAACCAUUGGUAAAAAUUGACCGAUGAUCCUUUUUUUUUUGGUCAGAGAAGAAAAGCCAGUUAUUUAACCAAACCGAAUAAAUUUAUUAACUAAUCAAAUAAGAGUUGGCAACGCAGAAUUAGUUGGUUACUUAAACAGAGAAAAGUUAGUAACUCCUAUUAUCAAGAUUGGUAAUUUCUAGUUGGGUUCGUGAAGGGUGAAGAGGAGUGAAGUAUUUUUAUCAACAGAAAUCAUUUUAUAACGAGGAAAGUGAUAAAGAGAAGAAAGAUCUGCUGAAGUUGUUGGCACGUAAGACAGAAGAGAAAGAGUAGACCUCAUUCUCCACCAUAACACAAUGUUUCCAUUAGAGUAGUCAAAGGAAGGGUUAGAGUAGGAAAAAUUGCACUAAGAAAGACCAAAUAAGCGUUGGUAAGUUAGUCCCGAAAAAAUAAGUCUAUAAGUCUAUAAAGUUAGUCAAAUAGAGUUAGUUACCCAAAAAGAGUUAGUAAUUUUAGCGAAAAAUAGGUCUAUAAGCUAUUCACAUAAAUAUUUGCAAAUACAUAUAAGAGCUAUUAAAUUUAAAGGAAUGGCAAGAAAAAAUAAAUAAAAUUUAAUAAAAAAUAAGAGAUGUUGAUAAUUGCACAUUGUUGAAAAGAGUCGGUGAGUUCAUACAAGUGUAAGUUACCAAUAAGUCACUUAGAAAUCAGGUAAUUGAAUACUUUUUUUAAUCACGGUUUUUUGUCACUUACAACUCUUUCAUAGGUUUAUCAAAAACUAUCCAAUUUAUUUUGGAAAGACAAACAAUAGAGUCGUCCAGAUAACUUCGGGAAAAAUACUGAUAGAAGAAUAAUCAUGAUCUUUUACUUGUUUAUCGUGGGAAAAAAAAAAAAAAAGAAUAGGUCAAUAACUAUCAAGAGAAGGGGUGAUUUCUGAAUGUGCUCUCGUUCUUUCAUAUAAGGUAGAAAACGCCAUGUAUGCUUGGAGAAAUAUUCAUUCUCUCCUUUCAUAUGCCAAGUUGAACAUUUUUAGUCUAUUCAGUUCCAAUCUUACCAUGUGAUUGCAGUCUCUCUUGAAAUUGGUGUUUCGGCUCCUGUAUGGAUAUGAUAAAUCCUGUUAUUCAUUUAACGGAAAUUGUUUCUCAUUGUUUUCUUCCCCUUCUCACCAUAUCCAUGCCUCCAAAUACAGCGGCUACUCUAUGAAAGUUCUCAAGACAUCUACUUCGCUCAGAGAAAAGGACAAAUAUGCUAAAGACGCAUGUACCUUUCUUUCCCUAAUGCUGCUCAAACUUCGCUCGAGCUGAUCCCCUCUCUGUUGGAUUUCAUCGAUUGAGCAAGAUCCAAGAUAUUCUCCUGAUAGCUUCCUGAUGUAAAAAAGAAAAGGAGCACGAUAGUUUGGGAAUUAGAUAUCAAGAAUCCAUUUCAAUCCACAAUAUAUAAGAGAGAAGUUUCAAAAUUUGUGGACCGUAGAGAAACUUCAAGAAGCUCAAUCUUCCUCUCCAUGUCAGUGGUUUCUUGCUUCAGACGCUGCACAUAUAUGGAGAUUGUGACAUUUAUGAAUCCAGUGAACGGAACAAUACAAACUGAACAAAUUUGAAAUUAGUAAUAAAUAAAACCAAUCAUAGGGACCAAAUUUGUAACACUACAGCUAAGACUGCUACUAUAAGAACCCUAAUGUUCUUGCAAAAUUUGUAGCUGCCAUAGUCAAUUCUAUGGCAUACCACCUCACUAGUUCUUGAGAUCAAAGGUAGGGUUCUAAUCAAGAACGCAGUUCGAUAUUAUUACAAUCUGCAAAUACAUACAUAAAGGUUCAACACCAACAAUCAAUUUUAAGACUUCUUCAAGAAAACAAUAAUAUGUAAAUGCCCAAGAAGGGCAUGUUUCUGAGGCAUAAAGUGGUGGAUGAUGAGUGGGAUUUCAGAAGCUGAAACCGUUUUCGNNNNNNNNNNNNNNNNNNNNNNNNNNNNNNNNNNNNNNNNNNNNNNNNNNNNNNNNNNNNNNNNNNNNNNNNNNNNNNNNNNNNNNNNNNNNNNNNNNNNNNNNNNNNNNNNNNNNNNNNNNNNNNNGCCAAAAGUCCUUUAUCUAACCAUAACAGCACUUUGAUUUCGACCAAAAUAAAUAAAUAAAUAACAGCACUUUGAUAGCACAGCUUUGGUGGCUCUCUCAAAUUAUUCCCACCUGUACUAGACUAACAUUUUGAGAUACCUGACUUUUGCUGUAAAGUAUGAAAUUUGGAUGAGUUUUCUAGAAUUUGGUUCACGAGAGGUAAUGCAUACUUAAAAAGAAUAAUUCUAGACAUAUUAAGGCUUGUCUCCUAAAUUUUUUUACUUUAUGACCCCCCAAAAAAAAUUCAUUUACUAAUUGAUGAUGUAGAUUCCUGAUAGGUACUUAAACGAGUUUACUAACUUAAAUAACAUUUAUGCAACGGCACAUCGCUUAGCAAACCAAUGUAGAAGGUAUUCCCCCCAUUCCUCAUGCUUAAGAACCAUGAAGCAUCUCUCAUGUACAAAAUCACAUGCAUCACAUAUAUGUAUUUAACCUAGUAAACGUUCAAUUUUUCAUUUUCUAUUUUUAUUAUUCUUUCAAAGUGAAACAUUUACUGCUAUUUUUCACCCAAAAAAAAAAAAAACAUUUACUGCUAUCACUCAGACAAGAGAUGUACUUAUGAAUGAACGCUCCAAGUUGCUAUCCCCAUUAAUGGUCAUAUUCUGUUGAUGCAGACAAAAAGACUUACAAAGUUAAAAUUUGAAAUAUUGACGUUUUCACUCAGCUUUGGUGACAAUGGAUGUAAUGAAAAUCAACAACUCAAAUAAGAGUUGAAAAUGAUUAGGAUUCUUCUUCUAGUUGAAAUAGCGAUCUUAUCAAUUAAGAUUUGAGCACUGUUAGGAUUUAAUUAAGUUCAAUAUUCUAGUGGUGGGACAUUGUAUUUCUUGUAUAGAUGUUUCCUAUUUCAAUCAGGUUUCUUAUUGAGAAGUUUCCCAUACUAAGUAAGAGUAGGAUUUCUAGAAUAAUUUAGCAAUUUUUUUUUUUUAAUUCGUGAUGCGAUAAUACUCUUACAUGUGAUGCCUAAGAAACCCCAUUUGUGAUGCUCAGGCUGUUUUAUGUCUGAUGCCUAAAAAAUUACCUAAUUUGAGUUGUCGUCCAUUGAAAAUUCUCUUCAAGUUCUUAUUAAGUUGAACUCACUGCUUAGGGAGAUAUCAUCCACUAUAUCAAUUUUGUAUAAUGGUAGAGAUGAUAUGUCCUGAAUAGUGAGCUUCAAAGAAAACUUGAAGAGAACAAACGAUUCAAAAUGAAUAAGUUUUUUCGGCAUCACAUCUAUACUUUCUAAGCAUCUCACCUAGGGUUUCAAAAGUGCCACACUUCAGAGAACGAUUCCAUCACACAAGAAAGAAAUACAAUCCUUAAAAACCUUUCUAGGAUUAAUGAUACUCCCACUAGGAAGACUCCAAACAAGAAAUAGAACUGAAAUAGAAUUCAUCUACAAAAGAAUUUAAUGUUCCAUUUGUGACGUAAGUAGAAAAUUUAAGAAAAUCCUGAUGGUACUCAAAUCCUAAUUGAGAAGACUAACACAAAAAUCAACUAAAAGAAUAAUCCAAAUCCUAGGUGUCACAGGCCAGCAACGACCAUCAUCAUCAAAUCUUUCUAAAAACAUCGGCCUGUUUGAUAUUGUUGCCUUCAUUACUGGCUAUAGUUCAUGAUUUAUCCUCAAUAUAAUAGACAUCAUCACAACAAACUCAAGCAGAAACUGAUUUCGAAGGUUAAAAUAAUACGUUGAGAAUUGAGGUCAUUUCUUUUCAUCUCUUGCAAUGAAAUAACACUUAUAGAGUGCCAUGUCACUUGUUAAACCAGCUCAGAAAGUGUUCCUAGCAUUCGUCAUGCUUAAGGACCAUGAAGCAGCUCUCAUGUGCCAAAGCACAGGUAUCAUGUCUAUGCAUUUUAACAUCAUGAAAGUUCAAUUUUCCAAAGCGGAACGUGUUUUGCUAUAACUCCGCCAAAAGAUGUAUCCAUGAAUGUGCCUUCCACGUUAGUGUUCCCAUCAAUAGAGAUAUACUGUUGAUGCAGACAAAAGGAUUUACUAAGUUGAUAUUUGAAUAUCGAUGUUUUUACCAAGCUUCAGUGAGUAUGGAUGCUGUGAAAUUCUACAACUCAAUGACCUAAAAGAUCAUAUUGAGAUCAAAUUGGAAUUGAUUCAGAAGUAUGAAGUAACAAGUUGAGAAUUGAGAUCAUAUCUUUUCAUCUCUUGCAAUGCAAAUAAACCACACAAAGAAGCAUCUUCAUCAAACAAGGGAAUUAUAAAAGUGAACUUCUAAAGAGAUUCAAAGAGAAAAGGUCAUUGAUCUGCAGGAAAUAGGAAGCUUCAUGAUCCAUAUUGUUCUGCAUCUAUUUAGACAUUUCGUAGAACAAAGGUUGUAAAGUAGUCCCUUGCGAGCUGCGAAUUGUGAAUUAGAGAUAUAAUUUUUUUUUUUUUUAACAUGAAGAAUUAGCAAAAAAGAUGCAUAACCAUUCAUCAUCUUAGUUCUAUCCAGCCUGGUAUUUUUAGAUUUAGCAUUUGACUAAUAAUAUAAUAUGUGGAGCCAGGAGCUGUCCCUCUCAUGAAUUACUCAUUUCUUCAUUCUAUGGUUUCACUUGAAUUGAUAAAAAAAAGAAAUAACAAUAAUUGACUUGGCAUAAAGUAAGUUUAUCCGCAACUUAUCUUGGAUAUAUACACCUUCUCAUUAAGAGAAAAAUUACCACAUUAAAGAUGUAUUCAGAAGUUGAAUGUCACUUGACUCUAUCCCUUUUUGUACAAGUAUAUCAUCAUCAUUAGUAUGAUAUCUACUUUCUGGUUCUAGUGAUCCAUUUAAAUCAUGUAUGCAGGUAGAUUGUCGCGUGAUUCUUUGCAUACCAGGCGACUAUUUAUGCAUACACAAGUAUAUAUUAUAAGGCUGUUGGGGAAAUAGAAUUUCUCGUCAUUUGUGUUCGUAUAUAGACUUCUUUGUAAGUCCCAUCCUGAAAAAGUUAGGUAAUGUGAUUUUAUAUGUUAAUUCACACACACACAAAAAGAGGAAGUUGGUUUCUUACAUACAGCAAAAUGAAUAAAAAUUGAACUGCUCAACUUGUUUAAUUAAACUGAGAAUCUCACUGAACUCCUUACGAAUGCACCUAAUGUAUUAUCAUGGAAAGGUUAGAGAACCGACCAGAAUAUAUUGUUCCACAUUAGCCUGGUACGUAGCCGCACCACUUGCAGAUCUGCGAUAUCAAUCAAUUGUCAUUCGGAUUCUGAAAAAAUUGCAAAGAUAACAUAUGAGCUCAGCCACUGGGAAUACAUUCUCCAAAUUAAUCAGUAUCACCAAAACUAAAGUAAUCAAACAUUAAAAAAAAUUAAUGAUCAUUUUUGUGAAUCAUGCAUGACUUCCAGUGAAUAUGUAUAACCAUCACUCACAAACAGAAUACGCAAGUAGCAUAAGCCUCUGCAAGAAGCUUUUAGCCUCUCAGCAACUUAUUUGAAACGAUAUGAAGUACUUGCAAAAGUCUUGGUUGCCCACCUUAUACUUUGUAAAUAAUUGAUGCCACAGAGAGUGUAGAGAAGUAAAAAGUAACACUAAUGAGAACUUAAAUGAAUAGGUCGCUCGUCACUCAUAGGAAUUCAUCUAACAGAUAAGAGCAAAACAAGAAAUCCUUCUUGUUCUCAAGCCAAAGGCUAAAUAAGCUAUGAAUCAAAACAAGUCUACCUCCUCAUUUAUCAUAGCAUGCUUAUAUAGAUGAAUUUGGAACAACCCUUCAAGCAUGAGUAAUUACCAAGACUCCUUGAACAGACAAAAGACUCAUAGAAAAGACAAAACUAGUCUUACUAGAAAACAACUAUACUUAAAUGAGGACUUCAGAAACUUAAAUGACAUUUACUAAACCUUGAAAAUAUAAGAAUCAAAUGUAGUUGGUUGUAAGUCUCCUAGUUUUACUAGUUCUGAAUUAAUGGAAUGCUCCGGCAUCAAUAAUCGUGCCAGGAAUAUUUUUCUUCAAAUUUUAGCGUAAAUGUUCAAUUUCACAUUACAAAAGUAUAUUAUGUGCACACGCGAAGUAUAUUUAAAUGCGAGCAUAGAUGCAAUGUUUUUGGCCUAGCCCAAAGUCUUCAAUAUAUUCCACAUGCCACUCCAUGUAAGUAAGAAGUAAGAACAGCACAUGAUGCUCUAAAAAUCAUUGUGAAGCAGCACAAGGACUCACUACUUCAGGGAGAAAUUGUAAGAGCAAGCAGUUGCACCUACAUUUAACUUGUGACUUCAAGUACUUUUUUUCCCGGUAAAUGAAGAAUAGGGAGUACUUUCAUGGUGGAGCAACUAAAAUGGAAAACAUGUACAAUUGCAGUCACUUUUGGACGUAAAUACUCUAUUUAUAAGAAAUCCAAGAGAUAAGUGUGUCGUGUCGCAUUAGCAUUAAUCUAUUAUACUAGCGAAUGCACUCAAUCCCAUUAAAUCACCACUACACAAAUGUAGCCAAGCCCCUAAACUUAUUCACCUUUCAGAGCACCCUAUAAUUUAAAGAACCUGAAGUUGAAGAUGUCAGGACUUGUUUCACAAGCUUUUGCUUAGGGUUAAGUACCAUUAAAAGAUCAACUUGAAAAUCUUUUGCAGGUUUUGUUUGAUUCGGAAGAGAGAUUAAUUAUGCUUUAAGUUUCGAUUCAAUGAACCAUGAUUUGAAAUGCUUCUUUAUUAUGGCAGUAGAUAGCUAACAUAUUAAUUGAUUUCCCGACUGAUAUAAUGCGUUUCAUAUGAAAUUUCUAGUUUUUGCCUUGUGUUAUGGUCAUAAACUUGAAACAUGGAUCUGCAUGAUUUGUAAGAUAGCUAUUAUCACAUAGGAUACAUAAAAUAGCCUUAAUUCACGUCUAAGUGGUAUAAUUACAACGAACUGAAUCAAACAAGGUAUGGUUUGAAACGCUUCACCCUUUUCAACUUAAGUUUGGUUUUCUUCAACAAUUUUCCAAGCAAUCAAAUUUGUUUGGAAAAGAUCUACUUCGAAUAGAAUAAUACCUAACUGCAAAUACGCUUAAUCAUCAUGCCUCAAGAACCUACAAUGUGGAAUUGGGGGGAAGGCUGAACUGUUACUUGUCAAAACCGGAAGGACCAAACAAUAUCAGUCCCUAGUUUCACUAACAUCAAAUUAUGUUUUCAUUCCCCAAGACAAAGUACUAACUAUCCUAACAUGUGAAGUAGCUGGGGGAGAUCAGUACUUGCAAGAUAUUCAACAAUUCGUUUCCUCAGAAGAACCAUUAAGAAAGAGGGAGUCCAACUCCAAUGCCACAGCCUACACAAUGAAUGCCUUUGAUCAGCUAAUCCCCCACACCUAGCCAUUUGAUUAGGUACACCCCAGUGCAUUGACUAUUCAAAAAAAUGCGAAAGAGAAGAUUCUAUAGUUUCAUACUUCCUUUCCUCAGCUAAUUUCAACUAGGAUAUUUGAAUAAAAGUCAUUGUUUUUAAAAAUUGUCCGAAAAUGAGAACUAGAUUGGUCAUCAUCGUGGGUUAGUCCAUGAUCGAAGGGGAAUAGCACUGAACACUUGACCAAAACCAAAAAUGGUAGGAAAAAAAGCAGAAUAAGAAAAAAAAAAAAAAAACCCAUGCCCUGAUGCUGUCUCUUAUUUGCACUUCACAAACACACAGCGUACAUAUGUGCAUGUGCCCUCAUUUUGGACAUAAGAAUGUCAACAUGGCUCAAUCACGUUGCCCAUCUAAAAUCAACUCGAGAAAUUAUAAAAUCGGUACGCGAACGUACUCGGAAGUGCUUGAGAACUCAUAAAGCCUUCCUUUCUGUGAAAAGAUGAUCAUGGUGACUUCGGCAUCGCAGAGGACUGAGAGCUCAUAAGCUUUCUUCAGUAGCCCAGCCUGGCGCUUUGAGAAGGUGACUUGCUGGCUCGUCGCGUUCUCAAUUCGCCUCAUCUGAACUUUGCCUCUCGCCAUGAUUAAAUUCUUCCUACAUACAUGGUGGUUAUCAACCCUAGAAUGGCAAGUACUCAAACGUAGCGAUGAACAUAACAAAUAUACCUCAACGAUCAAAAAUAAUAACUCACCAGGGACUUUGGCAGCGUCAACCAGCUGAAGAUUUAUCUUUUUAUCCACCUCCUAUUGUCUAAACUUUAGACUGAAGUUCUUCAGAAGCUAAAAACACUGCAAGACAAAUCACACUUCUUUUUUUUCCAAAUAGACAUGAACUAUAUCAUCAUUCGAACACAAGCAAAAACCACAUGAUAAAGAUUUCACAAUCAAAGGUUGGAGAAUUAUAUAUUUGCCCAGGGUAUUAAAUGGGGAAGCUUCUCUACUCUACGCACAAAAAUGAACCACAAUAAAUUCAGAGACCCUACAGAGGGAUGAGAGCGCGAAGGCAAAAACCAAAAAACUGGAACGAAAGCAAAGGAUAUUUGGCAGCUCACGGAUCUCUCUUUAUUUUGUGGCCACGAACAUAAAAAGCAAAAAAAAAAAAAAUCAUUACUAUUCCAAAUUCAACGAUCUUCUACUCAGGGCAAAUAUGGUGUGAGAUACCCAUCAAAAGGAAAUACAGACAAAAAAGGAAAGAAAUAAGGAGGCAAGCAAAGCAUUCAAGUUCGACCGAAACGGCAUGGUCAAUUUCGUAAUGAAGAGUCGGAGAAGCAGAAGGAUUGUCUCGUUUUGAUUAAGUUAUGAAAAAGAGAGUAGAGAGAGAGAGAGAGAGAGGAGAUAUUAAGUUUUUAUUUAUUUAUUAAAUAUUCUUUGCCAGCGGGCUUCAGCUUCGGCUGCUGUGGCCUGUGGGACAUUCGAAUGAGAGAGCACUAAGAAACGAAACGGGUGAAAAGAAAGAGAAAAAGGUCGUACGAUGGCCCUAAAUUGUGGACAUCACCGUACCAUGGCGCGCGCUGUUAACGAAUGGGACGUUCACAACUGGGAAAACAUUAUCCCUCACUUAAACUCAGUGAGCCUCCACUCGACCGAUGGAAAGAGGCUCUGUCCUUUUCUUGGGCCUAAUAGGAACAGCCUCGGGGCUCUUCUUCGAUCGGUUCCUCUCCUAAUGGGUUUACAAGCACUAGGAGUACUCGAAAUUAUUACCAUGAUAUAUUCAUGGAUAAAAUAAAUACAGAUCUAUCCUUUAGCUUAUCUUUUCUUCAUGUUCUUCUCAUAAUUCCUCAUUAUUUAGGGGCGUAAAAAAUACCCGAAACCUUUCAAUUUGGAUAAAAGUAAAGAAAUUCAGGAAGUUUGACGCUUCAGUUCAGAUUUCGGAUUUUUUUUCUUAGGUUAUGCACAUAGGAGAUCAAAAGUUACUGAUUAUGGUGCACUAAUCCAAAAUCACUUAAUUUUCUAAUUAGGAGAUGUGAUUUUGGACAAAACUAUUAUGUUUUGAUAGAAUACAAGUAGAGCAAACAUAUCACGAUAUCAAUAAAAUGGCCAGCUCGCCCCCAUCACUAAGCCCCUCGCUGGCAAGAAGCUCGGCAAGCGCACCCUCAAGCUCGUCUACAGAGGUAAUGCCCCAUGAAACCCUUACUUGUUGUCUCGUGUUAACAUGCAUUCUUGCUCCCUUUCUCCUUUCCGUUGGUUGGCAAGUUGAAAAUGAGUUUUGGGUACGUGAUUCGUUGGAUAUACAGUGACUGAUGGUCUUGACUCUUUAUGAAACCUAUUCAAUGGAACUUUAGCUGGAACUGGGUGCAUCGAAAUGCUGGUUCUCUUUGUCGAUGAGCUAAAUAUUCAUUGCAAAUGGCAAGCGCAAGGGGGCGGGGUGGGCUUAAAUGGGUGUGCUACGUGUUUGUGGUUCAAUUGAAAUUUCUUUAGGCUGACUAUUGGCAUGUCCUUGUGGUUCUUCCUGAUUUGCAGCUGCUGAAGACAAAUGCUUGAAAAGAGGCGUGAAGGAGGUUGUUAAAAGCAUUUGGCGUGGUCACAAAGGGUACAAAUUUAUCCUCUUUUUUUUUUUUCUAGUUUGAGCAUAAAUGCCAGUCGAUGCAAGGUCGAAUGAAAUCUCUGUAGUUGCUUGGAGCCACGUCUUUUGUUCUGCAUAGUGUUGGCUGGGGAAUGUUUGGGUUGUUGUUGAGCCCAGAUAUUCGGAAAGAGAUUUGAUUUACUAUAAAAACUAAUUUGUUUUUGUAGAAUUCUAAUGUUAUAUAAUUUGUUUUCAUUUUUCAAUCAAUGGAUCAAGACAAAGACAUAUCAAUGAAAUAUGGAAGUUAUUUGUGUAAAUCGUCGGUGGAUUUUCAAUUGGGAUUCACUUUUUAUUUCGAUUUUGAGAUUAGAAAAGUUCUAUUUUCUUUGAGAUUGAUUAUUCUGCUGGUUUGAAAGCGUGCAUGGUGAUACGUAGGAACUUUUGGAUAGGAAUGAGAGUCAUUAGCAUUUCAAUUGACAGUAUUUUUAAUCGCUAGUCCUCGCGAUUUUUAUGCAAAAAGGUUGCUGUUCAGAAAUUUUUAUGCAAAACAGAUUCUAAUAUAAACAGGGUUGACCCUAAAACCGAACUGGAAAAUUAGGGUGGGUUGGGUACAGAGUUCAAUACAAACAAGGUCGGGUACAUGGUCCAAAAAAUGGGAACCAAUUAUAACAAGGCCGGGUACAGGAUCUAGGUCUAGAUCCUACCCACCCUGGACUCGAUCAUCCCUAUUGUACACAACGAGAAAGCAUCAUUGGUUACAACAAGGUGUUUUCUCCUAUUGUAAGGCAUUUUGAUAUUUGAAUAUUACUUGUUUUAAUUGCUACACAAGAUCUCGAGCUAAAACAGCCGGAUGUCAAUAUGGCAAUUUUUAAUGAUGAGUUAGAGGAGCGCAUUUAUAUGAGGCAACCAAAAUGAUUUGUUAUUCUGAGUAAGGAAGAGCAUAUUUUUUUAUUAAAGAAAUCUUUUUAUGGGUGAAAACAGUCUCCUAAGUAAUGGUAUAAUCAUUUUAAUGUUUUUAUGACUAGUCAAGACUAUUCAAAAAUCAGUUAAACGGCUUUAGAAAAUAGGAGGAUAGAUAUUUGAUUUAUCUAUUAGUAUUUGUUGAUGACAUAUUGAUAACGGUUAAGAUUUUGUAUGAAAUUGAUGUGUUGAAGAGGUAGUUGACUACUAGAUUUCAAAUGAAAGAUUUGGGUACUACAUAAAAGAAAAAAUGUCAAAAACGCUUAUUGGAUCAAUUAUAUGAAAAGCUUUUGUUUUGAAUUGUGCUAUGAGUUUUACUUGCAAUUGAGUCGUUUAUAUAUAAAUACCGUAGGUUUAGGUAUACUCUAGGUGUGGGAAACAAUCGAGCAUGUGAGCAAUUAUUAACUCUAUGAUUCUCCAAUAAUUAGUAGAUUUCUUGCUAGCUCUUCUCGUUAAGAAGUUACCAACACAUAGACCAAACCACGUAAAUUUUUAAUGUUUUUUCUUCCUGACUUAUUUCUAUGGUGAUUUUGCAUUUAUUUAAUUCAUAAGUUCCAAUAUUUUCCACAUUAGUUUUACAAAAUUUUAGAUAGACAAGCCACCAUAUCGAUUAUAAAAUACAAAAGAUGAAGAGAACAUAGCUAAUGCAAUGUGGAAUGAAAAGGACACUAAAAUAGCACAAGGCCUUUGAAUAAAUCACAUGGGCCUUUAAUUAAAUUGCAUAUCUUUAUUAAUAUAUUAAGCCAAAGCACGCACCUUACUCAUAUGACCAACAUGCCCCAUUUAUCAUGUUUCUACAUCACAACAAUCUUGACCCUCUCAACUAUUUCAUAUUCUUUUUUUUUUCAAUAACUAAGUAAAUUUUAUAACGCAAAUAUUAACACAGUUGGAGAGCAUCUUCUCUCUACCAACUCAAUACAAAGGCAAGUCUUUAAAACAAAGAUGCAAUCCAAUUUCCACUGCUGCUAAUACUAAUUGAGUUUCUUGGACAAAAGGCAACCAUAACAUUCUCAAUGACCUUUAUACAAAGCUAAAAGGCCUUUAAGCUAGAUUUGAAAAUCUAAAUAUCCUAGAAAUCACACAAAUAUCUAUCAAUUGAGAUGGCGUAUAUUUUCUCUUUUAGCAAACCAACAACCUUAAGUCAAGUUGACAAAUAGAGUGAGUUUAUCUCCCUGCUACUCAUAGUAUUUACAUGUAAUGGCUGAUAUUAAGAGAAGUACGUAUGCGUUUGUCUAAUUUGAGUAAUGGUUAAGUAUUGGAGAAGUAAUGCUAAAUCAUGCAUUGACAUAAUAUACACAUCGUCAAUUGAUUAAACAUUUUAACCUAUAAGUCAUUAUUUCAACAUGUACAAAAGGGUAUUUUAAAAAGUCAUUAUUUGGUUUAUUGGUAGUUUGGUUAAAAUGAUCGAAAUAGAAUUACUGAUUACAAAUAGCAUUUUGCAUAAAAAGAUAAUCCAAUUUUACUUUUAAAAAAAUUCAAAAGGGAUUCUUGUCAUUUUAGUCAAUGGGAUUCAUCCUAACAAAUUUCACAUUUAAAAGUCCUCACUUAAUAUUGAUUUGCUUCCCCACAUCACUUUCACGGGUUUAUUUGAUGCACAAAAUCCAUUUUUCUUAUUUAUGAGGACAUUUAGGUACUUUUGUUGGUUUGGGAUUGAGACAUCCAAGACAAUGUUCUUGUUUUAAGAAAAGGAAUUAUUGUAGUAUGAUGUUAAAAAAUCACACUAAUAUUGGAUUAUAGCUAACAAGCCAACCAUGGAUCCUGAUGUAGACUAGCCCAAAUUAAUUCCUGACAAGUGACCAGGUAGAGGGACCCAUUGUCUUUCGAAUCCAAGCUUGUCCAUAGAUUUUUCCAUCACAAAGAAUGAAAACAAAGGGAAAAAUAGAAAGCUCAUACAUAAAUUUUGUCUCCUUUUUAUUAUUUAUUUGUAUUUCUUAUUAAUUGUUAAGUUGGAUGCACCGUACAUUUUAGUCAUCUUAUGUGUCCCGAGAGAAUUAUCAAAAAAAUCCUAAACUUAUUGCAUUUUGGUCAAUUUAGCCCUAAACCCAUGAAUACUGGCUAGACAGUUGAUCGGCUAUGUGACAAUUUUUUAAUUUUUAAUUUUAUUUUUUCAAAUUUUAAUUUUUUUUCCUUUGUUUUUUUUUUCCCAUCUCCCUCCUUCCUCAGGCUGAUCAGAGGCAUGGGCCGACAAGCAUGGGCCAGCAGGGGCGAGCCUUGCCUAACUAUAGUGAGGCCUUGCUAAAUCUGGAGACUCAGCCUCACCCAAUCAUGGUGAGGGCGAGCCUCACUGACUACUAGCAAGGUCAACCCUCGCUAGACCUAGCCAUGGCAAGCCCAGCGAUGGUGAGGCCGAGCCUCACCAAAUUUGAUGGGGCCCAACAUCGACCUCGCCAAUGGUCGGUGGGGGCGAGCCUCACCAUUGGUCAGAGAGGCUAAGCUAUGGUCAGUGGCGAUCGGCCAAAGAAAGGAGGAAGAAGGGAAAAAAAAUAAAAAUAACAAAAAGGAAUAUAUAUAUAUAUAUAUAUAUAUAUAUAUAUAUAAGAAUUAUUUAAAAAUACGAAAAUUUUAUUUAAAAAUUAUCAUGUCAAAAUCCACAAGGUAGCCAACACUAGCUGACGUCAAUGUCGAUCAACUCAAUUUGGCCAAAUGAAUUAAAUUGGCAUAAUUGGAAAAGAUUUAAAACUCGGUUGAAAAAUAAAUUUAAAACUGAAUUGACACAAUUGCAAUAAAUUUAAGAUAUUUCUGGUAAUUUUUCCCACGUGCCAUUGAUUAUCCUUAAAUGUCUGUCUCUCCAAUACCCUUCCAAUUUAAGGCAUCGCCUUGGAAACAUGUCAUCACUCACAAGCCCAGAUGGAAGCUAGCUUCUCGGAUGAAAAAAGUUGGAUCUCGUUGUUUGGGAUGAGUUACAAAUCUAUUGAGUAGCCUCAUGUUGCAACAUGACAAUUUUGAUUUCAGAAUAUUUCAGAUGUCCAUGACCUUUACAUCUGCCUAUGUCCACGCUAAGGGAAAUUAUAGAAGUGAUGAAUGAAAUUUUUUUGGCUUACCCAACCUUUAAGAGGUGUCCGACCAAAAACAAAACCUUAAAGAGGCAUCCUCAGACUGAAAAAUAAAAUAAAUUGAGAACCUCAAAGAGGUAUCCAAUGAUGUUGAAAUGCAUGCAAGCAAUUAAAAAAUAUGCUCAACAAAGACAUUUGUUUCUUGGAAUCAACCGAUGUGUAACUCAAAUGUGAAGCCCAAGGUGCAAGCAAGUUAUUUCCUUCAUUUCGCUGAAUCUUCCUCGUAUAUGUCUGUCAUUGUUCAUUUCUAAUUUGAUCUUUCUUUGCCUUCGCUAUUCUUACUCGUGGAUCUUGGAAAUGACUACCAUGAAUCCCAUGCAUAUGUUGCUUUGGCUGUGCUAAGGGGAAUCUAGCUGAGUAAAGAUAUCACCGAGUUAUAUCACCAUAAUUCUUAUUUUAUUCUAUUGAAUAGGUAUUAUUAGGGUGAUGGCGAACCAGUUUAACUCUGUGCCAAUCCGAUGAACAACCCGGUCUCACCAUCUGUACUCCGGCUGCUCCGGCUAUGUAUUGUUGUUGCUCUCAGAUGAGCUGUUGAUUGCCCGGGAUUUGCAAGACACUGAAAUUGGAAGAAAGAAAGAAAGGACCCAAAAUGCUUUUAAAUUUAAUAAAAUAAAAAAUGCAAUUGAAUGGUAAUGGACAACCUGGAAACCUUCACUCAAUUAAAAUGGGAAAAAGCUUCAACACAAUUUGAGAUUUACAAGCAAAGAACAAGCCUUUCAUGGGAUCUAAUUAGGUGACGAAGCAUCUGUCUAUGCACUCAGAUCUAUUAAUGGUCAUUGGGAGAUCUCAACUUUCCCAACAUCUGACUCUAGAAGAGGUUCUUUGCUCCAUAAUCGGAAGAAAAAAAGAAAAAAAGAAAAACUCUAACAGUGGCUAGCUACGCCAUACAUGACUACAAGCUUUGUUUCCACCGAUAGUCAAUGUCUAAAGUACAGACUAUAUCAUGAAAGUAACAUACUCUAUGUUGUAAAUUUUUCAACAGUGGUCAUAUUAAAAGGCUAUUAGUUUUUGUUAUCGAGUUAGAAUUUUCUAAACAAUCGACUAAUGGUUAAAAAAUCAUAGAAAGACACAGGAACUUUCAGUCCUUCAACAAUCCCAUGUUAGAAAUAAAGAAUUGUACAUGAUGAUGGUAAGUUGGGUAGUACUUUUCUCAACAUUAAUUACUCAAAACAUUGUGCUACUAAUUUUUAUUGCCACAUUGGCAAUUACUAACUUCGUGAUAUUUUCACUGGGAAAGUUGAAUUUAUCCCAACAACUCUAGAAGUGAUUCUCUUCCGUUCUCAAAAAAGACAAGAAAAAAAAAAGCUCGAAAAGUGAUUAUGUAUGCCAAAUGUGCUCACUAAGAACUUUUGCUGCAUCUAUAGUCCACAGUUGGAAAACCCAAUAUAUUCAUCCGUGAAAUAAAUAUUCUCAAAAUUAUGAUAUUCACAACGUAGGUCACUAACUUAGUGCUAGUAACCUUUUUCUUUUCAAGUCAGUAACUUUCCAAGCACAUCAAGUAAUGGUCAUGGGAGCACAAAAAGACAGAGAUUUAGGUCCGUCUACAGUCCUAUAGUCCAAUACACAGUUGUGUCUCUUGAUCACAAUUCCCAUAUAAUUUGUUUUCCCAGCAUGAGGUCGUAACUCUGUACUAGUAACUUCCAUUAUGGAGUCAAUCACUUUCUUAACAGAUCAAGUGCGGGAUCAUAGAAGCACACAGAUUUGAGUUUGUCUACAAUUCCAUGUAAAAAAGAAAAAUAGAAUUCUAUCUUGUGACAGUAAAUUUAUCAGUGUGGUGAUAAUUUUCUCAACUUGGAUUAGUAGCUUAGAAGUAGUAUUAAGUUUCAAGCAGGUCAUACGGUCUCAAGAUCGUAGAAUUCUUCGGUGAUGUUCAACCUAUCUGCUCAUUCUAAAUUACCCUAUCCAAAACAAAACUCCUCACCGAUAGAGAAAGGUUCAAUAUAAAUACCAGUACAUAACCCUGAAAUUAAGUAUCUCUCAUUAUGUAUUGUCCUUUUCAUAAAAACUGAUAACGUUGCAGCACUCUUUAAAUGUUUUAACACCGGGACUAAUAGAAAGCAGGACAAAUUGAUGACCAGCAAAUUUAACCAGCACAACAAACUGUACAGCACACAAUCUACUAAUAUUGGUUUGAUGGACAAAAGCAACAAGCUUCUUCACUACACAAGCCUAUUAGAACAUUAGGGCAAAAAACAUUAUUAAUCAUUAAAGACCUCUCUUUCUGGUCUUAGCAGAUCAUAAAACUGCAUUGUUAGAUCAUACAUGAAAAUUAUUGAGAGAUUCUAUUGCAGGUUUCACAAGUUUUUGGAUAGUGGUUAAUAUAUGCACAGAAGAGUGAUGAUGCACGGCAAGUAAUAGGAAGGAAAUUAAAGCACCGAUGGGAAAGAGGGAGACACCUUUGCAAGAAGCUUUGCAUUCUCUUCUUUCAGAGACCUCUCCUGAGGUAAACCAAAUAAAGUUGCUAGAUUAAUAUAACCAGGAAAUUAACAACGCCUGAUGAGAUCGGAUAUGCAAUCAUCAUAUUUGUCCACUUACCUUUGCUUGCAACUGCUGUAUCUGAUCGUUCAAUAAUUGAGCCUGUAAAAGAGUUCCGUAGAAAUAUUUUAACUUUCGUGUGUGCAUGUUGUCCCCAUACCUUUCUUAUUACAAAGUAAGAAAAAAAGAAAAGAGAGAAAAUAAGUUGAAAUGAUGGACGAUAGUAAUGAAAGGACGAUGCUUUGCAACUUGUCAAGAAACAUAGUUCAAGUUAGAAGUAGUACAUGGAAAUCGGCAAGGUUAACAUAAUAAAAAACUCAUGGUAUUCUAUUAUUUCGUGUUAUAAGUAUCAAUUUGUGUGAAUAAGUGUCAAGAAAUCAAUUAUAAAAAAUGAUCGAUGACUUUUUUUUUUUGUCAGAGAAGAAAAGCCAGUUAUCUAACCAAACCAAAUAAACUUGUUAACUAAUCAAAGAAGAGUUGGUAACACAGAAUUAGUUGGUUACUUAAUCAGAGAAAAGUUAGUAACUCCUAUAAUUAAGAUUGGUAAUUUCUAGUUGGGUUCAUAAGUAAGGCAAAUAUUUAUGUGUGCACGAGUCUCAUAAGUGAAGGGUGAAGACGAGUGAGAGUAUUUUUUUCAACAGAAUCUAUUUUAUAACUAAGAAAGUGAUAAAGAGAAGAAAGAUCUGCUGAAGUUGUUGGCAAGUAAAACACAAGAGAGAGAGUAGACGUCACUCUCCACCAUAAGACAAUGUUUCCACUCUAUCUCAAGAGUAGUCAAAGGAAGGGUUAGAGCAGGAAAAAUUGCACUAAGAAAGACCAUAUGAGCGUUGGCAAGUUAGUCCCAGAAAAAUAAGUCUAUAAGUCUAUAAAGUUAGUCAAAUAGAGUUAGUAACCAAAAAGAGUUAGUGAUUUAAGCAAAACAUAGGUCUAUAAGUCAUACAAAUAAAUAUCUGAAAAUAUAUAUAAGAGCUAAUAAAUUUAAAGGAAUGGCAAGAAAAAAAAAAUUUACUAAAAAAAUAAGAGAGAUUGAUAAUUGCACAUUGUUGAAAAGAGUUGGUGAUUUCAUAAAAGUGUAAGUAAGUUACCAAUAAGUCACCUAGAAAUCAGGUAAUUGAAAGCUUUUAUUUUUUAUCAUGGUUUUUUGUCACUUACAACUCUUUCAUAGGUUUAUAAAAAACUAUCCAAUUUAUUUUGGAAAGACGAACAAUAGAGUCGUCCAAAUAACUCUAGGAAAAAUAAUGAUAGAAGAAUAAUCGUGAUCUUUUCCUUGUUUAUUGGCAAAAAAAGAACAGGUCAAUAACUAUGAAGAAAAACGGUGAUUUGUAAAUGUGCUUUCAUUCUUUCAUAUAAGGUAGAAAACGCCAUGUAUGCUCGGAGAAAAUUGAUUCUCUCCUUUCAGAUGCCAAGUUUAACGUUUUCAGUCUAUUCAGUUCCAAUCUUACAAUGCGAUUAGAGUCUCUAUCGAAAUUGGUGUUUUGGCUCCUGUAUGCAUAUAUGGUCAGUCUUGUUAGUUAUUUGAGAGAAAUUGUUUCUCAUUGUUUUCUUUCCCUUCUCACCAUAUCCAUGCCUCCAAACACAACGGCUACUCGAUGAAAGUUCUCAAGACAUCUACUUCGCUCAGAGAAAAGGACAAAUAUGCCAAAGACACAUGUACCUUUCUUUCCUUAAUGCUGCUCAAACUUCGCUCGAGUUGAUCCCCUAUCUCUUGGAUUUGGUCCAUCGAGCAAGAUCCAAGACAUUGUCCCGAUAGCUUCCUGAUGUAAAAAAGAAAAGGAGUACCAUAGUUUAGGGAAUUAGAUAUCAAGAAUCCAUUUCAAUCCACAAUAUAUAAGAGAGAAGUCUCAAAAUUUGUGGACCGUAGAGAAACUUCAAGAAGCUCAAUCUUCCUCUCCAUAUCAGUGGUUUCUUGCUUCAGACACUGCACAUAUAUGGAGAUUGUGAUAUUUAUGAAUCUAGUGAACGGAACCAUACAAACUGAACAAAUUUGAAAUUAGUAAUGGAUAAAACCGAUCAUAAUGAACAAAUCUAAAACACCACAGGAUCCUGCAAAACUAAGAUUGCUACUAUAAGAACCCUAAUGUUCUUGCAAAAUUUGUAGCUGCCAUAGUAAAUUCUAUGGCUUACCACCUCAGUAAUUCUUGAGAUCAAAAGUAGGGUUCUUAUCAAGAACGCGAUUCGGUACUAUUACAAUCUAUAAACACAUACAUAUACGUUCACACCAACAAUCAAUUUUAAGACUUCCUUCAAGAAAACAAUAAGAUGUAAAUACCCAAGGAGGGCAUGUUUCUGAGGCAUAAAGUGGUGGAUGAUGAGUGGGAUUUCAGAAGCUGAAAGAAUUUUAGAGGACCAGUCAAUGUCCUCAGGACAUGUACAAAGACCAAAAUAGCACUUUUAAUGUUAUAUUUAACUUGAAACCUAUUUUUCUCUUUAUACAUAUCAGCAGUUUCUCCUGUCUGCUUCCCAGUCAUUGCCAAACCACAUGAAUAACAGUGGUAAGGCUGCAAUAAUAUUACAGGUCCUUUAUCUAACCGUAACAGUGUAAGAGUUUUCCUGAUGUGGGCUACAUUAAUUGAUAUUGUAAUUUACCGUUUUAUGAGGUUUAGUCUAAGGUGAGAUAGAAGGUUUCUUAAUUAGUCUAAUAUAGGGUUGGCCAGUUUGGGCCGAGUUGAGCCAGGCCCGUAAUGAGAAGACCCAGUUUAAAACUCUAUAAAAGUGCUCAAAUCUCUCCUCUAACCCUAAUUCUCACAAGUAUCCUCAUAUAAGGAGCAUUUACCUAGCGCUAAAGGGUGAGGAGGCCAUCUCAUUGAGCCAGUGAUAUGGAGGGCAAUAGAGGAGAAUAACUUGAAUUGAUCUAAAAGAAAUUCAACAAUUGAUUUGGCAUAAAGGAAGGAUAAUUUACUUGGCAUAAAGUAAGUUUAUCCGCAACUUAUCGUGGAUAUAUACACCCUCUCAUUAAUAGAAAACUUACCACAUUAAAGAUGUAUUCGGAAGUUGAAUGUCACUUGACUCUAUCCCUCUUUGUACAAGGAUAUCAUCAUCAUUAGUAUGAUCCCUACUUUGUGGUUCUAGUGAUCCAUUUAAAUCAUGUAUGCAGGUACAUUGUUGCAUGAUUCUUUUCAUACGAGGCGACUAUUUAUGUAUACACAAGUAUAUAUUAUUAGAUUGUCGGGGAAAUAGGAUUUCUCACCAUUUGUGUUCGUAUAUGGACUUUUUGUGAGUCACAUCCUGAAAUAAGUUAUGUAAUGUGAUGUUAUAUGUUAAUCCACACACACACGGGAGAAAAAAAGAAGAAAAAAAGAAGAAGAGGAAGUUGCUUUCUUACAUACAGCAAAAUGAAUAAAAAUUGAACUGCUCAGCUUGCUUAACCUCUACAUAAUGUGCUUACGACUGCACCUAAUGUAUCAUCAUGGAAAGGUUAGAGAACUGACCAGAAUAUAUUGUUCCAUAUUAGCCUGGUAUGUAGCCGCAUCAUUUGUAGAUCUACGAUAUCGAUCAAUUGUCUUUUGGAUUCUGAAAAAAUUUGCAAAGAUAACAUAUGAGCUCAGCCACUGGGAAUACAUUCUCCAAAUUAAUCAGGUAUCGUCAAAACUAAAGUAAUCAAACACUAAACAAAUUAAUAAUCAUUUUUGUGAAUCAUGCAUGACUUCCAGUGAAUAAGUAUCACCAUCACUCACUAACAGAAUAUGCAAGGAGCAUAAGCCUCUGCAAGAAGCUUUUAGCCUCUCAGCAACUAAUUUGCAACGAUCUGAAGUACUUGGAAAAGUCUUGGUUGCCCACCUUAUACUUUGUAAAUAAUUGAUGCCAGAGAGAGUGUAGAAAAGUAGAAAGUAACACAAAUGAGAACUUAAAUGAAUAGGUCGCUUGCCACUCGUAGGAAUUCAUCUAAGAGACAAGAGCAAAACAACAAAUCUUUCUUGUUCUCAAGCCAAAGUCAAAAUAAGUUACGAAUCAAAACAAGUCUACCUCCUCAUUCAUCAUAGCAUGCUUAUAUAGAUGAGUUUGGAACAACCCUUCAAGCAUGAGUAAUUACCAAGACUCCUUGAAAAGACAAAAAGACUUAUAGGAAAGACAAAACAAGUCUUACUAGAAAAUAACUAUAAUUAAAUAAGGACGCUAGAAACUUAAAUGACAUUUACUAAACCUUGAAAAUAUAAGAAUCAAAUGUAGUUGGUUGUAAGUCUCCUAAUUUUACUAGUUCUGAAUUAAUGGAAUGCUCCGUCAUCAAUAAUCAUGCCAGCAAUAUUUUUCUUCAAAUUUUAGCGUAAAUGUUCAAUUUCACAUCAUAAAAGUAUAUUAUGUGCGCACGCAAAGUAUAUUUAAAUGUGAGCGCAGAGUGAGCUAAGGCAUUGUUUUUGCCCAAGCCCAAAGUCUUCAAUAUAUUCUACAUGCCACUCCAUGUCAGUAAGAAGUAAGAACAGCACAUGAUGCUCGUAAAAUCAUUGUGAAGCAGUACAAGGACUCACUACUUCAGAGAGAAAUUGUAAGAGCAAGCAGUUGCCCCUCCAUUUAACUUGUGACUUCAAGUACUUAUUUUCCCUGUAAAUGAAGAAGAGGGAAUACUUACACGGUGGAGCAACUAUUGCAAACAUGUACAAUUUCAGUCAGUUUUGGACAGAAGUACUCUAUUUAUAAGAAAUCCAAGAGAUCAGAGUGUUGCGUCAUGUUCGCCUAAAUCUAUUAUACUAGUGAAUGCACUCGAUCCCAUAAAAUCACCCCUACACAAAUCUAGUCAAGCCCAUAAUCUUAUUGACCUUUCAAAGCCCCCUAUAAUUUGAAGAACCUGAAGUUGAAGAUGUCAGGACCUGUUUCACAGGCUUUUGCUUAGGGUUAAAGUACCAUUAAAAAAUCAACUUGAAAGUCUUUUGCAGGUUUUGUUUGAUUCAGAAAAGAGAUUAAUUAUGCUUUCAGUUUCGAUUCAAUGAACUGUGAUUGGUAAUGCUUCUUGAUUAUGGCGGUACAUAGGUAAUUCGUUAUUCAAUUGCCUGACUAAUAUAAUGCAUUUCAUAUGAAAUUUCUAGUUUUUGCCUUGAAACAGUGAUCUGUAUGGUUUGUAAGAUAACUAUUAUCACAUAGUAUACAUAAAAAAGUCUUAAUUCACAUCUAAAAGGUAUAAUUACAACGAACUAAAUCAAACAAGGUAUGGUUUGAAGGCUUCACCCUUUUCAACUUAAGCUUGGUUUUCUUCAACAAUUUUCCAAGCAAUCAAAUUUGUUUGGAAAAAUCUACUUCGAACAGAACAAUACCUAAUUGCAAAUACGCUUAAUCAUCAUGCCUCGAGAAUUAGUUACGGAGAUCAAUCCCUAGAAGCAGCCUUAAAACCUAUAACGGUUCAAAAAGGAACACUACACGGCGUUAUCAUUUCAUAUCAAUGUGGAAUUGGGGGGAAGGCUGAACUGUUACUUGUCAAAACCAGAAAGACCAAACAAUAUCAGUCCCUAGUUUCACUAACAUCAAAUUAUGUUUUCAUUCCCCAAGACAAAGUACUAACUAUCCUAACAUGUGAAGUAGCUGGAGGAGAUCAGUACUUGCAAGAUAUUCAACAAUUCGUUUCCUCAGAAGAACCAUUAAGAAAGAGGCAGUCCCAACUCCAACGCCACGGCGUACACAAUGAAUGCCUUUGAUCAGCUAAUCCCCCACAUCUAGCCAUUUGAUUAAGUACACCCCAGUGCAUUGACUAUUCAAAAAAAUGCGAAAGAGAAGAUUUUAUAGUUUCAAAACUUCCUUUCCUCAGCUAAUUUCAAGUAGGAUAAUUGAAUAAAAUUCAUUGUUUUUGAAAAUUGUCCCAAAAUGAGAACUAGAUUGGUCAUCAUGGCGGGUCAGUCCAUGAUCGAAGGGGAAUAGCACUGAACGCUUGACCAAAACCAAAAAUGGCAGGAAAAAAAAGGAGAAUGAGAAAGGAAAAAAAAAAGAAAAACAUGCCAUGAUGCUGUCUCAUAUGUGCACUACACAAACACACAGCGUAUAUAUGUGCAUAUGCCCUCAUUUUGGACAUAAUAAUGUUAACAUGGCUCGAUCACGUUCCCCAUCUAAAAUCAACUCGAGAAAUUAUAAAUCAGUAUGUGAACGUACUCGGAAUUGCUUGAGAACUUGUAAAGCCUUCCUUUCUGUGAAAAGAUUAUCACGGCAACUUCAGCAUCACAGAGGACUGAGAGCUCAUAAGCUUUCUUCAGUAGCCCAUUCCGGCGCUUUGAGAAGGUGACUUGCCGGCUCAUCGCGUUCUCAAAAUUCGCCUCAUCUGAACUUUGCCUCUCACCAUGAUUAAAUUCUUCCUACAUACAUGAUGGUUAUCAACCCUAGAAUGAGAAGUACUCAAACAUAGCGAUGAACAUAACAAAUAUACCUCAACGAUCAAAAAUAACAACUCACCAGGGACUUUGGCAGCUUCAACCAGCUGAAGAUUUAUCUUUAUAUCCUCCUCCUAUAGUCUAGACUUUAGACGGAAGUUCUUGAGAAGCUAAAAACACUGCAAGACAAAUCACACUUUCUUUUUUUUUCAAACAGACAUGAAGUAUACCAUCAUUCGAACACGAGCAAAAACCACAGGAUAAAGAUUUCACAAUCAAAGGUCGGAGAAUUAUAGAUUUGCCCAGCGUAUUCAAGGGGGAAGCUUCUCUGCUCUACGUCAGAAAACGGAACCACAAUAAACUCAGAAACCCUAAAGAGGGAUGAGAGGGCGAAGACAAAAGCAAAAGAACUGGAUGAACGCAGAGGAUAUUUGGCAGUUGAUGGAUCUCUCUCUUUAUUUUUUGGCCACAAACAUAAAAAGAAAAAACAAAUCUGAUUAUUCAAAAUUCAACGAUCUUCUAAUCAGGGAAAAUAUGGUGUGAGCUACUCAUAAAAAGGAAACACAAACAAAAAAGGAAAGAAAUAAGGAGGAAAGCAAAGCAUUCAAGUUCAACCGAAACGGCAUGGUCGAUAUGGCAAUGAAGAUUCAAAGAAGCAGAAGGAUAAUCUUGUUUCGACAAAAUUAAGAAAAAGAGAGUAAAGAUAGAUACGGAGAGAGAGAGAGAGAGAGAGAAAAGAUAUUUUGUAUUUUUUCGGAAAAAAAACGUAUAUUUUGCCGGUGGGUUUGAGCUUCGGCUGCUGUGGCCUGUGGGACAUUCGAAAGAGAGAGCAGUAAGAAACGAAACGGGUGAAAAGAAAGAGAAAAAGGUCGUACGCUAAACUAUAAAUUGUGGACAUCAUCGUACCAUGGCGUGCGCAGCUAACCUAUGGGAACAACUGGGAAUACAUUAUCUAACUUAAACUCAGUGGGCCCCUACAUGACCAAUUGAAAGAGACUCUGUCCUUUUCCUGUCCUUUUCCUGAGCCAAAAGUCUUUAGGAAAAUGCAAAUACCUUUGACUUAAAAGGUGUUUUCCAAAAUGCAACCGUGUUUGGUAAAUUGUACUUUGAAAGCUCUUUGUAAAGUAUUUUGAGCAAAAUAGCGUUUGGGGAAUUACACUUACAAAAGAUCUUUGUGGUAAAAAAAAAAAUUAUCAAAAGAAAAAUUAAAAAAAAUUGACCAAAGGGCAGUGGCCGCCGGCGACCUCCGGCGACCUCCGGCGACCUCCGGCGACGCCGGAUCUGGGGCAGCGAGGUCGCGCGACGCCGUCGCGACCUCCGGCGACCUCCGGCGACGCCGGAUCUAGGGCAGCAAGGUCGCGGGAGGACCUCGCCGCCCCGGAUCUGGGGUCGCAGGAGGUCGCCGGAGGUUGCCGGAGGUCGCCGGGGGCAACUGCCCUUUGGUCAAUUUUUUUUGAUUUUUCUUUGGGAAAUUUUCGAGGGCCGCNNNNNNNNNNNNNNNNNNNNNNNNNNNNNNNNNNNNNNNNNNNNNNNNNNNNNNNNNNNNNNNNNNNNNNNNNNNNNNNNNNNNNNNNNNNNNNNNNNNNUGGGUCGCGGUGACCAGACCUUGCCGUGGGUCGCGGCGGUCGUGCCACCGCCUGGCGUCGCUCGUCUGGGCGACGGUCGCGGGCGACCGCUCGCGGAAGAAGAAGACCGUUGCCGCUCCAGAUCUGGGUUGCGGUGACCCAACCCUCGGUCGCGCCACCUCCGGUGUCGGUUGCGCCACCUCCGGCGUCGGUUGCGCCACCUCCGGCGUCGGUCGCGCCACCCCCCGACGAUCGCCGGCGUCCCUCUAGCAGUCGCCGGCCGCUCACAGUCAGCCGGAACCGAACCCCCCGGAGAAGAUGAACAGUAGCGACACAAGGGCAAGAACCGGAAAAACAAAACAUUCGUGAGGACAAUUUUGGAAAAAAAAAUUAUGAACAGUGCCCGCGUGGGCAUGCCGAAAAAGCCGAAAGCCCAAGGCAGGUCCCCCCCCGCCUUGGGCUUUCGGCUUCACACAUGCUGGCAUUUCCGAAAUGCGGGCUCAAAAAAUUUUCCCAAACGGGCUGGCAUUUGGCCAAGUACCUUUAGGCUUCAAAGGGGCUUUGGGAAGUGGUUCCCAAACGCACCCUCUGUCCUUUUCCUGUCAUUUUCCUGAGCCAAAUAGGAACAGCCUCGGGGCUCUUCUUCAAUCGAUUCUUCUCUUGGGUACAACGCCAAAGUCACUGAAUGAAAAGGUGAUCGGUUCCAGUUCGGUCCGGUUCCAAGGUGCGACCCAUAGCAGUGGGCNNNNNNNNNNNNNNNNNNNNNNNNNNNNNNNNNNNNNNNNNNNNNNNNNNNNNNNNNNNNNNNNNNNNNNNNNNNNNNNNNNNNNNNNNNNNNNNNNNNNNNNNNNNNNNNNNNNNNNNNNNNNNNUGUUCCGAACCAAUCAAUGAAAAUUCGCUUCCUCGGGGAUCUAAUAAAACUACUCACACAUGUUUUCACGUGCAAAAUAUUCAAACUUCACUUGCGUGAAUAUUAAUUAUAAUUUAUGUGUUUCACUCUUAAUUUUAAGCAUAAAAGCCAUGAACAAUUUGAGUAAAAUCUGUUAUUGGCUUAGGUUUUAUAGACAAUCUCUCUUCUAUGCUUUGAAUGUUUAGUCGAUGUUAGACUCUUUGAGGCCUGAAGUGCCUUGUUGUUUGCAAGUGAGGGGAGCAAGAGAGAGAGUGAGCAUGAGGAACUCCUAGAGCCUUAUCCCACAUCGAGGAGAAAAUAAAACUAACAAAUAAGUUUUCUAAGAGUUUUGGUGGUCUCUUGGCCACAUAAGAGAUUGUUACAUCAAUUGCAAUUACGAUUGCAACAAGUUUCAUAUAUAAUAUUCAUAUAUUAUAUGUGUUUAUAUAUUAUAUGUAUAUAAAUUAUAUAUAAAAAAAUUUGGUCCAGUCCAGUUGGUCCGGUUGGUUUGGUUCCCACCUUGAAACUGGGAACCGGACCGCCGACCGUGGGAACCGCCCAAAACCGGCCGGUUCAGUCCGGUCCGGUCCGGUCCCGGUUUGGGCGAUUUCUGUUGCACACCCCUAACUGAAUGGUAAGUCGUCCAUCUGAUUGACACGGACUAUCGGAAUAUACUUUAUUUGCUGAAUUACGUUAUAAGUGGGCAUUUUGCCAAAAGUUUAUAUUUGAUCAAUUUAUCCUUAUGUGAUUCCUAUUGAAUUAUAUAUUGAGAGAUUUGGUUCAGUAUUUCAAAAACUUAUUAAGAAAAUAUAAAGUAAUUUAAUUUAAAAUAUUUUGAGUAAAUGCAAAAGUUAUUUGGUAAACUAUACUUUAAAAAACAACUUUGAAAAAAAUAUUGUUUGGUAGAAAACUUAUUUAAAAAGUUUUUUGAGCAAGUAAUAUUAGUUUUUUAAUUUUUAUUUGUUUAAAAUUGAAAAAAAAUAAUCUAUGCAAAUUUUUAAAUAUAAAUUUUGAUAAUAUGCUAAAAGAAUCAAAUAUAUUCAACGGGUUUAUUCCUUUUUUUUAAAUUAUAUAUAUGUAUGAUUUUUAGCAUUAAAAAAAAAUAAUGAUGGCAAAAUCAAAAAUUUGAAGAAUGAGUUAUAGUAGUUUUAGAAGAAAAAAUGAGUUUCAGAAAGUUCAAUGGCAUUCAACCUUCUCAAUGUUGCUUUCCACUUGAAAGUUAAUUUAAAAUAAUUGUCAAAUGGUCCAGCAUUUCUCCAAAGGGUUUUGAAGGCCGAAAGCUCAUUGAAAAUGCUAACCUAAACGCACCAUAUGGGUUUACAAGCACAAGGAAUACUCAAAAUUAUUACAAUGAUAAAUUCAUGGAUAAAAUAAAUAUAGAUCCAUCGUUUAACUUAUCUUUUCUUUAUGUUCUUCUUAUAAUUCCUCAUUAUUUAGGGGUGUCAAAAAUAUCCGAAACUUUUCGGUUUGGGUAAAAGUAAAGGAAUUUGGGAAAUUUGACACUUCAGUUCAGGUUUCGUUUUUUUUUUUUUUUUUUAGGUUAUGCACACAAGAGAUCAAAGGCUAUUGACUAUGGUGCACUAAUCCCAAAUUACUUGAUUUUCUCAUUAGCAGAAAUGUGAUCUUCAAUCAACCCACCACCAAAAAGAAAUGUGACUUUCGAUAAGACUACUAUGUUUUGACAAAAAAUUAGUAGAGCAAACAUAUCAUAGUGUUAAAAGUAAGAUAACAAAUGUUAAGAUUGCAUAUGAGUCCGUAACUCCUAAAGUCAGUGAUAUUAAACAGCUAGCAAAAUCGUAGCACUCUCUAGUCAUAAGUAGAUAGAGAAGGCAAAUUAGGCCACCGAUACAUUAUGAUUAUACAUAUAUUACUUUUACAUUUAUUGUAGAGGGAUAAGGUAGAAACAAAUGAGCAUUUGUCUUACCAUGAGGCAAUAGUUAGUGCCGAUAAUUAUAGUGGAUAGAGGCUAUAGGUGAAUAGAUGGAAUCACUUCAUAGGAACUAGACAUGGGAGCUUGUUAGAUCGUCCAAGAGCCAAAACAUCAUUGAAAACAAGUGGAUUCACAAACGGAAGGAGGGCAUCGAGGUAUAUGGGGAGACUUGUUGUGAAAGGAUGUACACAAAGAGAGAGCAGCAUUGGUUACAACGAGGUGUUUUCUCCUAUCGCAAGACAUUAUUAUAUUUGAAUAUUACUCACCUUAAUUGCUAUACAAGAUCUUGAGCUAGAAGAGCUGGAAGUGAAAAUGGCAAUUUUUAAUGAUGAGUUGAAGGAGCGGAUUUACAUGAAGCAACCAAAAAGAUAUGUUAUUUCAGGUAAGGAAGAUCAUGUUUAUUUACUAAAAAAAUCAUUUUAUGGAUUAAAAAAGUCUCCUAAACAAUAGUAUAAUUGUUUUGAUGUUUUCAUAGCUAGUCAAAACUAUUCAAAAGUCAGUUGGAUAACUUACUUUAGGAGAUUGGAGAAUAGAUUUAUGUAUUAUUAUUUGUUGAUGACAUAUUAAUAACAAUUAAGAUUUUGUAUAAAAAUUAAUGUGUUGAAGAGGUAGUGGAAUAUGAGGUUUCAUAUGAAAGAGUUGGGUACUAAAUAGAAGAAAAAAUGUCAAAAACGCUUAUUGGAUCAAUUGUAUGAAGAGCUUUUGUUUUAUAUUAUGUUGGCUUAUUGGAUCAAUUGUAUGAAGAGCUUUUGUUUUAUAUUAUGUUGUAAGUUUUACGUACAAUUGAAUUGUUUAUUCAUAAUACUGUGGGUUUACGUGAAACAAUCAAGCAUGUAAGUAAUAAUUAACUCUAUGAUUCUCCAAUUAUUAGUAGAUAAUUUGCUGCUAACUCUUUUCUUUGAGGAGUUACCAACAUAUAGAACAAAUUGCAUAAAUUCCUAAUGCUUUUUUGUCCUGACUUAUUACUAUGGUGAUUUUGUAUUGAAUUAAUUUGCAAGAUUCGAUAUUUAACAUUUUAAUUUUACAAAAUUUAGAUGGACAAGUCACCAUAUCAAUUAUAAAAUACAAAUGAUGAGGACAACAUAACUAAUGCAACGUGUAUUCAUGAGGACACCAAAAUAGCACAGGCCUUUGAUUAAAGCACAUAUUGAUAACACAUGCCUUUGAAAUGCAUACCUUUACUAUUAUAUUAAGCCAAAGUGCGCACCUUGCGCAUACGACCAACAUGAACCAUUUAUCAUGCUUCUACAUCACAACAAUCUUGACCCUCUUGACUAUUCCACAUUUAAUUUUCAAUAAUUAAGUACAUUUUAUAGCGCAAACAUCAACAUACUUGGAGAGCAUCUUGUCUUUACCUACUCAAUAUGGAGGCGUGUCUUCAAAAUAAAAAUGCAAUCCAACUUCCACAGUUGCUAAUACUAAUUGAGUUCCUCGGACAAAAGGCAACCAUAACAUUCUCAAAGACUCUUAUACAAAGCUAAAAGGCUCCUAAACCAAAUUCGGAAAUCUAAAUACCCUAGGAAUCACACAAAUAAUUAUUAGUUGAGAUGACAGAUAUUUUUUCUCCUUCAACAAACCAACAACCUUGAGUUGGGUUCACAAGUAGAGUGUGUUUAGAAACUUGAUUAUACAUUUGUAGUUAUCUCUCCACUAUUUACAGUAUCUACAUGUAAUGGUUGAUACAAAGAGAAGUAUGUAUGUGUUUGUCUAAAUUAAGUAAUGGAUAAGUAUUGGAGAAGUAAUACUAAAUCAUGCAUUGGCAUAAUAUACACAUCUUUGAUUGAUCAAAGAUUUUAGCCCGUGGAUCAUUAUUUGGACAUGUAUAAAAGAGUAUUGUGGAAAGUCAUCAUUUAGUUUAUUGGUAAUUUGGUUAAAAUGAUUGAAAAAGAACCACUCAUUACAAAUAACAUUUUGUGUAAACAAAUGAUCCAAUUUUACUUUUAAGAAAAUUCAAAAGGGAUUCUUGUCAUUUUGAUCAAUAGGAUUCAUCCUAACAAAUUUUACAAUUAAUAGUAUUCUCACUUGAUAUUAAUUUGCUACCCCACAUCACUUUCACAAGAAAAGCGUUAAAAAAUUCUAAACAUUUUAUAUGUGUGCCAAUUUAGUCCUAAAUUUUUUUACUUGGUGCUAAUUCAAUCAUUCCCGGCUAAUUUUGGCCAAAUUUUGCCGAUUGGGUAUCGGCCAGUCGACAUUGACAAUUUUUAAUAAUAUUUUAAUAUUUAUGAAUUUUUUGUCUUUUAUUUUCUUUUUUCCUUCUCCUCUUCCUUCCUCCAGCCAAUCCUCGUACCUCGACGACUGGCCAGAGGUGAUGGCUGGUAAAGCUCAAGCCCUCGCCAUUUGCUACGAGGGCAAGCCUCACAGCCCAAGCCAUGAUGGCGGCCUUGCGCCAAGUUGGCAAGGCUUGCCCUCGUUGAAUCUGGCGAGGUUCAAGCCUCGCAGCCAUGGUUGGCGAGGCUUGAACCUCGUCGCCCAGCGCAAGGCCGCCCUCGUGGCCACUAGCGAGGGCUUGAGCCUCGUCGGCCAUCGCCUCUGGCUGGUUGUCGAGGACUGGCGACUGACUGGAGGAAGGAGGAAGAUAAGGAAAAAGGAAAAAAUAAAAAGAAAAUAAAAAAUAAAAAUAUAUAUUAAAAUAUUAUUAGAAAUUGUCCAUGUUAGCGUUAUGACUAAGUUAACAUAAAUGAAAAAAGUUUAGGACUUUUUAAACACUUUUCUUUCACUUUCACAUGUUUGUUUGAUGCACAAAAUCCUUUUUUUCUUAAUUAUGAGGACACUAAGGUACUUUUCGUGACAUAAGAUUGACUCAUCCAAGACAAUGUUCUUAUUUUAAGAAAAGGAAUUAUUGUAGUAUGAUGUUUUAUAAAAAUAACACUAGUAUUGGAUUAUAGCUGACAAGCUAGCCAUAGAUCUUUAUGUAGUGUGACAUCCCGAUUUUCCAAUUAUAUUUUCAAUAAAUUGAGACGGUCAUUUCGUUGGCACACAUAUAGUUCUUUUCCCUGAACUGAUCACUCAUGGGAUAACUAGUGUCACGCCCCGAACCUCGAGCGCGCCAACAUCCCACCAUGGUCAUGUAAAUGUGACAUUCUCAAGUAGUGUCGCCGACCCCAUUCAUUUAUUAUUGCGCAAGCGGAACGUAUUAUAAAAUCCCUGACAAUGAAAUACCGGAUAGAAAAGCAGGAAGCAAAUUCACAACCAAUCACUUACAUAAACCAACGGAGUUACAAACGAAGGCCUACAGCCAAAAGUCUACAAAAAACCGGCUCUUAAAAAUGAAUUGUCUUACGACCUAUAAGUCAGACACGUUCUCCAAUCCUCAUGACUUCACCUCUGCAACUCCUUAAGGUCAACCAAAGCUAUCUAGCCGCUCCGUCCACUAGGGACCUGAAAUUGCAAUCCCCCAACCGGGAUGAGAUAAUGUCUCAGCAAGUUCAACCCCCUAAACCCCUAUUAGAAAGAAAAUACGCCUAAGGGUGGCAUAGCCACACAACAUAGAGGACUUACCUCGCAUCGGUUCCUUCCUGCAGGUUAGCACAGUUCAUAUCACUCAAUCAUAUGCAGUAAUAAGAACUUAAACAACCGGAACGCAUUCACUUUCAUAUAACCAACAAUCGCGGGGGUCCUGAUUAUAAGACUAAAUCGUUAUAACACGUCACAUUCCAUGCCACACAAUUCCGUCCCAUAAUCCGGCACAUCAACAACACUCAACAUGCAUUCUAACUGUUAUUCACUGCCACACAAGGGCAUAGCCUACUCGUAGUUCGGCUAUCUACUGGCAUAUAGCCAGGCAUCGCCUCCCCACCUUGGAGCGCGGCUUCGUCAGUACGUCGAUGGCGUUCCCGAAGGAGCAUGGGCCCCAGAAUCAACUGCGACCCGCAACCAAUACGUGGGCAUCCCAUAUAGGGGCAAAUCUGGUUCAACAGCCUAGGACGAUCUCCUCUUAAUUGUCACACAACAAUUCAUAUUCAACCUGGGACACUUUGCAUUUCACUCAAUGCUUCCACUUAAAAUAGUGAUCCCGACCAUUUUUCUUCAUAUUAAAAAUAAUCCAAAAAUUAACCACGUGUGUGGGGGCACGUUAAUUUCGAUCCAGAAAACCAAUAUCUCACUUUUUCAAACCCCACUAUUUAAUAUAAUAUUGAAAAUCCAAUUUUUGCAUCAAAACCCGACACUUGAGUUUUUAUGAAUAAAAUCUCUAUUUAUCACAAUCAACACUCAAUUUGCCACAUCCAUUCAUCAAAUUCAAAUUCUAAAUGCACAGCAGCGAUCAAUACGAAAUUCUGAGAAAAUAAGGUCCCAAAAUAAUUUUCGAAAUUUAUUAAAUAAUUAAAUUUAUUCCGAAAAUUAAUUAAAUAAUAUCCAUAUUUUUCACGAUCCACACUCAAUUUAUAAUAUCCAAUCAUCAAUUUCAAAAUAUGACUACACAGCAGCGACCAGCGCGAAAUUAUGAGAAUUUAGGGUCCUAACAAAAUUUUCGGAAUUUAAUAAAUAAUUAAAUUUAUUCCGAAAAUAAUUAAAUAAUAAUAUUUUAAUAAUUUCGAAUAAUAAUAUAUUAUUAAAUUAUUUAAUAAUUUCGAAAUAUUGAAAUAAAUCAAAAGUAAAUUCCUUUAUGUCAAAUCACAAUUAUACUAAUAUAAACAUCAUUUUAACAUGAACUAAACAUACUUUAAAUUAAACCAACCUCUUAAUCUAAUUCACAAUUAAAUAAACUAAACUAGCCACCUAAGCUUACUUAACUUAGACUAAGCAUACUUAUGGCAUUAUUAACCCUCUAAUCAAGAUUUAGUGAGUUAAACUCACUCAAAUAAUGAGCCGAGCAGACCAAAACGACAGGGACGCCGAGGGGAACAACUUUCUUCAAAGCGGGCCAAGCGUCCGGGGUUGGGAAGCCGGCCAAAACAGCCCAAAACCAGGCUGAGAUAUCCACUAAAACCAUCUGUUGUUUGAGGCAAACGGAGGGCUGCAUGGCGGCGGUUUGGGCGCGAAACCGGCGAGGAUGGGCAACAGCAACUCCAGCAGUGGUUGGCGACAACGAACAGUGGCGAUGGAGGCUCCGGCAGAUGGCGACAAGCAGCAGACGAAGAUUGGAAACUCGGGCUACGGACGACCGAACGGCGGGCUAGCCGGCGAGGCGAGCGCGGGUGAUGCGUGCGGUCGAACGGCGGCGAUGGCGACAAGCGAGCAGGCGGAGGGUGGCCGGUUAGGAGUGCAUCGCGCAAGGGGGUUUGGACGGCUGGUUUCUUCAGCUUUUUCCUCCCCUCUCUCUCUCUCUUCCCAAGCUUGAAGAUGAUGGAGACAAGGGGGAAGUGACAUCCCACCUUUUUGGGAUUAAAUCUCCACCCUCCAUGUGUCACCACCCUAGCCAAUCUUGCCCCACCUCAUGACAUCACUUGUGAUGUCACAAUCCACUAACUCCAAUCUCCCACAACCUUAUUCCAAUAGGUUCAAUUUCAUUUUCCGCCGGGCAUGAAAUCUUGUACAACAAUUCCAAUCAAUUCUCUUCUAAUUAAAGCCCAUAAAUUAAUCCAAUAUUCCUAAUAAGAUUUGUGACACACCAGGACUUCCAAUUUCAGAAUUCAAUCUCAAUUUCACGGUUAAUUUCACUUUGGCACGAUACUAACCCGUCCUGAUCUACCGGGCAGCUUUUAGAAAUUUUCAUGCAUUUGACCUGUGAUUGAUCAAUUCAAGCCACAAUGUACAUGGCAGCUUUUAGAAAUUUUCAUGCAUUUGACCUGUGAUUGAUCAAUUCAAGCCACAAUGUACAUCUUUGAUACAAUGGCGACUUAAACGUCGGUCCAAUGCCGAUUGAUCAGAAUUGUGCGAUCUGGUGGAAUCACCCACACUUGAUCACAUGCCUCCGUCGAGUCAACCUAUCUCCGGUCUCUAAUCGAUUUUUAAUUGUAUCAUAAUGACCCUUGCAGAUUAGCUCGAUCGAAAGGUUGCUUCCUGGUCAAAUUCUCGAGUCUGAUGCAUUAGAAUCUCUUAACGGCUUCACCUGAUAGACUAUUUUUCACAUGAGUGGCCAAUUCAAGGAAAAGAACUAUAUGCGUGCCAACGAAAUGCCCGUCUCAAUUUAUUGAAAAUAGAAUUGGAAAAUCGGGAUGUCACAACUAGUCUAUCAGGUGAAGCCGUUAAGAAAUUCUAAUGCAUCGGACUCGAGAAUUUGACUAGGAAACGACCUUUCGACCGAGUUAAUCUGCAAGGGUCAUUACGGCACAAUUAAAAACCGAUUAAAGACCGGAGAUAGGUCGACUCGACAGAGGCAUGUGAUCGAGUGUGGGUGAUUCCACCAGAUCACACGAUUCUUGUCGAUCGACACUAGACCGACUUUUCUGUCGAUUAGGUACCUUAUGUCCGUAUUUGAAACCUUGAGAUUACCCCGACAACCGAAAGUCAUCAAUGUGUCAAAGACGUACAUUGUGGCUUGAAUUGAUCAACCACAAGUCAAAUGCAUGAAAAUUUCUAAAAACUGCCCGGUAGAUCAGGACGCACUAGUAUCGUGCCAAAGUGAAAUUAACCGUGAAAUUGAGAUCGAAUUCAGAAAUUGAAAGUCAUUGUGUGUCACAAAUCAUUUUAGGAACAUUGACUCAUCUUCGGAAGAUUUUUCAUGUAAGCCGAACUUUUCAGCAAUUAAAUCAGAGAAUGGCUAAUUUGGCUCGAGAAAUUAGUAGGCCCGCUUUUGGUCGUGCUUUUGGGACUCAAGUUGGUUAUAUGGUCAAGUGAUUACGUAAAUUGAAAUGUGGUGAUAUUAGAUUAAUUUUAUGGACUUCAAUUUAAUUCAAUUGGAAGGAAAUUGAAUGAAUUGUGUUGUACAAGAUUUUGGAGAAUUCAUGUCACGGCGGAAAUUGAAAUUGGACCUAUUGAGAAGAUUGUGGUGGAAGAUUUGGGUGAGUGGGAAGUGAUGUCACAGGAGGUCAUGGUGGGCCAUUUUUGUUGGAUUAAAGAAAAAGAAAAGGAAAAAGAAAUGGUUUCAUCUCUCUCUCUCUCCUUCCUCUCUCCCUUCCGUCGAUUUCCCUUUCUCCAUCUCUCUUCUUGCUGCUCGACGGAACCGAGCAGACCAGCGAAGCCGGAGAAGUCGCACACCUCCGCCGGAGCCAGACUCGCCGCCGCACACCGUCGCUUCUCCGCCUUGCUCGCACGCCCUCCACCUUUCUCUUUCCUCCUACAACCGUCGACUUCUUCUUCUUCUUUGUGCUAUUUGAAACCCAACAGCAAGCCAGUAGCUCAGCUCAUCGCCGUCGCACGCCGCUGGACCGCCACUGCCGCCGUUCGUCCCCGCGCAGGCCGUCGCUACUCGCCGCUGCUCCGCACGACUCUGCCCGCCUCUCGUCUACCCCUGCAUCGCAGCUUCUGCCUCAUCUCGUGCUAGAGCUAUUCAGCCACUUCCGGCCACUGUGAGACCCCACCGUUGGCCGCACGGCACCGCCACAGCUCCUCCACCCGUUUCUGACUCAAGCCGGCACCGAAUCGACCCUUUCCCAGCCCCAACCAACAACGCAUAGAGUGGAGAAAAAGUGGGUAUUGCUGUCCGGUUUUGGCCUGUUUUGGCUGGCUUCCUGACCCUCGAAUGCUCGGCCCACCUUGGGGAAAUCCGAUCCUCAUGUCGAUCCCGUCAUUUUGGUCCGCUCGGCUCGCUAAUCCGGUGAAUUUAGUUCACUAAACCUCGAUUAGAGGGUUAAUUAUGUUUAUGGAGGUUUAGUUUAUGUUAAGUGUUAUUAGGUGGUUAGUUUAAUUUAUUUAAGUAUAGAUUAGACUAAUGUGUUUAAUUAACUUAAAGUGUGUUUAAUUUAGUACUAAGUGGAUGUUUAUAUUAAUAUAAGCCUUAAUGUGACUUAAAUGAAUUUAAUUUUGAUUUAAAUAAAUGUUUCGAAAUUAUUGGAUUAUUUAAUAAUAUAUUAUAUUACGAAAAUUAUUAUAAUAUUAUUAUAUAAUUAAUUUUCGGAAUAAAUUUAAUUAUUUAUUAAAUUCCGAAAAUUUUGUCGGGACCCUAUAUUCUCAUAAUUUCGCGCUAAUCACUGUUGUGUAUUCAGAUUUUGAAAUUGAUGGUUGUAUAUUAUGAAUUGAGUGUGGAUUAUGAAAAAUAUGGAUAUUAUUUUAUUUAAUUUUCGGAAUAAAUUUAAUUAAUUAAUUAUUUUCCGGAAAUUAGGCGAUGAUGGCCAAUGACCAGAAUUUUAUGCUGAUCAUCGUGGUGCAAUCCAUUUAUUUAUUUGAGCUUUAUUUUGUACUAACUUGAUUUAUGAGUGAUUUUAAGAUUUAUUCCUAAAUUGAAUAAUCUUUGGUUAUUAAUUGAAAAAUAAUCGGGCAUCGGUUGAUAAUGCCAAAAAUGUUUUGGUAGAUUACAAAAAAUGAUGGGAUAUAUGGAAAGGGUCGAGUGGGACCGUAAAGCCAUUGAAUCUUGAAAUGGUCGAUUGGGACCAUAAAGCCAUUGAAUCUUGAAAGGGUCGAGUGGGACCGUAAAGCCACUAAAUAUAGAAAGUGUCGAGUGUGAUCGUAAAGCCACUAAAUAUUGAAAGUUGCUGAGUGUAGCCGUGAUUACCACUAAAUUUAGAUUUGCCUGGAGGGCCGUGUUUGAGGGUCGAGAAUGAAUAGUCAGAAUGACCGUGCGAUGACCUCGAUGACAUGUAAUCGACUGAGUUGAUUGAUCGCUGAGUCGAUCCGAGCAAGUGAAUUGUUUGAAUUCUAUCACCGUAUAUGCCUGAGUGAUAUGAACAUGAUUGAGUGAUUUGAAUUGUGCUAACCUGCAGAAAGGAACGGAGGCGAGGUAAGUCCUUUAUGUGGUGUGGCUAGGCCACUCUUGGAUGUAUUUUCUUUCUAAUAAGGGUUUAGGGGGUUGAAUUUGCUAAGACAAUGUCUCAUCCCGGUUGUGGGAUUACAAUUUCAGGUCCCUAGAUGGCGGGCGGUCGUGGAGAACCCGAAGCCCUAAGUCUGGAAAGGUGGAAACUGAAUAAUCGGUGAACGUGUCCUGCUAAUUGGUCUUAGGAUAGUUCCCCUUUUGUCGAACUGGUCUAUUUUGUAGACAGUCCAGUGUUGUAUUUAAACCUAUGUUUUUAUAAAUGAGUGUUUGGUAUUGUGAUUAAUUGCAUACUUUUCUAUCCCAAGUUAAAUGUUGUCAGGGGAUUUUUUUCGCUUCCGCAUGCGUAAUAAAAUGAAUGGGUAGACGACGUAUCCAGGGAUGUCGCAUAUUUGAUCGACCGCAGUGGGAUGUGCGCGCACUCGGGGUUCGGGGCGUGACAUGUAGACUAACCCAAACUCAUUCCUAACAAAUGACUAAGGAGAGGGGCCCAUUCUCUUUCUAAUCCAAGCUUGUACACAAACUUUUCUGUCACGAAAAAGGAAAACAAAGGGAAAAAUAGAAAGCUUAUACAUAAAUUUUAUUUCCUUUUUCUUAUUUAUUUGUGUAUCUUCUUAUUAAUUGCUAAGUUGGAUGCACUGUCCAUCUUAGUCAUCUCAUGUGUCAUAGGAGAAUUACCUGAAAGAUCUUAAAUUUAUUGCAAUUGUGACAAUUUAAUUCUAAACUUUUUUUACCAAUUUAGCCCCAAAUCUUUUUAAUUCAAUCCAUCUAAUCAAAUUUGAUUGAUUGGCGCUGAUAUAAAUGUAGGCUGGUGUCAGUCGUUCGGUGAAUGUUAACGUGAAAUAUUUUUUCGAAUUUUCAAAUUUUUUUCCCAUCUUCCCCCUUCCUUUGGCCAAUCAAAGGCGAGGGCCAACAAGGUCACCUCGCAGACCAAUGAUGAGGCUCACCCCCGCUAACCACUAACAAGAGUGAGCCUCACCCAACCAUGGUGAGGCCCUGCUACAUCUAGCGAGGCUCGACCUCACCCAACCAUGACGAGGGCGAGCUUCAACAACCACAAGGUUGACCCUCGCCAAACCUAACCAUGGUGAGCCUAGUGAUAGCGAGGCUGACCUCACCAUGGCUAGGCGAGGCCUCACUAGUGGCCGAGGUGACCAACGUUGAGCCUCGCCCUCGCUACUAACCAACGAGAGUGAGUCUCGCCAUUGGCCAACAAGACUAAUCUAUGGCUGAUGACGAUCAUCUAGAGAAAGGAGGAAGGGAAAAAAAUAAAAAAAGAAAGAAAAAAAGGAAUAAAUAAAAAUUAUUUAAAAAUUCUAAAAAAAAUAAAAAAUUAUCUCGUCACUAAACGGUCUAGCUGAUCAAAUUUGAUCAAAUAGAUUGAAUUGACACAAUUAAAAUGAGUUUAAGGCUUUUUCGAUAAUUUUUCCCAUGUGUCACUCAUUAUCCUUAAAUGUCUGUCCCUCCAAUCCCCUGCCAAUUAAGGCAUCACUCACGAGCUCAAAUGGAAGCUAGCUUCUGUCAGAUGGAAAAAAGUUGGACCUCUUUGUUUGGAAUGAGUUACAAGUCUACUGAGUAGCCUCAUAUUGCGACAUGACAAUUAUGAUUCCAUAAAAUUUCAAAUGCCCAUGACCCUCACGUCUACAUAUGUCUACGCUGAUGAAAAUUAUAGAGGUGAUGGAUGAACAUUUUUCGGCUUAGCCAACCUUUAGGGGUGUCCGACAAAAAACAAAAACCUUAAAGAGGUGUCCUUAGACCGAAAAACAAAAUAAAUUAAAAACCUCAAUGAGGUGUCCAAUGAUGUUGUUGAAAUGCAUGCAAGCAGUUCGAAAAUAUGUUCAAUAGAGACAUUUCUUUCUUGGAAUCAACCGAUGUUGUAAUUCAAAUUUGAAGUCCAAGGUGUAGGCAAGUUAUUUCCUUUGUUUCGCUGAGUCUUCCUUGUAUAUGUCCUUGUCGUUGUUCAUUUCUAAUAUGAUCUUUCUUUGCCUUCGCUAUUCUUACUCGUGGAUUUUUGAAAUGACUACCGUGAAUCCCAUGCACAUGUUGUCUUGGCAAUGCUAAGGGAAUCCGGCUGAGUAAAGAUAUCACCAAGUGAUAUUGCUAUAGUUUUUAUUUUAUUCUAUUGAACAUGUAUUAUUAGGGUGAUGGCGAACCAGUUUAACUCUCUGGUAAUCCGAUGAACAACCCAGUCUCAACAUCUGUACUCCAGCUGCUCCGGCUAUGUAUUGCUGCUGCUCUUGGAUGAGCUGUUGAUUGCCCAGGAUUUGCAAGACACUGAAAUUGGAAGAAAGAAAAAAAAGGACCCAAAAUGCUUUUAAAUUUAAUGAAAUAACAAAUGCAAUUGAAUGGUGAUGAAGACUCUGGAAACCUUCACUGAAUUAAAAUGGGAAAAAGCUUCAACGCAAUUUGAGAUUUACAAGCAGUGAACAAGCCUUUCACUGGAUCAAAUUAGGUGGCGAAGCAUCUGUCUAUGUGCUCAGAUCUAUUAAUUGUCACUGGGAAAUUUCAAUUUUUCCCAACAUCUGACUCUAGAAGAGGUUCUCUCCUCCAUGGUCGGAAAAAAAAAAAAAAACCCUAAAAGUGGUUAGCAACACCAACCAUGCCUACGAACUUCGGUUCCACCUAUAGUCAAUGUCUAAAGUACAGACUAGUAUCUCAUGAAAGUAAUAUCCUCUAUGUUAUUGUAAUUUUAUAAGAAGUGGUCAUAUUAAAAGGCUAUUAGUUUUUGUUAUCGAGUUAGUGUUUUCUACACAGAUCGUCUAAUGUUUACAACAUCAUAGAAAGACACAAACUUUCAUACCUUCUACAAUCCCAUGUUAGAAGCAUAGAAUUGUACCUGAUGAUAGCAAGUUGGGUAGUAGUUUUCUUAACAUUAAUUACUCAGAAACAUCGUGCUACUAAUUUUUAUUACCGUAUUGGUAAUUACUAACUUUUUGAUAUUUUCACUAGGAAAGUUGAAUUUAUCCCAACAACUAACUCUAGAAGUGAUUCUCUCUUCCAUUCUAAUAAAAGACAAGGAUAAAAAAUAAAAAAGCUUGAAAAGUGAUUAGGUACGCCAAAUGUGAUCACUAAAAGUUUUGGCUGCAUCUAUAGUCCCUAGUUGGAAAACCCAAUACGUUCUUCUUGAAAUAAAUAUUCUCAAAAUUGUGAUAUCCACAAUGCGGGUCACUACUCAGUGUUAGUAACCUUUUUCUUUUCAAGUCAGUAACUUCUAAGCAGAUCAAGUAAUGGUCAGCACAGAAAGACACAGAUUUGGGUCCAUCUACAAUCCUACAGUCUUACAGUCUAAUAUACAUAGUUGUAUCUCUUGAUCGUAAUUCCCCUAAAAUUUGUUUUCCCAACAUGAGUUCGUAACUCUGUAUUAGUAACUUCUAUCAUGGAGUCAAUCACUUUCUUAAUAGAUCAAGUGUGGGACCAUAGAAGCACACAGAGAUCUGAGUUUGUCUACAGUUCCAUGCAAAAGAGAUAAGUAGUAUUGUAUCUCGUGACAGUAAAUUUAUCAAUGUGACAGUAAUUUUCUCAACUUGGAUUAGAGGCUUAGUGCUUGAAAUAAGUUUCAAGCAGAUCAUACGGUCUCAAGAUCAUAGAAUUCUUCGGUGAUGUUCAACCUAUCUGCUCUUUUGAACUUAUGCUAUCAAAAACAAAACUUCUCACAGAUGGAGAAAGGUCCAACAUAAAUACAGGUACAUAACCCUGAAAUUAAGUACCUCUCAUUAUGCAUUGUCCUUUUCAUAAAAACUGGUCAUGUAGCAGUACUCUUUAAAGGUUUUAGCACCAGGACCAAUAGAGAGCAAGACAAACUGAUGACCAGCAAAUUUAACCAGGACAACAAACUGUACAGCACACAAUCUACUAAUAUUAAUUUGAUGGACAAAAGCAACAAGCUUCUUCACUACACAAGCGUGUUAGAACAUUAGGGCAAAAACCAUUAUUAAUCAUUAAAGACCUCUCUCGGGUCUUAGCAGAUCAUAGAACUACACUGUUAGAUCAUACAUGAAAAUGAUUGAGAGGUUCUAUUUCAGGUUUCACAAGUUUGUGGAUAGUGGUUAAUAUAUGCACAGAAACGUGAUGAUGCAUGACAAGUGACAGGAAGGAAACAAAAGCACAGAUGGGAAAGAGGGUGACACCUUUGCAAGAAGCUUUUCAUUCUCUUCUUUCAGAGACCUCUCCUGAAGUACACCAAAUAAAGUUGCUAGAUUAAUAUAACCAGGAAUUUAACAAUGCCUGAUGAGAUCGGAUAUGCAUUCAUCAUAUUUGUCCACUUACCUUUGCUUGUAACUGCUGUAUCUGAUCAUUGAAUAAUUGAGCCUGUAAAAGAGUUCCAUAGAAAUAUUUUAACUUUCGUGUGUGUGCAUAUCUUCCCCAUACGUUUCUUAGCACAAGGUGGUAAAAAAAGAGAGAAAAUAAGUUGAAAUGAUGGACGAUAGAAAUGAAAGGACAAUGCUUCGCAAAUUGUCCAGAAACAUAGUUCAAGUGAUAAGUAGUACAUGGAAAUCGGUGAGGUUAAUAUAAUAAAAAAACUCACGAUAUUCUAUUAUUUCGUGCCAAAGAAUGCAGGGUAUUUUUUUUUUUUUUUUGUUUCAUGUUGAUAAGUAUUAAUUUGUGUCAAUAAGUGCCAAGAAACCAUUGAUAAGAAAUGAUCGAUGAAUUUUUUUUUCUUUUUUGGGUCAGAGAAGAAAAGCCAGUCAUUUAACCAAACCAAAUAAACUCGUUAAAUAAUCAAAUAAGAGUUGGUGACACGGAAUUAGUUGGUUACUUAAUCAGAGAAAAGUUAGUAACUCCUAUAAUUAAGAUUGGUAAUUUCUAGUUGGGUUCCUAAGUAAGGCAAACAUUUAUGUGUGUACGAGUCUUAUAAGUGAAGAUGAAGAGGAGUGAAACUAUUUUUAUCAACAGAAUUUAUUUUAUAACUAAGAAAGUGAUAAAGAGAAGAACUAUCUGCUGAAGUUGUUGGCACGUAAGGCAGAUGAGAAACAGUAGACCUCACUCUCCACCAAAGAAAGGGCUAGAGUAGGAAAAAUUGCACUAAGAAACACCAAAUAGGAGAUGGUAAGUUAGUCACACGAAAGUUGGUAACCCAAAUAGAGUUAGUAAUUUAAGUGAAAUAUAAGUUUGUCUUGGUAAAUAUAUAUAAUAGCUAUCACAAUUAAAGAAAUGGUAAAAAAAGAAAAAAAAUUAAAAGUUGAUAAAAAGAAAGAGAUGUUGAUAAUUGCACAUUGUUAAAAGGAGUUGGUGAUUUCAUAAAAGUGUUGGUAAAUUAUUAAUAAAUUAGUUAGAAAUCAGGUAACUGCAAAUUUUUUUAUUACAAUUUUUUGUCACAUACAACUCUUUCAAAAGUUUACCAGCCUUUAAAAAUAUUCAAUCUUUUUUCUGUCGAAAAAGGAACAAUAGAGUCGUCCAAAUAACUCUAGGAAAAAUAAUGAUAGAAGAAUAACCAUGACAUUUUCCUCCUUUAUUGGAAAAAGAGAACGGGUCAGUAACGAUGAAGAAAAAGGGUGAUUUGUGAAUGUGCUUUCAUUCUUUUAUAUUAGGUAGAAAAUGCCACGUAUGCUUGGAGAAAAAUUGAUUCUCUCCUUUCAGACGCCAAGUUUAAUGUGUUUAGUCUACAUGCAACUGCAGUCUUUAUUGAAACUGGUGUUUCCGCUCCUGAAUGCAAUUGCAGUCUCUAUUGAAAUUGGUCAGUCUUGUUAGUCGUUCAAGGGAAAUUGUUUCUCAUUGUUUUCUUUCCCUUCUCACCAUAUCCAUGCCUCCAAAAACAGCAGCUACUCGAUGAAAGUUCUCAAAACACUUUAGGCUCAGAGAAAAGGACAAAUAUGCCAAAGACGCGUGUACCUUUCUUUCCCUAAUGCUGCUCAAACUUCGCUCGAGCUGAUCCCCUAUCUCUUGGAUUUCGUCAAUCGAGCAAGAUCCGAGACAUUGUCCUGAUAGCUUGCUGAUGUAAAAAAGAAAAAGGAGUACCAUAGUUUAGGGAAUUAGAUAUCAAGAAUCCAUUUCGAUCCACAAUUUAUAAGAGAGAAGUCUCAAAAUUUGUGGACCGUAGAGAAACUUCAAGAAGCUCAAUCUUCCUCUCCAUAUCCGUGGUUUCUUGCUUCAGAUGCUGCACAUAUAUGGAGAUUGUGAUAUUUAUGAAUCCAGUGAACGGAAUAAUACAAACUGAACAAAUGUGAAAUUAGUAAAGGAUAAAACCAAUCAUAGUAAACAAAUCUGUCACACCACAGGAUCCUGCAAAACUACGACUGCUACUACAAGAAUCCUAAUGUUCUUGCAAAAUUUGUAGCUGGACACAAACCAUGGUCGCUUCUAUGGCUUAGCGCCUCAGUAAUUCUUGACAUCAAAAGUAGGGUUCUUAUCAAGAACGUGGUUCGAUAUUAUUACGAUCUGCAAAUACUUACGUAUGGGCUCACACCAACUGCCAAUUUCAAAACUUCCUUCCAGAAAACAAUAAGAUGUAGAUGCCCAAGGAGGUGAUGUUUUCGAGGUAUCACGUGGAGGGUGAUGAGUGGGAUUUCAGAAGCUGAAAGCAUUUUAGACGACCAGUUAAUGUCCUGAGGACAUGUACAAAGACCAAAAUAGCACUUUUAAUGUUUCGAUUAACUUGAAACCUAUUUGUCUCUAUACAUAUCAGCAGUUUCUCCUCUCUGCUUCCCAGUCAUUGCCAAACCAGAAAGUAAGUUCAUCCGCAACUUAUCUCGGAUAUAUACACCUUCUCAUUAAGAAAAAACUUACCACAUUAAAGAUACAUUCGGAAAUUGAAUGUCACUUGACUCUAUCCCUCUUUUUACAAGUAUAUCAUCAUCAUUAGUAUGAUCCCUACCUUGUGGUUCUAGUGAUUCAUUUAAAUCAUGUAUGCGGGUAGAUUUCUCAUGUGAUCUUUGCAUAUGAGGCGACUAUUUAUGUAUACACAAGCACAUAUUAUAAGGUUGCUGGGGAAAUAGGAUUUCUCGCCAUCUGUGUUCGUGUAUAGACUUCUUUGUAAGCCCUAUCCUGAAAAAAGUUAUGUUUGAUGUUAUAUGUUAAUCCACCAGGAAAAAAAAAAAAACAGCAGGAAGUUGCUUUCUUACAUACAGCAAAAUGAAUGAAAUCGAACUGCUCAACUUGCUUAACCUCUAAAAAAUGUGCUUGAAUAGUUCAAAUAUGACUAGUCCGACACUAUUGACUUCUAUUGACUAACAAACAUGGCAACUUGUAUAAUUAAACUGAGAAUCUCACUGAACUCCUUAUGAAUGCACCAAAUGUAUUAUCAUGGAAAGGUUAGAGCACUGACCAGAAUAUAUUGUUCCAUAUUAGCCUGGUAUGUAUCCGCACCAUUUGUAGAUCUACGAUAUCGAUCAAUUGUCUUUCGGAUUCUGAAAAAUUUGCAAAAAAAGCAUAUGAGCUCAGCCACUAGGAAUACAUUCUCCAAAUUAAUCAGGUAUCAUCAAAACUAAAGUAAUCAAACAUUAAACAUUAAACAUUAUUAUUUUUGUGAAUCAUGCAUGACUUCCAGUGAAUAUGUAUCACUACCACUCACGAACAGAAUAUGCAAGGACCAUAAGCCUCCGCAAGAAGCUUUUAGCGUCUCAGCAACUUAUUUGCAACUAUGUGAAUUACUUGGAAAAGUCUUGGUUGUCCUCCUUAUACUUUGUAAAUAAUCGACGCCGGAGGGAGUAUAGAGAAUUAGGAGGUAACACAAAUGAGAACUUAAAUGGAAAGCUCGCUCACCAUUCAGAAUUCAUUUAAGAGAUAAAAGCAAAACAAGAAAUCCUUCUUGUUCUGAAGCCAAAGCUAAAUAAGUUAUGAAUCAAGACAAGUCUAUCUUCUCACUCAUCAUAGCAUAUGCUUAUGUAGAUGAGUUUGGAAUGACCCCUUAAGCAUGAGUAAUUGCCAAGACUCAUUCGAAAAUAUGAGACCAUGCCAGCAAGGACUCCGGAAACUUAAACGACAUUUACUAGACCUUGAAAAUAUGAGAAUCAAAUGUAGUUGGUUGUAAGUCUCCUAGUUUUACUAGUUCUGAAUUAAUAAAAUGCUCUAACAUCAAUAACCAUGCCAGCAAUAUUUUCCUUAAAAUUUUAGCGUGAAAAUGUUCAACUUCACAUUAUAAAAGUAUAUUAUGUGCGCACGUGAAGUAUAUUUAAAUAUGAGUGAAUUAAUGCAAUGUUUUUUGCUCAAGCCCAAAGUCUCCAAUAUUCCACACACCACUCUUUGUCAGUAAGAAGUAAGAACAGCACAUGAUGCUUGUAAAAUCAUCAGUUGCAUUGUGAAGCAGUACAAGGACUCACUACUUCUGAGAGAAAUUAUAAGAGCAGAGUUGCACCUACAUUUAACUUGUGACUUCAAGCACUUUUUUUCCCGUAAAUGAAGAACAGGGGGUACUUACAUGGUGGAGCAACUAAAAUGGCAAACUUGUACAAUUGCAGUACUCUAUGAGUAAGAAGUCCAAGAGAUCAACGUGUUGUGUCAUGUUAGCCUUAAUCUAUUAUACUAGUGAAUGUACUCGAUCCCAUAAAAUCACCAUUACACAAAUCUAGUCAAGCCCAUGACCUUAUUCACCUUUCAAAGCAUCGUAUAAUUAAAAGUACCUAAAAUAGAAGAUGUCAGGACUUGUUUCACACUUUUUUGUUUAGGGUUAAAGUACCAUUAAAAAAUCAACUUGAAAUCUUUUGCAUGUUUUGUUUGGUUCAGAAAAGAGAUUAAUAAUGUCUAAGUUUCAAUUCAAUGAACCACGAUUUGAAUUGCUUAUUGAUUAUGGUGGUAGAUAGGUAACACAUUAUUCAAUUUCCCGACUAAUAAAUGUCAUAUAAAAUUCUAGUUUUUGCCUUGUGGUAUGAUCAUAAACUUGAAAGAUGGAUUUGCAUGAUUAACCAUUAUCAGAUAGGGUACAUAAAAUAGUCUUAAUUCAUGUCUAAGUAGUAUAAUUACAACAAACUGAAUUAAACAAGGUAUGGUUUGAAGGCUUCACACUUUUCAACUUAAGUUUGGUUUUCAACUUCCAAGCUAUCAAAUUUGUUUGGGAAAGAUCUACUUCAAAUAGAUUAAUACCUUACUGCAAAUACGUUUAUCAUCAUCAUGCCCCAAGAAUUAGUUAUGGAAAUCAAUCCCUAGAAGCAGCCUUAAAACCUAUAACACUUCAAAAAGGAACACUAUACGGCAUGUUCAUUUCAUAUCAACGUGGAAUUGGGGCAAAGGCUGACGAAAUAAUAUCAGUCCCCAGUGUCACUAACAUUAAAUUAUGUUUUCAUCCCCCAAGAAGUACUAAGUAUUCUAACAUGUGAAGAAGCUGGAAUAGAUCAGUACUUGCAAGAUAUUCAACAAUUAGUUUCCUCGGAAGAACCAUUAAGAAAGAGGGAGUCCAACUCCAACGCUACAGCGUACACAAUGAAUGCCUUUGAUCAUCAAAUCCCCCGCAUCUAGCCAUUUGAUUAGGGUACACCCCAGUGCAAUGACUAUCAAAAAGAAAAGCGAAAAAGAAGAUUUAAUAGUUUCGUACUUCCUUUUCUCAGCUAAUUUCGACUAGGAUAUCUGAAUAAAAGCCAUGUUUUUAAAAAUUGUCCGAAAAUGAGAACCAAAUUGGUCAUCAUGGUGGGUUAGUCCGUGAUCGAAGGGGAAAGACACUAAACGCUUGACCAAAACCAAAAAUGGUAGAAAAGAAAAGGCGAACAAGAAAAAAAACCCAUGCCAUGAUGCUGUCUCUUUUUUACACCUGACAAACACACAGCAUAUAUGUGUGUAUAUGCCCUCCUUUUGGACAUAAUAAUGUUAACAAGGCUCAAUCAUGUUCCUUAUCUAAAACCAUUUCGAGAAAUUAAAAAAUCAGUAUGCAAACGUACUCAGAAUUGCUUGAGAACUCGUAAAGCCUUCCUUUCUGUGAAAAGAUUAUCACAGCGACUUCGGCAUCACAGAGGACCGAGAGCUCGAAAGCUUUCUUCAGUAGCCCAUUACGGCGCUUCAAGAAGGUGACUUGCCGGCUCGUCACAUUCUCAAUUCGCCUCAUCUGAAUUUUGCCUCUUGCCAUGAUCGAAUUGUCCCUACAUACAUGACGGUUAUCAACCCUAAAAUGACAAGUAUUUAAACAUAGCGAUGAACUUAACAAAUAUACCUCAACAAUCAAAAACCACAACUCACCAGUGACUUUGUGCAGCUUCAACCAGCUGAAGAUUUAUCUAGACUUUAGACUGAAGUACUUGAGAAGCUAAAAACACUGCAAGAGAAAUAACUCUCUUUUUUUCAAAUAGAGAUAGACUAUUUCAUCAUUCAAACACAAGUCCAAAAGCACAGGAUAAAGAUUUCACAAAAGCAAUGGUCGGAGAAAUAUGGAUUUGCCCAGCGUAACAAAAGGGGAAGCUUCUCCACUCUAUGUCAGAAAAAUGAACCACAAAAAAUUCAGAAACCCUAAAGAGGGACGAGAGGGCGAAGACGAAAACCAAAAAACUGGGAUGAACGCAAAGGAUACAUUAGCAGUUGAUGGAUCUCUCUUUAUUUUGUGGCCACAAACAUGAAAAGAAGAAAAAAGUUAUUAUUCAAAAUUCAAUGAUCUUCUACUCAGGGCAAAUAUGGCGUGAACCAUGAAAAGGAAAUACAAACAAAAAAGGAAAGAAACAGGGAGGAAAGCAAAGCAUUCAAGGUCAACCAAAACGGCAUGGUUAAUUUGGUACCGAAGAUUCAAAGAAGCAGAUGGAUUCUCUUGUUUUGGUAAAAUUAAUAAAGAGUGUAGAGAGAGAGACAGAGAGACAGAGAAAGAGAGGAAGAGAGAGAAGACAUUUUGUUUUUUCCGAAAAAACGUAUAUUUUUAUUAGAAAGAGCGUAGAGAGAGAGAGACAGAACGACAUGCGAAAGAGAGAGCAGCGAGAAACGAAACAGGUGAAAAGAAAGAGAAAAGGUAGUACGAUAAAUAUGAGAAUUGUCGACGUCAUCGUACCAUGACGUGCGCAGUUAACCAAUGGGACGUUGACCAGUGGGAAAACAUUAUCUCUCGCUCAAAUUCAGUGGGCCUCCACUAGACCCAUGGAAAGAGACCCUGUCUUUUUCUUGGGCCAAGUAGGAACAGCCUCGGCGCUCUUCUUCAAUCGAUUCCCCUCUUAGUGGGUUUGCGAGCACUAGGAGUACUCGAAAUUAUUACCACGAUAAAUUCAUGGGUAAAAUAGAUACCAGAACAAUCCUUUAGCUUAUCUUUCCUUUAUGUUCUUCUUAUAAUUCCUCAUUAUAUAGGAGAGUAAAAAAUACCUGAAACUUUUUGAUUUGGGUAAUAAGUAUGGGAAUUUGGGAAGUUUUAUGCUUUGAUUCGAUUUUUUGUUUUGUUUUGUUUUUUUUUUUUUUGCUUACACACAUGAGAGUUCAAAGGUUACUGAUUAUGAUACACUAAUCCCAUAUCACUUAAUUUUCUAAUUAGCAGAAAUGUGAUCUUCUACGAGACUACUAUGUUUUGAUAGAAGACUAGCAGAGCAAACAUAUCAUAGUGUCAUUGGAACAAAAAUAAGAAAAAAAAAUAACUUAUUAUUUUCAGGAACAAUUUCUAGAAAUAAGUCAUUUUUUUUUCUUUUCUAAUUUUCUUUUGUUCAUCUUCCUUGCCGCAGCCAUCGCCCGUAGCUCGCCACCGUCGCCUAACUACCGGCAACCAUUGUCGUUGCCGCUCGACCGUCGACUGUUGUCACCGCCCACUACCCAUAACCCACCAGUUGUUGUCAGCUGUCGAUGUUUGGCAGUUCAUAAGUAAGAAGAAAAAACAAAUAAAUGCAAAAAAUUAUGAUUUGUACCAAACUCAUUUAUAUUCUUUUUCUAUUUCGAAAAUAUAAAUUUUGUAUAUUAUUUUACUUAGAAAUUAUUCCAAUGAGUAGAAAAAAACUAUUUCUAAAAAGAAAUUAUUCAUCAAAGUUGAAACGUUACCAUGCACAAUCUAAAUAAGUAGCAAAAUUGUAGCACUUUAUAGUUAUGAGUAGACAAAUAAGGCAAAUUGGGCCACUUAUACAUUAUAAUUCUACAUUUAUUACUUAUGCAUUGACAAUAAAGUAAUAAAGUAGAAACAUAUGAGCUUUCGUCUUGCUUCGAGAGAAUAUCUAGUGCUGAAUCUUUAUAGUGGGUAAAGGCUAUGAAUGAAGAGAUGAAAUCACUCCAUUAGAACUAAAAAUGGGAUCUUGCUAAAGUAUCGAAGACCAACAAUAUCAUUGGAAACAAGUGGGUCUACAAAUGGAAGGAAGGCAUCGAGGUAUAAGGUAAAACUUAUUGUGAAGGGUUAUACAAAACAAAAGAGCAUUGAUUACAACAAGGUCUUUUAUCCUAUUAUAAUACAUACUUAUAUUUGAAUAUUACUUGUCUUAAUUGCUACACAUGAUCUCAAGCUAGAACAACUGGAUGUGAAAAUGGCAAUUUUUCACAAUGAGUUCAAGGAAUGGAUUUACAUGAGGCAGUUAAAAGGAUUUGUUAUUUCGGGUAAAGAAAACCAUGUUUAUUUAUUAAAUAAAUCUUUCUACGGGUUGAAACAAUCUCCUAAAUAAUGGUAUAAUUAUUUUGAUGCUUUUAUGGCUGAAGCUAUUCGAAAGUUAGUUGGACAGCUUACUUUAGGAGAUUGGAGGAUGGAUCUUUGAUAAAUCUAAUAUUAUUUGUUGAUGACAUAUUGAUAACAAUUAAGAUUAUGUGGGAAAUUGAUGUGUUAAAGAAGCGGCUAAAUGCUGAAUUUUAGAUGAAAAAUUUGGGUGCUACAUAGAAGAAUAAGAGAUGUCAAAAACACUUAUCGGAUCAACCAUAUGAAGAGAUUUUGUUUUAAAUUAUGGUGUAAAUUUUGCUUGCAAUUGGGUUGAUUAUUUGUAAAUACUAUGGGUUUAGGUAUACUUUAAUUGUAGGAAAUAAUUGAACAUGUAAACGAUUAUUAAUUCUAUGAUUCUCCAAUUAUUAAUAGAUUAUUUGCUGCUAGUCCUUCUUGUUGAAGAGUUACCGACACAGAGACCAAACCACGUAAAUUCCUAAAGUUUUCUCUUGGUCCUGACUUAUUUCUAUGGUAAUUUUGCAUUGAUUUAAUUUGCAAGAUCCAAUGUUUUCCACAUUAAUUUUACAAAGUUUAGAAGGACAAGUCACCAUAUCAAUUAUAAAAUACAAAAGAUGAGGACAACAUAGCUAAUGCAAUGUGGAUUCAUGAGGACACCAAAAUAGCACAGGCCUUUGAUUAAAUAACAUAUCGAUAACAUAGGCCUUUAAUUAAAUCGCAUAUCUUUACUAAUAUAUUAAGCCAAAGCAUGCACCUUAUGCAUACGACCAACAUGCGCCAUUUGUCAUGUUUCUACAUCACAAUAAUCUUGAACCUCUCAACUAUUCCACAUUUUUUUUUCAAUAAUUAUGUACAUUUUAUAGUGCAAACAUCAACAUAGUUGGAGAGCAUCUUCUCUCUACCAACUCAAUACGGAGGCACGUCUUCAAAACGAAGAUGCAAUACAGCUUCCACAGCUGCUAAUACUAAUUUAGUAUCUUGGACAAAAGGCAAUAGUAACAUUCUCAAUGAACCUUAUACCAAGCUAAAAGGGUGCUAAGCCAGAUUCAAAAAUCUAAAUACCCAAGGAAUCACACAAAUAUUUGUUAGGGGAUGGCGGAUAUUUUCUCCUUUAGCAAACCAACAACCUUAAGUCAAGUUGACAAAUAGAGUGUGUUUAGAAACUCUAUCUUACAUUUGUAGUUAUCUCCCUGCCAUUCACAGUAUCUACAUGUAAUAGUUGACACUGAGAAAAUUAUGUAUGUGUAUGUCUAAAUUAAGUAAUGGUUAAGUAUUGGAGAAGUAAUGCUAAAUCAUGCAUUGGCAUAAUAUACACAUCAUUGAUUCAUUAAAUAUUUCAACACGUGGUUCAUUAUUUCGACACAUAUAAAAUGGGUAUUGUGGAAAGUAAUCAUUUGGUUUAUUGGUAGUUUAAUUAAAAUGAUUGGAAAAGAACUACUCAUUACAAAUAGUAUUUUACAUAAACAGAUAAUUCAAUUUUACUUUUAAAAAAAUUUCAAAGAGAUUAUUGUCAUUCUGAUGAAUGGGAUUCAUUCAAAUAAAUUUUACAUUUAAAAGUACUCUUACUUGAUAAUGAUUUACUUCUUCACGUCACUUUCUUAGGUUUAUUUGAUGCACACAAUCCCUUUUUCUUAUUUAUGAGGACACUAAGGUACUUUUCUUGGCAUGGGAUUGACUCAUUCAAGACAAUAUCCUUGUUUUAACAAAAGGAAUUAUUGUAGUAUGAUGUUUUAUAAAUAAAUAAAAAAAUCACAUUACUUGUGAUCUCCUGAAUUUUCAAUUCUAUUUUCAAUUGAAUGAAUCGGAAUUUUUAUCGAUGCACCUACAAUUCUAUUCUCUAAGCUAAUCACUCACGAGAUAACUAAUCCAUCUGGUGAAGCCAUUAAGGGAUUUUAACGUAAUAGAUUUGAGAAUUCGACCAAAAAUAUGCUAAUAUUCAAGGGUCAUUACGGUAUAGUUAAAAAUCGAUUAGAGACCGGAAAUAGAUCGACUCGACCGAGCCAUGUGAUUAAGUGUGGGUGAUUCUACUUAAUUUCAAAAUUCUCGUCGAUCAGCACUAGACCGAUUUUUCUUUCGUUUAAAUACCUUGUGUCUGUAUUUGAAAUCUCGAGAUUUCCACGACAAUCGAGAGUCGCCAAUGUGUCAAAUAUAUACAAUGUAGCUCGAAAAUAAUCGACCACAGGUCAAUUGCACUAAAAAUUCCUAAAAUUUAUGUCAUGUCAUGAUUUAAUUUAAGACCAUCGACUCACCCUUCGAAAAAUUUUCUGCAAACCAAGAUUUUUGGCAAAAUUUCAAAAUAUGGCCAUUUUUGUCCAGGAAAAUCAUAUGACCGUUUUUUGUCGCAUUUUUGGGAUUCAAGUUGGUUCAAAUGGUGAGGAAAAAUGUUGUAUUUGACGAGGACACCUUGGUUGAAUUUAUAGACGUCAAAUUGGAUUCAAUUGGGGGGGGGAAUGAUUCAAUUUGGGGGAAAUUGGUACAAAAUUCGUUGGUCCCUUCGUGUGCAACAUUUGAGGCAUCAAUGAAGCUUCCAAGGGAAGAUUGAGGGCUACAAAUUGGCUUGGAUGACAGCCAAGACAAGUGGGGGCCAAGCAAUGAUCAACUAAGGGAUAUUUAGGCAUUUUUUCGCCCCUCCAAGUGCAACUAUCUUCUUCUUCUUCUUCAGUAGCUUGCUUUAUCCAUUUUUAGACCACUCUUGAAGCUUGGAGAAACCAGAGAAAAACCGACAACCAUCCCCCUAGCUCGUCGCACGCCCGCCGAGCCACCGGAGCCACCGCUCACAUCGCACGAGCCCAUUGCGCGUCGCCCUGCCAGUCCGUGCCUCCUACUUGUCGUCCCGCCUGUCCCGAGCCACCUCGCCGUCCCCCAAGUUGCCCAGGCCACCGUCGAAGCCCCCUGGCUAUCGUCCAGUCGCCGUUCACCUCCACCUAGCCCGCUGCAGCCGCCCGCCAGCCCUCCUUACCGUUUCAACCCAGCCAGCAGCCCCGCACCAGCUCCUUCGGCCCAAGGUCAGUGGCCGAAGCCAACAAGGGCUUUGAGACUUCAAGACCCGUUUUCAAGCCCAUCUGGUCGCCGCUUGGUGUCGUCACAUGAUUGUUUUGUGCCCGUCUUUAUGUCGUCGUCGUCGUUGUGAAUCACCGGAAUGCUAAACUGGUGAGUUUACUUGCUAAACUCUACUUAUGGAAUUAAUGACCAUUAAUGGGUGAUUAAUUUAGGAUAAAAUAUGAGUUAGGUUGUUAGUUAGCAUGGAUUAGUGAUUUAAUUAUUAAUUGUAUAUGUUAGGUGGUUAGAAUAGCCUAAUUAAAGACUAGAUAAGUUGUAUUAUUUAUCUAGACAGGUUCGAAAAUUUUUCAGGCCUGUUCGAGUGGUUAAUUAGCAUUUCCAGCCUAAAUUUGCAUUUUUGGUAAUUAAUUGUAUUUAUUUAAUUAUUUUUUGUAUUUAUUUAUUAUUUAUUAUUUAUUACUUUCUGGAAAUUAUACUAGGAUAGCCGGUGACUGGAAUUUUGCGCUGAUUACAGUGGUAUGCUUAGUUUCUGCAAUUGAAUGCUAUUUUGUGCAAAUUGAGUGGUGAUUGUAAUUUUUGGUAUUUAUUCCAAAAUUGUGUAAUUUCGGUAUUUAAUCAAAAAAUACCGAGCCGUCGGUUUUUUAUGCCAAAAAUAUUUUUAGGCACUAUAUUAAAUGGUGGGAUUUUGAAAAAAAAUAUAUAGCAUUUUGGCUCAGACCGACUGUGUACUCACACACGAUUAUUUUUAUCGAGUGUUUUUAACACGAUUAAAUUAGACCAAGUUCAUUAUUUUUAUUGAGAAAUUGGUUUACAAAGCACAAGGUCCUUGGCCGAGAUUGAUUUAUUGUGUAUCAGCUUGUGUGAGCAUUGAUUGUCAGCUUGUGUGAGCAUUAUUGAAUCGUCACCUUGUGUGAGUAAUGAUCAUCAGUGUUACGCCUCGAUUCUCGAGCGCACGCCUAUCCCUCACCUGGUUGAUUAAUCUUGAUGUCCCAGGAUGCAUCGCCGACCCUUUUGUUUUAAUACGCAUGCGGAAGCAGAUAUAAAAUUCAUAAACAACAAAACAAUAGGAUAAAAAAGUAGGACUAAAAACUCGAACCUGAAAAUCAAUACACUUAUAUACAUAUAUAACAACUCAAUCAUAUAUGUACAUAUACAAGCCACACUGAAAAGUCAGUUCCUACACAAAUAGGUUCAACACCAACAAGUCAUCAAACAGGAGUGGGGGUCUCAAUCUUCAUCUAGGUCAUACUCUGGAUCAUCCUCGGGGUCUUCCUUCAAGUCAUCCUCUAGUUCCUCUUUAGGUUCUUCUUCAGGUUCCUCCUCCUCCUCCUGUUCAACGAUCUCUCCUUCUUCUUCACUCCAAUUAGCGUCCUCAGCUGAGUACACUGGAGAGUCAGAUUCGUCCUUAAGCUUAGGAUCAUUUGCAUUCACCACCGAUCCAUCUUUAGGGUCUAUUGUACCCUUACCAAAAAUAGUUUCCAGAACGAACCAAAGUACAUUAGAUUCUAGCAUAGGGCUCUCCCUUCGCCCAUCAUGAAAGUGGCGAUACCAUGACCAGUACUUAUAAGGCACCUUAUCGAGUACAUUCACGUCAACCCAAACAGUGGACUUCACUAGUACAUAUUCUAAUCUUUUAGGGUGGAGGUGUAUCGGAAAAUGAUAACCUAUUUCUGUAAUCUCCUCCGAUAUACCAAAAUGUGCGAGAGGGGGCGGGGGUGCUGCCAAUAUGGACCUGAAAUGUUAUCCCACAACGGAGUGAGACGACGUCUCAGCAAGUUCUGCCCCCUAAGACCCGAUUAGGAAGCCAAUAUGCCCUAAAGGCUACCUAAGCACAACAUGAGUUAGAGGAUUUACUUUGGCCUCAGUUCCAUCCUGCAAAUCAAUAACAUUUACAGAUGCCUCAAAUCACAUCAAUCACUCAAUUCGUAACAUCAGAUCAAAUCAUUAAGCAAUCGACCUAAUCGAUUACAUAUCACUACGACCUCUCCCUGAUCGAUACAUUCAAUACCAUCUAUUCUCCAAGAUGGUAUAUCUAGUCACCGAGCCAAUGUGCAUUUUCCAAGAUGACAUACCUAGCCACUGAGCUCACGUGCAUUCUCCAAGAUGACAUACCUAAUCACCGAGCCCACGUGCAUUCUCCAAGGUGAUAUAUUGAAUCACUGAGCCAACAAAUAUAAUGUCUUUCUCUGAGAUGACAUUCUUAAUCAUCGAGCCAACAUAGUAUGGCAUUCUUUCUCACAUUUUAUCAUAACCGAUAAAAUAGUCGUGUGUGGGUAUACGAUUGGCCUUAACCAAAAUAUAAUAAUUUCACUUUCACAAAUCCCAUAAUUUCAUAUGGUCCACCAAAAUAUUUUUGACGUUGUAAACCGAUACUCAAUUAUUUUCCAAUCAAUUACCAGAAUUAAUUAAUUUAGGAAUAAAAUGCUAAAAUCACAAUUAAAUCAAUUCAACACAAAUUAAAGCUCAAAUAAGUAAACAUACUACACCAUAAUAAUCAGCAUAAAAUUCCGGUCAUCGACUAUCCAGUCUAAUUUUCGAAAAAAUAAAUAAUUAGUUAAAUAAUUACGAAAAUAUUAAAUAAAUAGCAAUAAAUCUAAUUUAUGCCCGUAAUACCUAAUUGGAAGUCGAAACAGACCCAAAAAAAUUUCAAAGUUCGUUGAAUAAAUAAUAAAUCAUGUUACUCGCUAAAUGCACUAACCAUUUGCCUAACAUGCAUUGAUAAGGCACUAAUUUAAUUGUUCUACUUUAAUCUAUCCACCUAAUUAUACUUAAUUAAUUCUAAUCAACCCUUAAGCAUCAUGUGACCUCCCGAUUUUUCAAUUCUAUUUUCAAUAAAUUGAGACGGACAUUUCUUUGGCACGCAUAUAGUGUUUUUCCUUGAGUCGGCCACUCAUGUGAAAACUAGUCUAUCAAGUGAAGCCGUUAAGAAAUUCUAAUGCAUCAGACCCGAGAAUUUGACCAGGAAGCGACCUUUCGACCGAGCUAAUCUGCAAGGGUCAUUACGGCACAAUUAAAAAUUGAUUAGAGACCGGAGAUAGGUCGACUCGAUGGAGGCAUGUGAUCAAGUGUGGGUGAUUCCACCAGAUCGCACAAUUCUGGUCGAUCGGCACUAGAUUGACGUUUCUGUCAAUUUGGUACCCUGUGUCCGUAUUUGAAACCUUGAGAUUACCCUGACAACCGAAAGUCGUCAAUGUGUCAAAGAUGUACAUUGUGGCUUGACUUGAUCAACCACAGGUCAAAUGCAUGAAAAUUUCUAAAAGCUACCCGGUAGAUUAGGACGCGCUAGUAUCAUGCCAAAGUGAAAUUAACCGUGAGAUUGAGAUCGAAUUCUGAAAUUGGAAGUCAUGGUGUGUCACAAAUCUUAUUAAGAACAUUGGAUUAAUUUAUGGACUUUAAUUGAACUCAAUUGAAAGAGAAUCGAGUGGAAUUGAAGAAGUUGUUGUACAAGAUUUUAUACCCCAUCGAAAAAUGAAAUUGAACCUAUUGGACUAAGAUUAUGGAAGAUUGGAGUUAGUGGAAGAUGACAUCACCUUAUGUCAUGAUGGUUGGGCCAUAUUGAAGGAGAUCUUGACAAGUGAAUGGUGGGGAUUGGCUCUUGUAAAAGUGGGCUAUCAACAUCAUCUUCAAGCUUGGGAAGAGAGAGAAAGAGGGGAGAGAGAGCUUCGACCGGUUACAGCAAGCUUCGUUCGCCCCUUCGCCGUCCGCUCGUUCGUCACAAUUGUUGCCGUUGCUGCUGCGGUCACCGCUCGUCCGCUCGCCAGCUCACGCCGCUGCCUCGGCCACGCCUUCGUCCGCUCGAGCCUCCAACUCGUCAUCCGGCGUCCUAGCUGCUACUCAACGCCGUUGCACUUCGCCGGAGUCUCCAUCGCGGCCGCACGUCCUCGCCAGCCACCGCCCGAGCUACCACCCCUCUCCUCCGCCGUUCCUCCGCCUGAACCAGCACUGGAUCAACCCCUUCUCGGCCUCAACCAGCAGCUCGCCGAGUGGGUAUUGCAGCCUGAUCUUGGCCCAUUUUGGCCGACUUCCCGACCCCGAAAGCUUGACCCGCUUUGAGAAAAGUUGUUCCCCUCGGUGUCCUCGGCGUUUUGGUCCGCUCGGUUCGUUAAUCAGGUGAGUUUAACUCACUAAAUCUUGAUUAGACGGUUAAUGAUGCCCUAAGUGUACUUAGUCUAAGUUAAGUAAGUUUAGGUGAUUAGAUUAAUUAAUUUGGUUAAGGAUUAGAUUAGGGUUUUUAAUUAAGUUAAAGUGUGUUUAGUUUAAAGUUAAAUAGGUUUAUUUUAAUAUAAGCUUUGAUGUGACAUAAAGGAAUUUACUUUCGAUUUAUUUAAAUGUCUCGAAUUUAUUAAAUAAUUUAAUAAUAUAUUAUUAUUCAAAAUUAUUAAAAUAUUAUUAUUUAAUUAUUUUCGGAAUAAAUUUAAUUAUUUAUUAAAUUUCGAAAAUUUUGUCAGAAUCCUAAAUUCUUAGAAUUUCGUGCCGAUCGCUGUUGUGUAGUCAGAUUUUGAAAUUAAUGAUUGGAUAUUAUAAAUUGAGUGUGGAUCGUGAAAAAUAUGGAUAUUAUUAUUUAAUUAAUUUUCGGAAUAAAUUUAAUUAUUUAAUAAAUUUUGAAAAUUAUUUAAUAAAUUUUGAAAAUUAUUUAAUAAAUUUUGAAAAUUAUUUUGGGACCUUAGUUUCUUAGAAUUUCGUGUUGAUCGCUGCUGUGCAUUUAGAAUUUGAAUUUGAUGAAUGGAUGUGGCAAAUUGAGUGUUGAUUGUGAUAAAUAGAGAUUUUAUUCAUAAAAACUCAAGUGUCGGGUUUUAAUGCAAAAAUUGGAUUUUCAAUAUUAUAUUAAAUAGUGGGGUUUGAAAAAGUGACCUAUUGGUUUUCUGGAUCGAAAUUAACUUGCCCCCACACACGUGGUUAAUUUCUGGACUAUUUUUAAUAUGAAAAAAAAAUGGUCGGGAUCACUAUUUUAAGUGGAAACAUCGAGUGAAAUGCAAAGUGUCUCGACCGAAUAUGAAUUGUUGUGUGAUAAUUGAGAGGAGAUCGUCUCUAGGCUGUUGAGCCAGACUUACCCCUAUAUGGGAUGCCCACGCAGUGGUUGCAGGUCGCAGUUGAUUCUGGGCCUAUACUCCUUCGGGAAUGCCGUCAACGUACUGACGAAGCCGUGCUCCAAGGUGGGGAGGCGAUGCCUGGCUAUAUGCCAGUAGAUAGCCGAACUGCAAGUAGGCUAUGCUCUUGUGUGGUAGUCAAUAACAAUUGGAAUGCAUGUUGAGUGUUGAUGUGUCGAAUUAUGGGACGGAAUUGUGUGGCAUGGAAUGUGACGUGUCAUAACGAUUUAGUCUUAUAAUCAGGACCCUCGCGGUUGUUGGUUAUAUGAAAGUGAAUGCGUUCCGGUUGUUUAAGUUCUUAUUACUGCAUAUGAUUGAGUGAUAUGAAUUGUGCUAACCUGCAGGAAGGAACCAAGGCGAGGUAAGUUCUCUAUGUUGUGUGGCUAGGCCAUCCUUAGGCGUAUUUUCUUUCUAAUAGGGGUUUAGGGGGUUGAACUUGCUGAGACAUUGUCUCAUCUCGGUUGGGGGAUUACAAUUCCAGGUCCCUGGUGGACAGAACGGCUAGAUAGCUUUGGUUGACCUUGAGGAGUUGUAGAGGUGAAGUCAUGAGUAUUAGAGAACGUGUCCGACUUGUAGGUCGUAGGGCAGUUCAUUUUUAAAAGCCGGUCUUUUGUAGACUUUUGGGUGUAGGCCUUCGUUUGUAACUCCAUUGGUUUAUGUAAGUGAUUGGUUGUGAAUUUGCUUCCUGUUUUUCUAUCCCGUAUUUCAUUGUGAGGGGUUUUAUAAUACGUUCCGCUUGCGCAAUAAUAAAUGAAUGGGGCCGGCGACACUACUUGGGAAUGUCACAUUUACAUGACCAUGGUGGGAUGGUGGCGCGCUCGAGGUUCAGGGCGUGACACAUCAUUAGUUUACUAAGCGGGGUUUAGUGAGUAAAACUCACUUGUUUAACAAGCAGUUCAGUGCAAAAUGACGAGAACGUCGCGGGACUCAACUUUCCUCAAGAUGGGCCUAGCAACCGAGGCUCAGGACUAUCUCUAAACGAGCAUAGAGCUUGCUGGAAAACCCUCUAGUUUAUCCUCUGUUCUUGGCUGCAAGCAAAGAGAACAAGGGCUAAACAAGGCAAGCAAGACCGGUGAAGGCUCAAGGAAGGCUGCACGAUACUUGGUGGGCUUAAUGGCAGCUUCGGCGGGCUUCCAUAGCCACUCAUGGCGGCUGGACAGCCACCUGGGUGCAUGGACAAAGGUAAACGACAGCUGGGACACACGGACAAGGCUGUUGGACGUCGAGCUAGGCAGUGGCGCAGCAAGGUAGCGGCAUGAGCGGACGGCUAUGAUAGCGAGGGCGUGCGACGGCGGGGUUCCUCCAACAGGUGGCUGGCCUUGGUUGGUCUUUUUGUUGGCUGCUAGUGUGCGAAAAUGAAGGACAUGGAGAGGCAAAGCCAGCUGGUUGCCUUAGUGAGGAAGAGAGGGGGAUAAAGGCUCCACCAAUGGCCAAAUUUUCCAUUCCCUUAUCUCCUUGACUAUCCACCACCACCCAUGUCUUCCUUGGCUGCAAUUCAGCCACCCAUACACUCUCCACAACUCUUGAAAUGGUCCAAAAUGGGCUAGGCAAGGAGGCAUACGAAUUUGACAAGCUUUGGCUUCAAUUGGACUUGAUUUCCUUUACAAUCCAAUCUCAUUUGGCCAUUACAAAUUCAAUUGACACAUCAAUUAUUAAAUUGGUAUUUUUCCUUACCAAUUGAUCCAUCUUACAUCUCAAUUGCGCAAUAAAAAAUGAUCCCGGCCUUUUUCUGAACAAAAAUGGCUUUAGGACGACUUUUUCCCAAAAAGUCUCUAGUUGCAAAAAAAAAAUCUUUUGAGAUUGAGUCAAUGCUCUUCGUAUUUAUUGCGACAUGACAAAAUCUUCAAUUUUUGAAAUCAGACUCAAAUUCGCAGUUAAUUUCCAUUCGGAGCGUUUUUAGCGUGACUUAGACUACCGGAUAACUUUUAGAAAUUUUCCAAUGCAAAUAACCUGUGGUCGAUUUUCUUUGAGCCACAAUGAACCCACUCGACACAUUGGCGACUCUUAAUUGUCGUGAAAAUAUCGAAAAUUCAAAUAUGGACACAAGAUACCAAAACGAUAGAAAAAUUAGUUUAGUGCCGGCCGACAAGAAUUUUCCAAUUUAGUGGUGUCACUCACAAUUAGCCACACAUCACUAUUGAACCGACCUAUUUUUUAUUUCAAAUCAAUUUUUAACUGUACCAUAAUGACCUCUAAAGAUGGACACGGUCGAGAAGCCGAUUUGUAGUCGAAUUCUCAAGUCUAUUGCAUUAAAAUUCCUUAAUGACUUCCCCAGAUAGUCUAGUUAUCUCAAGAGUGAUCAACUCUAAGAACAGCCUUAUAGACGCGUCAAUAAAAUGCCCAAUUUAUUCAAUAGAAAACAGGAUUAAAAAUCUAGGAUGUCACAAUCAGCUUAUGUAUCAGCUUGGGUGAGCUUUAAUAUGUAUAAGCUUGGGUGAGCUAUGAUAAAUAUCAGCUUGUGCAAGCAACCAUCUAUAUCAGCCUGCGCGAGCAUAAAUAUACUUUAACUUGUGUGAGUAGUGAUCGAAUUGAUUGAAUAGGUAAAUGGUAUCGAUUGGAUUGAAUUGAUUGGUUGAAAUUAUGAACUGUAUUGACAUGCGAAAGGGAAUUGAGGUAAGGUAAGUCUUCUAACUUGUGUGUAUAGCUGCCUCUAGGCAUAUUUCCUUCAUAGUCGGAAUUUAGGGGGUGAAUUUGCUGAGACAUUAUCUCACCCCGUCGUGGGCUCAACUUUUUCAAGUUCUUAGAUGGCGAUUCCUAUGGAAUGUUUUGGCCAACUCAAGAGGAUUACCGAGUAGGUCAUUGAUAUUCCUAUUCCCGGGGGCCAUGGAGUCUAGGUCUAUGAAUUCGUGACGACCACCGUCUGGGUCGAUGGUCUAGGUCGAUGCGGGCCUACCUCAAAGGGUACCCCAUCGAUUCAGAGCGUGAUAUCGUCACAGGCUCAAUAGACACAGAGAGGGUCCCCUACAGGAUUUUGAGGUCCUAGUUUCAACGUUAGAAAUCAAUUUUAGCAAGGGUACAACUGACCCUCCUAGUGGUGCAGUAGCGGACCAAAAUUCCCAAGAGACCUCGGAAUUUUCAGUUGGGGAUUCGAGUGCCUAGAGGACUUGUAGGCUUUUCUGCUUUGCUAGACUUUUGUCUUUAGACUAGUCUUGUAUAUAAACCGAGGUAUUUAUAAAAGUGUUUUUGGUUGUGAAUAUGUUUCUUGCUUUUCUAUCUCUUGUUGGUUGUUGUUAGGGAUACUUAUUUUGCUUCCGUAUGUGCAUUAAAAUUGAAUGGAUCAACGACGCAUCUUGGGACAUCACAAAUUUAUCAACCACCGAGGAAUGGGCACGCGUUCGAAAAUCGAGGUGUUACAUUAGUAUUGCAGUAUAGUUGACAAGCUGGCCAUGGAUCUUGGUGUAGACCAACCCAAAUUUAAUCUUGACAAGUGGCUAGAGAGAGGAUCCCACUAUCUUUCCAAUCCAAGCUCGUCCAUAGAUUUUUCUAUCACGAAAAAGGAAAACAAAGUGAAAAAUAGAAAGCAUAUACAUAAAUUUUAUUUCCUUUUUCUUAUUUAUUUGUAUAUCUUCUUACUAAUUGCUAAGCUGGAUGCACUAUAUAUCUUAGUCAUCUCAUGUGUCACUUAUUAUCCUUAAAUGUCUAUCCCUCCAAUCCCUUCCAAUUAAGGCAUCGCCUUGGGAACAUUCAUCAUUCACGAGCUUAAAUGGAAGCUAGCUUCUGUUAGAUGGAAAAAGUUCGACCUCGUCGUUCGGGAUGAGUUACAAGUCUACUGAAUAGCCUCAUGUUGCAACAUGACAAUUUUGAUUCAAGAAUAUUUCAGAUGCCCAUGACCCUUAUGUUUGCAUACGUCGACAUGAGGAAAAUCAUAAGAGGCAAUGGAUGAACAAUUUUUCGCUUUGCCAACCUUUAAAAGGUGUCCGACCAAAAACAAAAACCUUAAAGAGGUGUCCUCAAACCAAAAAAUAAAAUAGAUUAAAAACCUCAAAGAGGUGUCCAAUGAUGUUGAAAUUUACGCAAGCAGUUCGAAAAUAUGCUCAACGGAGACGUUUCUUUCUUGGAAUCAAUCGAUGUGUAACUCAAAUGUGAAGCCCAAGGUGCAGGCAAGUUAUUUCAUUCAUUUCGCUAAAUCUUCCCCGUAUAUGUCUUUGUCAUUGUUCAUUUCUAAUAUGAUCUUUCUUUGCCUUCGCUAUUCUUACUCGUGGAUCUUGGAAAUGACUACUAUGAAUCCGGUGCAUAUGUUGCCGUGUCAGUGCUAAGGAGAAUCUAGCUGAGUAAAGAUAUCACCAAGUUAUAUAGCCAUCAUUCUUAUUUUAUUCUAUUGAACAUGUAUUAUUAGGGUGAUGGUGAACCAGCUUAACUCUCUGCUAAUCCGAUGAACAACCCGGUCUCACCAUCUGUACUCCGGCUGCUCCGGCUAUGUAUUGCUAUUGCUCUCGGAUGAGCUAUUGAUUGCCCCGGAUUUGCAAGACGCUGAAAUUGGAAGAAAGAACGAAAGGACCCAAAAUGCUUUUAAAUUUAAAAAAUAAAAAAUGCAAUUGAAUGGUGAUGGAGAACCUGGAAACUGUCACUCAAUUAAAAUGGGAAAAAGCUUCAACGCAAUUUGAGAUUUACAAGCAGAGAACAAGCCUUUCAUGGGAUCUAAUUAGGUGACGAAGCAUCUGUCUAUGCACUCAGAUCUAUUAAUGGUCACUGGGAGAUUUCAACUUUCCCAACAUCUUACUCUAGAAGAGGAUCUCUCCUCCAUGGUCAAAAGAAAAAAAGAAAAAGAAAAAAACUCUAACAGUGGCUAGCUACGCCAGACAUGACUACAAGCUUUGGUUCCACCUAUAGUCAAUGUCUAAAGUACAGACUAUCUCAUGAAAGUAACAUACUCUAUGUUGUAAUUUUUUUUAACAGUAGUCAUAUUAAAAGGCUAUUAGUUUUUGUUAUCAAGUUAGAAUUUUCUAAACAAUCCACUAAUGGUUACAGAAUCAUAGAAAGACAUAGGAACUUUCAGUCCUUCAACAAUCCCACGUUAGAAGUAUAGAAUUGUACAUGAUGAUGGUAAGUUGGGUAGUACUUUCCUCAACAUUAAUUACUCAAAACAUUGUGCUACUAAUUUUUAUUGCCACAUUGGCAAUUACUAACUUCGUGAUAUUUUCACCGGGAAAGUUGAAUUUAUCCCAACAACUCUAGAAGUGAUUCUCUUCCGUUCUCAAAAAAGACAAGAAUAAAAAAGCUCGAAAAGUGACUAUGUAUGCCAAAUGUGCUCACUAAGAACUUUUGCUGCAUCUAUAGUCCACAGUUGGAAAACCCAAUAUAUUCAUCCGUGAAAUAAACAUUCUCAAAAUUGUGAUAUUCACAACGUAGGUCACUAACUUAGUGCUAGUGAUUUUUUUCUUUUCAAGUCAAUAACUUUCCAAGCACAUCAAGUAAUGGUCAUGGGAGCACAAAAAGACAGAUUUAGGUCCGUCUACAGUCCUAUAGUCCAAUACACAGUUGUGUCUCUGUUGGAGAAAUCUUUCCAGAAUAUUUUGAAGCUGACAAAACAUUUCUAUCAGUCUAAGUCUGGAUAUCGAUAGUUAAAGUCUCAAGAUUUUAUAGUCUCAAGACUCUGUUAUCUCAAGACUCAAGACUCAAGACUCAAGACUCAAGACUCAAAGUUAUUCUCACUGACAGUCUUUCUAAUCCAGUGUUGAAGGAAAUCCAAAGUCGAGGUUUAUGAUUGAGGAUUUGAUCCUAUCCUCUGGGAUAGAUUCUUUGGUUGGAUAAUCAUUUCGGAUUCUUUAUAUCUUAUCUAAGAACGAUUGAAGAUCCGAUGGUCGACGAAAUAAUCUUGGAUUAUUCUAUUCUUGGAAACCGAGAUCCUGAUUGUAUGGGCGAACAGGAUUGAUGGGCUAUCAUCAGAUUCCUUAUAUAGCUCGGAUGAUCUUCUUGAUUGAUUCCGUCCAACGGGUAGAUUGGAGGAAUUCCUUUGGUAAGUGCCAACGGCUAUGAUGGCAUGAAGGAGUAUAAAAGGAAGACGUUCUAGUUGUUUUAAGUGUGUGAUCGAUAGAAAAAUUCCAGAGUCUGAAGAUCCUUUGAUUGUUAGUUGAGACUGAGCGAAAUUGUAUACUGAGAGUGUUUAUACUUGGUGACGUCUUGAGCAAGUGUGGUAGAUCAUCUACACCUAGAAAUCAAGGAAGAUCAACACUGUAACAUCUCUUUGAUCAUAGUGGAAUCCAGCCAAUCGGCUGUCAGUGCAGAAGAGUGGACGUAGGCUUGAAUCAAGCCGAACCACUAUAAACUGAGUGUUCAAUUCUCUCUUUCCCUUACUCAGUCUUGCGAUUGAAUUUUCAACUGUUGCAAAGUCUCUAAUUGUUUAAGUAUCGUGCAAACAUCGAGAAAUUUUUUGUGUAUACCUAUUCACCCCCCUCUAGGUACUCGUACUAGCUAUCUCAGUCUCUUGAUCACAAUUCCCAUAUAAUUUGUUUUCCCAGCAUGAGUUCGUAACUCUGUACUAGUAACUUCCAUUAUGGAGUCAAUCACUUUCUUAACAGAUCAAGUGCGGGAUCAUAGAAGGACACAGAGAUUUGAGUUUGUCUACAAUUCCAUGUAAAAAAGAAAAAUAGAAUUGUAUCUUGUGACAGUAAAUUUAUCAGUGUGGUGAUAAUUUUCUCAACUUGGAUUAGUAGCUUAGAAGUAGUAUUAAGUUUCAAGCAGGUCAUAUGGUCUCAAGAUCAUAGAAUUCUUCGGUGAUGUUCAACCUAUCUGCUCAUUCUAAAUUACCCUAUCAAAAACAAAACUCCUCACUGAUAGAGAAAGGUUCAAUAUAAAUACCAGUACAUAACCCUGAAAUUAAGUAUCUCUCAUUGUGUAUUGUCCUUUUCAUAAAAAUUGAUAACGUUGCAGCACUCUUUAAAUGUUUUAACACCGGGACUAAUAGAAAGCAGGACAAAUUGAUGACCAGCAAAUUUAACCAGCACAACAAACUGUACAGCACACAAUCUACUAAUAUUGGUUUGAUGGACAAAAGCAACAAGCUUCUUCACUACACAAGCCUCUUAGAACAUUAGGGCAAAAAACAUUAUUAAUCAUUAAAGACCUCUCUUUCUGGUCUUAGCAGCUCAUAAAACUGCAUUGUUAGAUCAUACAUAAAAAUUAUUGAGAGAUUCUAUUGCAGGUUUCGCAAGUUUUUGGAUAGUGGUUAAUAGAUGCACAGAAGAGUGAUGAUGCACGGCAAGUAAUAGGAAGGAAACUAAAGCACCGAUGGGAAAGAGGGCGACACCUUUGCAAGAAGCUUUGCAUUCUCUUCUUUCAAAGACCUCUCCUGAGGUAAACCAAAUAAAGUUGCUAGAUUAAUAUAACCAGGAAAUUAACAACGCCUGAUGAGAUCGGAUAUGCAAUCAUCAUAUUUGUCCACUUACCUUUGCUUGCAACUGCUGUAUUUGAUCGUUCAAUAAUUGAGCCUGUAAAAGAGUUCCGUAGAAAUAUUUUAACUUUCGUGUGUGCAUGUUGUCCCCAUACCUUUCUUAUUACAAAGUAAGAAUAAAAGAAAAGAGAGAAAAUAAGUUGAAAUGAUGAACGAUAGUAAUGAAAGGACGAUGCUUUGCAACUUAUCCAGAAACAUAGUUCAAGUGAGAAGUAGUACAUGGAAAUCAGCAAGGUUAACAUAAUAAAAAACUCAUGGUAUUCUAUUAUUUCGUGUUAUAAGUAUCAAUUUUUGUGAAUAAGUGUCAAGAAAUCAUUUAUAAAAAAUGAUCGAUGACUUUUUUUUGUCAGAGAAGAAAAGCCAGUUAUCUAACCAAACCAAAUAAACUUGUUAACUAAUCAAAGAAGAGUUGGUAACACCGAAUUAGUUAGUUACUUAAUCAGAGAAAAGUUAGUAACUCCUAUAAUUAUAAUUGGUAAUUUCUAGUUGGGUUCAUAAGUAAGGCAAAUAUUUAUGUGUGCACGAGUCUCAUAAGUGAAGGGUGAAGACGAGUGAGAGUAUUUUUUUCAACAGAACCUAUUUUAUAACUAAGAAAGUGAUAAAGAGAAGAAAGAUCUGCUGAAGUUGUUGGCAAGUAAAACAGAAGAGAGAGAGUAGACGUCACUCUCCACCAUAAGACAAUGUUUCCACUAUCUCAAGAGUAGUCAAAGGAAGGGUUAGAGCAGGAAAAAGUGCACUAAGAAAGACCAUAUGAGCGUUGGCAAGUUAGUCCCAAAAAAAUAAGUCUAUAAGUCUAUAAAGUUAGUCAAAUAGAGUUAGUAACCAAAAAGAGUUAGUGAUUUAAGCAAAACAUAGGUCUAUAAGUCAUACAAAGAAAUAUCUGAAAAUAUAUAUAUAAGAGCUAAUAAAUUUAAAGGAAUGGCAAGAAAAAAUAAAUAAAAUUUACUAAAAAAAUAAGAGAGAUUGAUAAUUGCACAUUAUUGAAAAGAGUUGGUGAUUUCAUAAAAGUGUAAGUUACCAAUAAGUCACCUAGAAAUCAGGUAAUUGAAAAAUUUUAUUUUUUAUCAUGGUUUUUUGUCACUUACAACUCUUUCAUAGGUUUAUCAAAAACUAUCCAAUUUAUUUUGGAAAGAUGAACAAUAGAGUCGUCCAAAUAACUCUAGGAAAAAUAAUGAUAGAAGAAUAAUCGUGAUAUUUUCCUUGUUUAUUGGCAAAAAAAGAACAGGUCAAUAACUAUGAAGAAAAAGGGUGAUUUGUAAAUGUGCUUUCAUUCUUUCUUAUAAGGUAGAAAACGCCAUGUAUGCUCGGAGAAAAUUGAUUCUCUCCUUUCAGAUGCCAAGUUUAACGUUUUUAGUCUAUUCAGUUCCAAUCUUACAAUGCGAUUAGAGUCUCUAUCGAAAUUGGUAUUUUGGCUCCUGUAUGCAUAUGGUCAGUCUUGUUAGUUAUUUGAGAGAAAUUGUUUCUCAUUGUUUUUUUUCCCUUCUCACCAUAUCCAUGCCUCCAAACACAACGGCUACUCGAUGAAAGUUCUCAAGACAUCUACUUCGCUCAGAGAAAAGGACAAAUAUGCCAAAGACACAUGUACCUUUCUUUCCCUAAUGCUGCUCAAACUUCGCUCGAGCUGAUCCCCUAUCUCUUGGAUUUCGUCCAUCGAGCAAGAUCCAAGACAUUGUCCUGAUAGCUUCCUGAUGUAAAAAAGAAAAGGAGUACCAUAGUUUAGUGAAUUAGAUAUCAAGAAUCCAUUUCGAUCCACAAUAUAUAAGAGAGAAGUCUCAAAAUUUGUGGACCGUAGAGAAACUUCAAGAAGCUCAAUCUUCCUCUCCAUAUCUGUGGUUUCUUGCUUCAGACGCUGCACAUAUAUGGAGAUUGUGAUAUUUAUGAAUCUAGUGAACGGAACCAUACAAACUGAACAAAUUUGAAAUUAGUGAUGGAUAAAACCAAUCAUAGUGAACAAAUCUGUACCACCACGGGAUCCUUCAAAACUAAGAUUGCUACUAUAAGAACCCUAACGUUCUUGCAAAAUUUGUAGCUGUCAUAGUGAAUUCUAUGGCUUACCACCUCAGUAAUUCUUGAGAUCAAAAGUAGGGUUCUUAUCAAGAACGCGAUUCAGUAUUAUUACAAUCUGUAAAUACAUAAAUAUACGUUCACACCAACAAUCAAUUUUAUGACUUCCUUCAAGAAAACAAUAAGAUGUAAAUGCCCAAGUGGUGGAUGAUGAGUGGGAAUUCAGAAGCUGAAAGAAUUUUAGAGGACCAGUCAAUGUCUUCAGGACAUGUACAAAGACCAAAAUAGCUCUUUUAAUGUUAUAUUUAACUUGACCUAUUUUUCUCUCUAUACAUAUCUGCAGUUUCUCCUAUUUGCUUCCCAGUCAUUGCCAAACCACAUGAAUAACAGUGGUAAGGCUGCAAUAAUAUUAUAGGUCCUUUAUCUAACCAUAACAGUGUAAGAGUUUUCCUAAUGUGGGCUAUAUUAAUUGAUAUUGUAAUUUACCGUUUUAUGGGGUUUGGUCUACGGUGAAAGAGAAGGUUUCUUAAUUAGUCUAAUAUGGGGUUGGUUAGUGUGGGCCGAGUUGAGCCUAACCGUAAUGAGAAGACCUAGUUGGAAACUCUAUAAAUAGUGCUCAAAUCUCUCCUCUAACCCUAAUUCUCAUAAAUAUCCUCACAUAAGGAGCAUUUACCUAGAAAGGGUGAGGGGGCCGUCUCAUUGAGCCAGUAAUACAGAGGGCAAUAGAGGAAAAAAACUUGAAUUGAUUUAAAAGAAAUUCAACAAUUGACUUAGCAUAAAGUACGUUUAUCCGCAACUUAUUGUGGAUAUAUACACCCUCUCAUUAAUAGAAAACUUAACACAUUAAAGAUGUAUUCGGAAGUUGAAUGUCACUUGACUCUAUCCCUCUUUGUACAAUGAUACCAUCAUCAUAAGUAUGAUCCCUACUUUGUGGUUCUAGUGAUCCAUUAGAUCAUGUAUGCAAGUAGAUUGUUGCGUAAUUCUUUGCAUACGAGGUGACUAUUUAUGUAUACACAAGUAUAUAUUACUAGAUUGUAGGGGAAAUAGGAUUUCUUGCCAUUUGUGUUCAUAUAUAGACUUCUUUGUAAGUCCCAUCCUGAAAUAAGUUAUGUAAUGUGAUGUUCUAUGUUAAUCCACACACACACGGGAGAAAAAAAAAGAAAAAAAAAACAGAGGAAGUUGCUUUCUUACAUACAGCAAAAUGAAUAAAAAUUGAACUGCUCAGCUUGCUUAACCUCUACAUAAUGUGCUUACGAAUGCAACUAAUGUAUCAUCAUGGAAAGGUUAGAGAACUGACCAGAAUAUAUUGUUCCAUACAAGCCUGGUAUACAGCCGCAUCAUUUGUAGAUCUACAAUAUCGAUCAAUUGUCUUUCGGAUUCUGAAAAAUUUGCAAAGAUAACAUAUGAGCUCAGCCACUGGGAAUACAUUCUCCAAAUUAAUCAGGUAUCGUCAAAACUAAAGUAAUCAAACACUAAACAAAUUAAUAAUCAUUUUUGUGAAUCAUGCAUGACUUCCAGUGAAUAUGUAUCACCAUCACUCACUAACAGAAUAUGCAGGGAGCAUAAGCCUCUGCAAGAAGCUUUUAGCCUCUCAGCAACUAAUUUGCAACGAUCUGAAGUACUUGGAAAAGUCUUGGUUGCCCACCUUAUACUUUGUAAAUAAUUGAUGCUAGAGAGAGUGUAGAAAAGUAGAAAGUAACACAAAUGAGAACUUAAAUGAAUAGGUCGCUUGCCACUCGUAGGAAUUCAUCUAAGAGAUAAGAGCAAAACAAAAAAUCCUUAUUGUUCUCAAGCCAAAGUCUAAAUAAGUUACAAAUCAAAACAAGUCUACCUCCUCAUUCAUCAUAGCAUGCUUAUAUAGAUGAGUUUGGAAUAACUCUUCAAGCAUGAGUAAUUACCAAGACUCCUUGAAAAGACAAAAAGACUUAUAGGAAAGACAAAACAAGUCUUACUAGAAAAUAACUAUAAUUAAAUAAGGACGCCAUAAACUUAAAUGACAUUUACUAAACCUUGAAAAUAUGAGAAUUAAAUGUAGUUGGUUGUAAGUAUCCUAAUUUUACUAGUUCUGAAUUAAUGGAAUGCUCCAGCAUCAAUAAUCAUGCCAGCAAUAUUUUUCUUCAAAUUUUAGCGUAAAUGUUCAAUUUCACAUCAUAAAAGUAUAUUAUGUGCGCACGCAAAGUAUAUUUAAAUAUGAGCGUAGAGUGAGCUAAUGCACUGUUUUUGCCCAAGCCCAAAUACUUCAAUAUAUUCUACAUGCCACUCCAUGUCAGUAAGAAGUAAGAACAGCACAUGAUGCUCGUAAAAUCAUUGUGAAGCAGUACAAGGACUCACUACUUCAGAGAGAGAUUGUAAGAGCAAGCAGUUGCACCUACAUUUAACUUGUGACUUCAAGUACUUUUUUUCCCGGUAAAUGAAGAAGAGGGAAUACUUACAUGGUGAGCAACUAAAAUGGCAAGCAUGUACAAUUGCAGUCACUUUUGGACAUAAAUACUCUAUUUAUAAGAAAUCCAAGAGAUCAGUGUGUCGUGUCAUAUUAGCCUUAAUCUAUUAUACUGGUGAAUGCACUCGAUCCCAUAAAAGCACCACUACACAAAUCUAGUCAAGCCCAUAAUCUUAUUCACCUUUCAGAGCACCCUAUAAUUAAAAGAACCUGAAGUUGGAGAUGUCAGGACUAGUUUCACAGGCUUUUGCUUAGGGUUAAAAGUACCACUAAAAAAUCAACUUGAAAAUCUUUUGCAGGUUUUGUUUGAUUCAGAAGAGAGAUUAAUUAUGCUUUAAGUUUCGAUUCAAUGAACCCUGAUUUGAAAUGCUUCUUGAUUAUGGUGGUAGAUAGGUAACACAUUAUUUGAUUUCCUGACUAAUAUAAUGCAUUUCAUAUGAAAUUUCUAGUUUUUUUUUUUUUUGUGGUCACCCAAGAUCUACCGGGUUCGACUUUCCCUUACGAUAAGCCAACUCAUGGCCCGUACAGUAUGCGAUGCACCUCAGACCAAGCAUCAAUACCUGAGGGGAAGCUAGCACAGGACCCCAUCACCAUGACCCUCCACUUAAGUUGUGUUAGAAGCUGCAAAAUUUCGACCUUGGAACCUCUACGAUAAAGUGCCCAAAGCCGAACCAACAUUGCUGCCCACCAGUGGGUUGAAAUUUAUAGUUUUUGCCUUGUGUUAUGGUCAUAAACUUGAAGCAUGGAUCUUUAUGAUUUGUAAGAUAGCU
rnacentral:lncRNA from 1 species